UACCAGUGGAACUCGGCAAACGUUUCUUCCCGCGCUGUUCAAAUGUGCUGGACAAGAUCAUGGACGAUGAACCUGAGCUGGCUUCGCUCGGAACAGAUGCAUGCUCCGAGAGGAAGAGGAGGUUUCACGACCUGCAAGAUACGCUUCUGAAGGCGUUCAGCGAGGACAAGGAGGAGUUUAACAGAACGACAACCCUUUCAUCUUCGUCAUCGUCGACGUCCACUGUAGCAAGGAACUUGGCAGGUCGAACUAGGAGAUGAGCACCCUGGCCAAUUCUUGCCAUAUUGAUAGCUGAUUCUUUUUCUGUCUGAAACUGCUCGCCAGAUCUUUCUUUUCUAUUUAGCGAGUACUAGUACUGUAGCAUCAUCGUCAGAUAUGAUGAAGCUGUUGGCUUUGGCCCCUGGAAAUCGCUUAGUAAUGCUCUUUUUUGCUUGUAUAGUAACAGUUGUCCAUACAGUAUUUUGUUGAUGAAGCAAAUGGAUCCAUGUAGUAGCAGCUCUUGGCUUCUGACUUUGAUUAUUGGUGAGAAACAGUUGGUAGUUUCUGCUUUGCCUGAUUGCUCUGCCUGACUGAAUACUAGCAUUGCCCCUGUAGUUUAUCUCUGAAGCAUCUACCGCUGAAAAGGGCUAUGUUUUUACCUUUUGACAGUCGCCAUUUUGCUGCGCCUUCUGUCCUACCAGUAGUAUUGCCGGAGUGAAUAUUAUCUAGUUGGACUGAACUACCGAGGCAGAGCAAAUUCACCACCAAAAACCAUGGAAUAAAUUACAUCCACGGUACGCUAGGGUUCACUUCGGUCACCAAAAGUGUCGAAGUUCAGCAAUUAAAGUUGUCAAAAUAUCUCACUCUAAGACUACCCAUGGUGGAAAUAACAUACUCAGGUAACAUCACAUAUAUUUAGAUAAAAUGGAUGAUUUGGCAACUAAUAAUGGAUGAUAACAGUGGAGUCAGGUUUUCCCCCUUCUCUCUCGNNNNNNNNNNNNNNNNNNNNNNNNNNNNNNNNNNNNNNNNNNNNNNNNNNNNNNNNNNNNNNNNNNNNNNNNNNNNNNNNNNNNNNNNNNNNNNNNNNNNNNNNNNNNNNNNNNNNNNNNNNNNNNNNNNNNNNNNNNNNNNNNNNNNNNNNNNNNNNNNNNNNNNNNNNNNNNNNNNNNNNNNNNNNNNNNNNNNNNNNNNNNNNNNNNNNNNNNNNNNNNNNNNNNNNNNNNNNNNNNNNNNNNNNNNNNNNNNNNNNNNNNNNNNNNNNNNNNNNNNNNNNNNNNNNNNNNNNNNNNNNNNNNNNNNNNNNNNNNNNNNNNNNNNNNNNNNNNNNNNNNNNNNNNNNNNNNNNNNNNNNNNNNNNNNNNNNNNNNNNNNNNNNNNNNNNNNNNNNNNNNNNNNNNNNNNNNNNNNNNNNNNNNNNNNNNNNNNNNNNNNNNNNNNNNNNNNNNNNNNNNNNNNNNNNNNNNNNNNNNNNNNNNNNNNNNNNNNNNNNNNNNNNNNNNNNNNGCGGGCCGGCGGCGGGGAUGGCUCCGGCGUGGCUUCUGGGAGGCGGGGAGAUGCGACGAGUGGCUGGGUGCCGGCGGCGAUGACGCCGGCCUGCUGCAUCGCGGCCGGUGGGGCUUAACGGGCCCGCUUCGGGCCUGGAUGGGCCAAGGGUGGCCCGGCAUGCCCCGCUGCCGCGUCCGGACGGCUACCGCGACGGUGCCGGAGGCACGGGCCUCCUGCACGACGGCGGUGGAGGUGGUUCCCUCCCGCUCGGCAUCGGUGUUGCUGCUCCCGUCGUGGUGAGCUUCUCUCCGGUCCUCUUGGCCUCGUGGUGGUGUUUGUAGUGAGGCGGCGUGGGUGGCGGCGCUACUGCGUUGGCGCAUGGUGGUGGGCGAAGGUUUGGCGGGUCGGUUCCGUCUGGUUGGGCGGUUGGGGUUGGAAUGCGGGAGAAAUCCCUACCGGCUUCGGCCCGACGCGGUGACACCUGCGGGUGCCACCAUUCCUUCCUGGAGGGUCUCGGUGGUAUCCACCCCCCACCUCCCUCCGCGUGCCCGGGGAAACCUGAGGACUCGUCCGGGCAGCAGCGCCGUCGGCGUCGCAUCCCUUCUUGGAGGUGCUGCUUGGUACGCGGCGGAUCGGAGCCUCGGUUUGUGGUGAUUUGUUUCCGGUGGGCGCCGCGGUGGCAGGUCAUCCGCGCUUUGCCAAGCUGCCGUGGUUGGCAUUUAUUUCUUCUUCUUUUUCUCUUGGUGUGUUGUGCUGCUCGCCACAGCGUUAUCUGUACUCGGUGUUGGUUGCUUUGGAAUACAAAGCGGGGGGAAACCCUUUUUCGGUAUAAUGAAGAAAGAGAGGCAUGUGGUAACAUAGUUAAUUACUAGUAGUAUGAGUAACAUCACACAUAUCAAGACAAGAUGAGUCUAUAACCUAAUAAAUGAAGUGUUGCAUGACACCACAUAUAUGUUACCCCCCACUAUAGUGGUACUCCCUCCGGUCCUUUUUACUCUGCAUAUAAGAAUUGUCUCAAGUCAAACUUCGUAAAGUUUGACCAUAUUUAUAUGAAAAGAGAUUAGCAUCUAAAAUGCUAGUUUUAUAUAAUAUGAAAACUAAAGUCAUGACACAUCUGAAUGUUGGUAUUUUUUUUAUAAACUUGGUCAGAAUUUAUGAGGUUUGACUUCAGACAAAUCUUAUAUGCGAACUAAAAAUAACCGGAGGGGGUAGUAACUGUUGGGGAACGUAGUAAUUUCAAAAAAAUUCCUACGCACACGCAAGAUCAUGGUGAUGCAUAGCAACGAGAGGGGAGAGUGUGUCCACGUACCCUUGUAGACCGAGAGCGGAAGCGUUAUGACAACGCGGUUGAUGUAGUCGUACGUCUUCACGAUCGACCGAUCCUCAGUACCGAACGUACGACACCUCCGUGUUCUGCACACGUUCAGCUCGGAGACGUCCCGUGAACUCACGAUCCAGUAGAGCUUUGCCGGAGAGUUUUGUCAGCACGACGGUGUGAUGACGGUGAUGAUGAUGCUACCGACGGAGGGCUUCGCCUAAGCACCGCUACGAUAUUACCGAGGUUGAUUAUGGUGGAGGGGGGCACCGCACACGGCUAAGAGAUCAAUGAUCAAUUGUUCUGUCUCCAAGGGGUGCCCCCCUCCCCGUAUAUAAAGGAGUGGAGGAGGGGGAGGGGGCUGGCCCCAUGAGGAGUCCUACUCCCACCGGGAGUAGGACUCCCCCCUUCCAAGUAGGAGUAGGAGAGGAGAAGGAAGGGAGAGAAGGAGAGAAGGAAAGGGGGGCACCGCCCCCCCUCAUUGUCCAAUUCGGACUAGAGGGAGAGGGGGCGCGCGGCUGCCCUGGCCGCCCCUCCUCUUCUCCCACUAGGGCCCAUUAGGCCCAAUAUACUCCCCCGGGGGGGGGGGGGUUCCGGUAACCCCCCGGUACUCCGGUAAAUGUCUGAAACCUCCCGAAACACUUCCGGUGUCCAAACAUAGUCGUCCAAUAUAUCGAUCUUUACGUCUCGACCAUUUCGAGACUCCUCGUCAUGUCCGUGAUUAAAUCCGGGACCCCGAACUACUUUCGGUACAUCAAAACACAUAAACUCAUAAUACCGAUCGUCACCGAACGUUAAGCGUGCGGACCCUACGGGUUCGAGAACUAUGUAGACAUGACCGAGACACGUCUCCGGUCAAUAACCAAUAGCGGAACCUGGAUGCUCAUAUUGGCUCCCACAUAUUCUACGAAGAUCUUUAUCGGUCAAACCGCAUAACAACAUACGUUGUUCCCUUUGUCAUCGGUAUGUUACUUGCCCGAGAUUCGAUCGUCGGUAUCUCAAUACCUAGCUCAAUCUCGUUAUCAGCAAGUCUCCUUACUCGUUCCGUAAUGCGUCAUCCCGCAACUAACUCAUUAGUCACAUUGCUUGCACGGCUUAUAGUGAUGUGCAUUACCGAGAGGGCCCAGAGAUACCUCUCCGACAAUCGGAGUGACAAAUCCUAAUCUCGAUCUAUGCCAACUCAACAAGUACCAUCGGAGACACCUGUAGAGCACCUUUAUAAUCACCCAGUUACGUUGUGACGUUUGGUAGCACACAAAGUGUUCCUCUGGUAUUCGGGAGUUGCAUAAUCUCAUAGUCAUAGGAACAUGUAUAAGUCAUGGAGAAAGCAAUAGCAGUAAACUAAACGAUCAAGUGCUAAGCUAACGGAAUGGGUCAAGUCAAUCACAUCAUUCUCCUAAUGAUGUGAUCCCGUUAAUCAAAUGACAACUCAUGUCUAUGGCUAGGAAACUCAACCAUCUUUGAUUAACGAGCUAGUCAAGUAGAGGCAUACUAGUGACACUAUGUUUGUCUAUGUAUUCACACAUGUAUUAUGUUUCCAGUUAAUACAAUUCUAGCAUGAAUAAUAAAUUUUUAUCAUGAUAUGAGGAAAUAAAUAAUAACUUUAUUAUUGCCUCUAGGGCAUAUUUCCUUCAGUCUCCCACUUGCACUAGAGUCAGUAAUCUAGAUUACACAGUAAUGAUUCUAACACCCAUGGAGUCUUGGUGAUGAUCAUGUUUUGCUCGUGGAAGAGGCUUAGUCACUGGAUCUGCAACAUCCAGAUCCGUAUGUAUCUUGCAAAUAUCUAUGUCUCCCACCUGGACUUGAUCCCGGAUGGAAUUGAAGCGUCUCUUGAUGUGCUUGGUUCUCUUGUGAAAUCUGGAUUCUAUUGCCAAGGCAAUUGCACCAGUAUUGUCACAAAAGAUUUUCAUUGGACCCGAUGCACUAGGUAUGACACCUAGAUCGGAUAUGAACUCCUUCAUCCAGACUCCUUCAUUUGCUGCUUCUGAAGCAGCUAUGUACUCCGCUUCACACGUAGAUCCCGCCACGACGCUUUGUUUAGAACUGCACCAACUGACAACUCCACCGUUUAAUAUAAACACGUAUCCGGUUUGCGAUUUAGAAUCGUCCGGAUCAGUGUCAAAGCUUGCAUCGACGUAACCAUUUACGACGAGCUCUUUGUCACCACCAUAAACGAGAAACAUAUCCUUAGUCCUUUUCAGGUAUUUCAGGAUGUUCUUGACCGCUGUCCGGUGAUCCACUCCUGGAUUACUUUGGUACCUCCCUGCUAAGCUAAUAGCAAGGCACACAUCAGGUCUGGUACACAGCAUUGCAUACAUGAUAGAGCCUAUGGCUGAAGCAUAGGGAACACUUAUCAUUUUCUCUCUAUCUUCUGCAGUGGUCGGGCAUUGAGUCUGACUCAACUUCACACCUUGUAACACAUGCAAGAACCCUUUCUUUGCUUGAUCCAUUUUGUACUUUUUCAAAACUUUGUAAAGGUAUGUGCUUUGUGAAAGUCCAAUUAAGCGUCUUGAUCUAUCUCUAUAGAUCUUGAUGCCCAAUAUGUAUGCAGCUUCACCGAGAUCUUUCAUUGAAAAACUCUUAUUCAAGUAUCCUUUUAUGCUAUCCAGAAAUUCUAUAUCAUUUCCAAUCAGCAUUACGUCAUCCACAUAUAAUAUUAGAAAUGCUACAGAGCUCCCACUCACUUUCUUGUAAAUACAGGCUUCUCCAAAAGUCUGUAUAAAACCAUAUGCUUUGAUUACACUAUCAAAACGUUUAUUCCAACUCCGAUGCACCAGUCCAUAAAUGGAUCGCUGGAGCUUGCACACUUUGUUAGCACCCUUUGGAUCGACAAAACCUUCUGGUUGCAUCAUAUACAACUCUUCUUCCAGAAAUCCAUUCAGGAAUGCAGUUUUGACGUCCAUUUGCCAAAUUUCAUAAUCAUAAAAUGCGGCGAUUGCUAACAUGAUUCGGACAGACUUAAGCAUCGCUACGGGUGAGAAAGUCUCAUCGUAGUCAACCCCUUGAACUUGUCGAAAACCUUUCGCAACAAGUCUCAUCCGCGCCAGUCUUCUUCUUGAAGAUCCAUUUAUUCUCUAUGGCUUGCCGAUCAUCGGGCAAGUCAACCAAAGUCCACACUUUGUUCUCAUACAUGGAUCCCAUCUCAGAUUUCAUGGCCUCAAGCCAUUUUGCGGAAUCUGGGCUCACCAUCGCUUCUUCAUAGUUCGUAGGUUCGCCUUGGUCAAGUAACAUGACCUCCAGAAUAGGAUUACUGUACCACUCUGGUGUGGAUCUUACUCUGGUUGACCUACGAGGUUCGGUAGUAACUUGAUCUGAAGUUUCAUGAUCAACAUCAUUAGGUUCCUCACUAAUUGGUGUAGGUGUCACAGGAACCGGUUUCUGUGAUGAACUACUUUCCAAUAAGGGAGCAGGUAUAGUUACCUCAUCAAGUUCUACUUUCCUCCCACUCACUUCUUUCGAGAGAAACUCCUUCUCUAGAAAGGAUCCAUUUUUAGCAACAAAUGUUUUGCCUUCGGAUCUGUGAUAGAAGGUGUACCCAACAGUCUCCUUUGGGUAUCCUAUGAAGACACAUUUCUCCGAUUUGGGUUCGAGCUUAUCAGGUUGAAGCUUUUUCACAUAAGCAUCGCAGCCCCAAACUUUCAGAAAUGACAACUUUGGUUUCUUGCCAAACCAUAGUUCAUAAGGUGUCGUCUCGACGGAUUUUGAUGGUGCCCUAUUUAACGUGAAUGCAGCCGUCUCUAAAGUAUAACCCCAAAACGAUAGCGGUAAAUCAGUAAGAGACAUCAUAGAUCGCACCAUAUCUAGUAAAGUACGAUUACGAUGUUCGGACACAUCAUUACGCUGUGGUGUUCCGGGUGGCGUGAGUUGCGAAACUAUUCCGCAUUGUUUCAAAUGAAGACCAAACUCGUAACUCAAAUAUUCUCCGCCACGAUCAGAUCGUAGAUACUUUAUUUUCUUGUUACGAUGAUUUUCCACUUCACUCUGAAAUUCUUUGAACUUUUCAAAUGUUUUAGACUUAUGUUUUAUUAAGUAGAUAUACCCAUAUCUGCUCAAAUCAUCUGUGAAGGUGAGGAAAUAACGAUACUCGCCGCGAGCCUCAAUAUUCAUUGGACGACAUACAUCAGUAUGUAUGAUCUCCAACAAAUCUGUUGCUCGCUCCAUUGUUUCGGAGAACGGCGUUUUAGUCAUCUUGCCCAUGAGGCAUGGUUCGCAAGUACCAAGUGAUUCAUAAUCAAGUGAUUCCAAAAGUCCAUCAGUAUGGAGUUUCUUCAUGCGCUUUACACCAAUAUGACCUAAACGGCAGUGCCACAAAUAAGUUGCACUAUCAUUAUCAACUCUGCAUCUUUUGGCUUCAAUAUUAUGAAUAUGUGUAUCACUACUAUCGAGAGUUAAUAUAAAUAGACCACUCUUCAAGGGUGCAUGACCAUAAAAGAUAUUACUCAUAUAAAUAGAACAACCAUUAUUCUUUGAUUUAAAUGAAUAACCGUCUCACAUCAAACAAGAUCCAGAUAUAAUGUUCAUGCUCAACGCUGGCACCAAAUAACAAUUAUUCAGGUCUAAAACUAAUCCCGAAGGUAGAUGUAGAGGUAGCGCGCCGACUGCGAUCACAUCGACUUUGGAACCAUUUCCCACACGCAUCAUCACCUCGUCCUUAGCCAAUCUUCGCUUAAUCCGUAGUCCCUGUUUCGAGUUGCAAAUGUUAGAAACAUAACCAGUAUCAAAUACCCAGGUGCUACUGCGAGCAUUAGUAAGGUACACAUGAAUAACAUGUAUAUCACAUAUACCUUUGUUCACCUUGCCAUCCUUCUUAUCCGCCAAAUACUUGGGGCAGUUCCGCUUCCAGUGACCAGUCCCUUUGCAGUAGAAGCACUCAGUCUCAGGCUUAGGUCCAGACUUGGGUUUCUUCUCCUGAGCAGCAACUUGUUUGCUGUUCUUCUUGAAGUUCCCCUUUUUCUUGAAACUGGUGGUCUUGUUGACCAUCAACACUUGAUGCUCCUUCUUGAUUUCUACCUCCGCAACCUUUAACAUCGCGAAGAGCUCGGGAAUUGUCUUAUCCAUCCCUUGCAUAUUAUAGUUCAUCACAAAGCUCUUGUAGCUUGGUGGUAGUGAUUGAAGAAUUUUGUCAAUGACACUAUCAUCCGGAAGAUUAACUCCCAGUUGAAUCAAGUGAUUAUUAUACCCAGACAUUUUGAGUAUAUAUUCACUGACAGAACUAUUCUCCUCCAUCUUACAGCUGUAGAACUUAUUCGAGACUUCAUAUCUCUCAAUCUGGGCAUUUGCUUGAAAUAUUAACUUCAACUCCUGGAACAUCUUAUAUGCUCCAUGACGUUCAAAAUGUCGUUGAAGUCCCGGUUCUAAGUCGUAAAGCAUGGCACACUGAACUAUCGAGUAGUCAUCAGCUUUGCUCUGCCAGACGUUCUUAACGUCGUCAGUUGCAUCUGCAGCAGGCCUGGCACCCAGCGGUGCUUCCAGGACGUAAUACUUCUGUGCAGCAAUGAGGAUAAUCCCCAAGUUACGGACCCAGUCCGUGUAAUUGCUACCAUCAUCUUUCAACUUUUCUUUCUCAAGGAACACAUUAAAAUUCAACGGAACAACAACACGGGCCAUCUAUCUACAACAACAUAGACAAGCAAAAUACUAUCAGGUACUAAGUUCAUGAUAAAUUAAAGUUCAAUUAAUCAUAUUACUUAAGAACUCCCACUUAGAUAGACAUCCCUCUAAUCAUCUAAGUGAUCACGUGAUCCAUAUCAACUAAACCAUGUCCGAUCAUCACGUGAGAUGGAGUAGUUUUCAAUGGUGAACAUCACUAUGUUGAUCAUAUCUACUAUAUGAUUCACGCUCGACCUUUCGGUCUCAGCGUUUCGAGGCCAUAUCUGCAUAUGCUAGGCUCGUCAAGUUUAACCCGAGUAUUCUGCGUGUGUAAAACUGGCUUACACGCGUUGUAUUUGAACAGCUUAUCACACCCGAUCAUCACGUGGUGUCUCGGCACGACGAACUUUCGCAACGGUGCAUACUUAGGGAGAACACUUAUACCUUGAAAUUUACUGAGAGAUCAUCUUAUAAUGCUACCGUCAAACAAAGCAGAAUAAGAUGCAUAAAAGAUAAACAUUGAUACGUCUCCAAUGUAUCUAUAAUUUUUUAUUGUUCCAUGCUAUUAUAUUAUCUGUUUUGGAUGUUUAAUGGGCUUUAAUAUACUCUUUUAUAUGAUUUUGGGGACUAACCUAUUAACCCAGAGCCCAGUGCCAGUUUUUUUUCCUUGUUUUUGAGUAUCGCAGAAAAGAAAAACCAAACGGAGUCCAAGUGACCUGGAAUUUGGCGGAGAUUAUUUUUGGACCGGAAGAAGCCCACGAAGCAUCGGAGAUGGACUAGAAGAGUCCCGGGCUGCCCACGAGGGCAGGGGGCGUGCCCACCCCCUGGGCAUGCCCCCCUGCCUCGUGGACAGCCUGGAGACCCCCUGACUUGUUCCCGACGCCAAUACCUCUCAUAUAUACCCAAACUUCCAGAAAGAAACCUAGAUCGGGAGUUCCGCCGCCGCAAACCUCCAGAGCCACCAAAAACCAAUCUAGACCCGUUUCGGCACCCUGCCGGAGGGGGAAUCGCUCUCCAGUGGCCAUCUUCAUCAUCCCGACGCUCUCCAUGACGAGGAGGGAGUAGUUCACCCUCGGGGCUGAGGGUAUGUACCAGUAGCUAUGUGUUUGAUCUCUCUCUCUCUCUCUCUCUCUCUCUCUCUCGUGUUCUUGAUUCGGCACGAUCUUGAUGUAUCGCAAGCUUUUCUAUUAUAGUUGGAUCUUAUGAUGUUUCUCCCCCUCUACUCUCUUGUAAUGGAUUGAGUUUUCCCUUUGAAGUUAUCUUAUCGGACUGAGUCUUUAAGGAUUUGAGAACACUUGAUGUAUGUCUUGCAUGUGCUUAUCUGUGGUGACAAUGGGAUAUUCACGUGAUCUACUUGAUGUAUGUUUUGGUGAUCAACUUGCAGGUUCUGUGACCUUGUGAACUUAUGCAUAGGGGUUGGUACACGUUUUCGUCUUGACUCUCCGGUAGAAACUUUGGGGCACUCUUUGAAGUUCUUUGUGUUGGUUGAAUAGAUGAAUCUGAGAUUGUGUGAUGCAUAUCAUAUAAUCAUACCCACGGAUACUUGAGGUGACAUUGGAGUAUAUAGGUGACAUUAGGGUUUUGGUUGAUUUGUGUCUUAAGGUGUUAUUCUAGUACGAACUCUAUAAUAGAUCGAACGGAAAGAAUAGCUUCAUGUUAUUUUACUAUGGACUCUUGAAUAGAUUGAUCAGAAAGAAUAACUUUGAGGUGGUUUCGUACCCUACAAUAAUCUCUUCGUUUGUUCUCCGCUAUUAGUGACUUUGGAGUGACUCUUUGUUGCAUGUUGAGGGAUAGUUAUAUGAUCCAGUUAUGUUAUUAUUGUUGAGAGAACUUGCACUAGUGAAAGUAUGAACCCUAGGCCUUGUUUCCUAGCAUUGCAAUACCCUUUUUGCUCACUUUUAUCAUUAGUUACCUUGCUGUUUUUAUAUUUUCAGAUUACAAAAACCUAUAUCCACCAUCCAUAUUGCACUUGUAUCACCAUCUCUUCACCGAACUAGUGCACCUAUACAAUUUACCAUUGUAUUGGGUGUGUUGGGGACACAAGAGACUCUUUGUUAUUUGGUUGCAGGGUUGCUUGAGAGAGACAAUCUUCAUCCUACGCCUCCCACGGAUUGAUAAACCUUAGGUCAUCCACUUGAGGGAAAUUUGCUACUGUCCUACAAAACUCUGCACUUGGAGGCCCAACAACGUCUACAAGGAGAAGGUUGCGUAGUAGACAUCAAGCUCUUUUCUGGCGCCGUUGCCGGGGAGGUGAGUGCUUGAAGGUAUAUCUUUAUAUCUUGCAAUCAAAUCUUUUAGUUUCUUGUUUUAGCACUAGUUUAGUUUAUAAAAGAAAACUACAAAAAAUGGAAUUGAGUUUGCCUCAUACGCUUCAUCUUUUUAAUAUCUUUCGUGAGAAUGAUGGAAAGGAUAAUUGUGCUCAAUUGCUAGAGGAAGAAUGCAUUAGAAUGUUUGGCACUAAAUCCUUGAAUGAUGAGCAUGAUUGCAAUGUUGUUAGUAUGAUCUCUUUGAAUAUCCAUAGUACUAAUGAUGAUUGCACUAGUCAUGAUGAAAAUGUCUCUUAUAAGCAUGUCAACUUUUGUGGAAUACAUAGAGCUUGCAAGUACACACCAAUUAGGGAAAAUAGAUUUUGCAAGAGGCAUACGUAUUUGGAAACCAAAUGGUUGCAAGAAAGGCUAGAUGUUUGUGCUGAAAAUUUGAAAUUUCUUCACCAUACUUGUGAGCUUUGCAAUGAAUAUGGUCAUUUAAAUCUCCAAUGCAAAUUGUUUCAUGAUCGAAUCGUGUCCAAAAAUUGUGAUGACUUGAUUUCCCUUGCACAUCAUAAUGAACUUAGUUUGAUUUUGGGGUAUGAAGAAAUGAAAUGUACAACUAAGCAUAUUCCAGAAUAUAACCUUGAGAAAUUCCUCGAUAUUGAUCUAGAAGAAAUUUUUAUGUAUUGUGCGGUGAAUUGCAUUGAAAAUCCUUAUAUUGCCAAUUACAUAAAUAAAAUAAAACAAAUAGAGGAUGAAGAGAAUACUAAUGAAAGGGAAGAGGCUUCCCAAUAUCCUCCUAUUAUUUCUUAUGAUGAAUCAGGUAACGAGGAGGAGCCUUCUAUCCAACCAAUCUCAUCAAUAAGGAGCUCAAAAAAGAGGGUUAAACCCACACAUGAUGUGAAGAAGAAAAAGAAAAGACGGAAAAACGAAGGUAAAAAGGUAUCUCCCCCCAGUGAUAUUGCUCCUAUUACUCAUUGUGAUGAUGAUAAUUGCUAUACUAUUGGUGCUAUCCAUACUAUUAAUGAUGAGAGUGAUUAUGCUUAUGAUAUGAAAAGGCCCAAGCUUGGGGAUGCUAUGCUUGAUGAGAAUGACAUGUUUGAGAAUAUAUUUGCUGCAAUUAAUGUUUGUCCCAAGCUUGGGGAUGCUAUGCUUAAUGAAGAUGAUAUUUUUAGCCUCCCAAGUUUUGAUGAGCAAAUUUAUUAUGAUGAUAGCAUACCUCCUAUUUAUGAUAAUUAUUGUGAUGAUACGUAUGCUAUAAAAAGUAAUGAUGAUUAUAUUUAUAAAACUUGUCAUGAUUAUGAUUACCCUUUUUCUGAACUUUAUUCUUUCAAUGUGGAAACAAUUUAUAGUAUUCGAGUCUCUUAUGAUACUCCCACUAUUCCGAUUGAGAAGAAUUUUGCUUAUGUAGAGAGUAGUAAAUUUUCUAUGCUUGUAGGUCAUGAGAAGAAUGCUUUAGGUGCUGGUUAUAUUGUUGAAUUCAUUCAUGAUGCUACUGAAAAUUAUUAUGAGGGAGGAAUAUAUGCUUGUAGGAAUUGCAAUAAUAUCAAGUUUCCUCUCUAUGUGUUAAAAGUUUUAAAGUUAUGCUUGUUUUGCCUUCCUAUGCUAGUUGAUUGUUGUUCCCAUAAGUUGUUUGCUCACAAAAUCCCAAUGCAUAGGAAGUGGGUUAGACUUAAAUGUGCUAGUCAUAUUCUUCAUGAUUCUCCCUUUAUGUUUCAAUUCUUAUCUUUUAUGUGAGCAUCAUUGUCAUCAUCAUGCCUAGCUAAAAAGGCAAUAAAGAAAAGCUCUUGUUGGGAGACAACCCAAUAUUUACCCUUACUGUUUUUAUGUGUUCACAUGAUUAUGCUACUGUAGUAAUCAUGUUUUAUAGCUUUUGUUUCAAUAAAGUGCCAAGUAAGACCUUUAGGAUAACCUACGGUGAUAGUUAAUUUGAUCUUGCUGAAAAACAGAAACUUUUGCGUGCACGAGAUUAGUUUUCAUAAAUCACAGGAACGUGCUUUUCAGUUGAUUCUUUUUUCAGAAGAUUAAAUAACAAGUUUCUUAGGACUUCCUAAUUUGGUAGAAUUUUUGGAGUUCCAGAAGUAUACGUUUGAUAUAGAUUUCUACAGACUGUUCUGUUUUUGACUGAUUCUGUUUUCUAUGUGUUGUUUGCUUAUUUUGAUGAAUCUAUGAGUAGUAUCAGAGGGUAUGAACCAUAGAGAAGUUGGAAUACAGUAGAUAUCACACCAAUAUGAAUUUAGAAUGAGUUCACAACAGUACCUAAGUGGUGGUUUUAUUUUCUUAUACUAACGGAGCUUACGAGUUUUCUAUUGAGUUUUGUGUUGUGAAGUUUUCAAGUUUUGGGUAAAGAUUCGAUGGACUAUGGAAUAAGGAGUGGCAAGAGCCUAAGCUUGGGGAUGCCCAAGGCACCCCAAGGUAUAUUCAAGGACAACCAAGAGCCUAAGCUUGGGGAAGCCCCGGAAGGCAUCCCCUCUUUCGUCUUCGUUCAUCGGUAACUUUACUUGGAGCUAUAUUUUUAUUCACCACAUGAUAUGUGUUUUGCUUCGAGUGUCACUUUGUUUUAUUUUGUUUUGCUUGCUGUUUGAAUAAUAUCCCAAGAUCUUAAAUUCUUAAAUGCUAGAGAGUCUUCACAUAGUUACAUAAUUAUUCGACUACUCAUUGAUCUUCACUUAUAUCUUUCGGAGUAGUUUGUCAUUUGCUCUAGUGCUUCACUUAUAUCCUUUUAGAGCACGGCGGUGGUUUUAUUUUGAAGAAAUAGUUGAACUCUCAUUAUUCACUUAUAUUAUUUUGAGAGUCUAGAACAGCAUGGUAAUUUGCUUUGGUUAUGAAUUUAGUCCUAAUAUGAUGGGCAUCCAAGAGGGAUAUAAUAAAAACUUUCAUAUAGAGUGCAUUGAAUACUAUGAGAAGUUUGAUACUUGAUGAUUGUUUUGAGAUGUGAAGAUGGUGAUAUUAGUCAUGCUAGUAGAGUAGUUGUGAAUUUGAGAAAUACUUGUGUUGAGGUUUGCAAGUCCCGUAGCAUGCACGUAUGGUAAGCGUUGUGUGACAAAUUUGAAGCAUGAAGUAUUUCUUUGAUUGUCUUCCUUUGUGUGGAGGUCGGGGGCGCGCGAUGGUUAACUCCUACCAACCUCCCCCCUAGGAGCAUGCGUGUAGUGCUUGGUUUUGAUGACUUGUAGAUUUUUGCAAUAAGUAUGUGAGUUCUUUAUGACUAAUGUUGAGUCCAUGGAUUAUACGCACUCUCACCCUUCCAUCAUUGCUAGCCUCUUCGGUACCGUGCAUUGCCCUUUCUCACCUUGAGAGUUGGUGCAAACUUCGCCGGUGCAUCCAAAUCCCGUGAUAUGAUACGCUCUAUCACACAUAAACCUCCUUAUAUCUUCCUCAAAACUGCCACCAUACCUACAUAUCAUGGCAUUUCCAUAGCCAUUCCGAGAUAUAUUGCCAUGCAACUUUCCACCGUUCCGUUUAUUAUGACGCACUUCAUCAUUGUCAUAUUCCCUUGCAUGAUCAUGUAGUUGACAUCGUAUUUGUGGCAAAGCCACCAUGCAUAUUAUUUCAUACAUGUCACUCUUGAUUCAUCGUCCAUCCCGGUACACCGCCGGAGGCAUUCAUAUAGAGUCAUAUUUUGUUCUAGUAUCGAGUUGUAAUCAUUGAGUUGUAAAUAAAUAGAAGUGUGAUGAUCAUCAUUCAUAGAGCAUUGUCCCCAAAAAAAAGAGAAAGGCCAAAAAAAAGGGAAAAAGAGAAAGGCCCAAAAAAAAGAAAUAAAAAGGGACAAUUCUACUAUCCUUUUUUUCCACACUUGUGCUUCAAAGUAGCACCAUGAUCCUUAUGAUAGAGAGUCUCUUGUUUUGUCACUUUCAUAUACUAGUGGGAAAUUUUCAUUAUAGAACUUGGCUUGUAUAUUCCAACGAUGGGCUUCCUCAAAUGCCCUAGGUCUUCGUGAGCAAGCAAGUUGGAUGCACACCCACUUAGUUUCUUUUGUUGAGCUUUCAUACAAUUAUAGCUCUAGUGCAUCCGUUGCAUGGCAAUCCCUACUCCUUACAUUGACAUCAAUUGAUGGGCAUCUCCAUAGCCCGUUGAUUAGCCGCGUCAAUGUGAGACUUUCCUUUUUUUGUCUUCUCCACACAACCCCCAUCAUCAUAUUCUAUUCCACCCAUAGUGCUAUGUCCAUGGCUCACGCUCAUGUAUUGCAUGAAAGUUGAAAAAGUUUGAAAAGGCUAAAGUAUGAAAUAAUUGCUUGGCUGAAACCAAGGUUGUGCAUGAUUUGGGUAUUUUGUGUAACGAAGAUGGAGCAUAGCCAAACUAUAUGAUUUUGUAGGGACGAACUUUCUUUGGCCAUGUUAUUUUGAGAAGACAUAAUUGCUUUGUUAGUAUGCUUGAAGUAUUAUUGUUUUUAUGUCAAUAUUAAACUUUUGUCUUGAAUCUUAUGGAUCUAAAUAUUCAUGUCGUAAUAAAGGAAAUUACAUUGAUAAAUAUGUUAGGUAGCAUUCCACAUCAAAAAUUCUGUUUUCAUCAUUUACCUACUCGAGGACGAGCAGGAAUUAAGCUUGGGGAUGCUUAAUACGUCUCCAACGUAUCUAUAAUUUUUGAUUGUUCCAUGCUAUUAUAUUAUCUGUUUUGGAUGUUUAAUGGGCUUUAAUAUACUAUUUUAUAUGAUUUUUGGGACUAACCUAUUAACCCAGAGCCCAGUGCCAGUUUUUGUUUUUUCCUUGUUUUUGAGUAUCGCAGAAAAGGAAAACCAAACGGAGUCCAAUUGACCUGAAAUUUGACGGAGAUUAUUUUUGGACCGGAAGAAGCCCACGAAGCAUCGGAGAUGGACCAGAAGAGUCCCGGGCUGCCCACGAGGGCAGGGGGCGUGCCCACCCCCUGGGCAUGCCCCCCUGCCGCAAACCUCCAGAGCCACCGAAAACCAAUCUAGACCCGUUCCGGCACCCUGCCGGAGGGGGAAUCCCUCUCCGGUGGCCAUCUUCAUCAUCCCGGCGCUCUCCAUGACGAGGAGGGACUAGUUCACCCUCUGGGCUGAGGGUAUGUACCAAUAGCUAUGUUUUUGAUCUCUCUCUCUCUCUCUCGUGUUCUUGAUUCGGCACGAUCUUGAUGUAUCGCGAGCUUUGCUAUUAUAGUUGGAUUUUAUGAUGUUUCUCCCCCUCUACUCUCUUGUAAUGGAUUGAGUUUUCCCUUUGAAGUUAUCUUAUCGAAUUGAGUCUUUAAGGAUUUGAGAACACUUGAUGCAUUGCUUGCAUGUGCUUAUCUGUGGUGACAAUGGGAUAUUCACGUGAUCUACUUGAUGUAUGUUUUGGUGAUAAACUUCCGGGUUCUGUGACCUUGUGAACUUAUGGAUAGGGGUUGGCACACGUUUUCAUCUUGACUCUCCGGUAGAAACUUUGGGGCACUCUUUGAAGUUCUUUGUGUUGGUUGAAUAGAUGAAUCUGAGAUUGUGUGAUGCAUAUCGUAUAAUCAUACCCACGGAUACUUGAGGUGACAUUGGAGUAUCUAGGUGACAUUAGGGUUUUGGUUGAUUUGUGUCUUAAGGUGUUAUUCUAGUAUGAACUCUAUGAUAGAUCGAAUGGAAAGAAUAGCUUCAUGUUAUUUUACUACGGACUCUUGAAUAGAUUGGUCAGAAAGAAUAACUUUGAGGUGGUUUCGUACCCUACAAUAAUCUCUUCGUUUGUUCUCCGCUAUUAGUGACUUUGGAGUGACUCUUUGUUGCAUGUUGAGGGAUAGUUAUAUGAUCCAGUUAUGUUAUUAUUGUUGAGAGAACUUGCACUAGUAAAAGUAUGAACCCUAGGCCUUGUUUCCUAGCAUUGCAAUACCCUUUUUGCUCACUUUUAUCAUUAGUUACCUUGCUGUUUUUAUAUUUUCAGAUUACAAAAACCUAUAUCCACCAUCCAUAUUGCACUUGUAUCACCAUCUCUUCGCCGAACUAGUGCACCUAUACAAUUUACCAUUGUAUUGGGUGUGUUGGGGACACAAGAGACUCUUUGUUAUUUGGUUGCAGGGUUGCUUGAGAGAGACCAUCUUCAUCCUACGCCUCCCACGGAUUGAUAAACCUUAGGUCAUCCACUUGACGGAAAUUUGCUACUAUCCUACAAACCUCUGCACUUGGAGGCCUAACAACGUCUAGAAGGAGAAGGUUGCGUAGUAGACACCAAACAUCACAUGCAAUCAAUAUAAGUGAUAUGAUAUGGCCAUCAUUAUCUUGUGCCUUUGAUCUCCAUCUCCAAAGCACCGUCAUGAUCACCAUCGUCACCGGCGCGACACCUUGAUCUUCAUCGUAGCAUCGUUGUCGUCUCGCCAACUAUUGUUUCUACGACUAUCGCUACCGCUUAGUGAUAAAGUAAAAACAAUUACAGGGCGAUUGCAUUGCAUACAAUAAAGCGACAACCAUAUGGCUCCUGGUAGUUACCGAUAACUCUGUUACAAAACAUGAUCAUCUCAUACAAUAAAAUUUAGCAUCAUGUCUUGACCAUAUCACAUCACAGCAUGCCCUGCAAAAACAUGUUAGACGUCCUCUACUUUGUUGUUGCAAGUUUUACGUGGCUGCUAUGGGCUGAGCAAGAACCGUUCUUACCUCGCAUCAAAACCGCAACGAUAUUUCGUCAAGUUAGUGCUGUUUUAACCUUCACAAGGACCGGGCGUAGCCACACUCAGUUCAACUAAAGUUGGAGAAACAGACACCCGCCAGCCACCUGUGUGCAAAGCACGUCGGUAGAACCAGUCUCGCGUAAGCGUACGCGUAAUGUCGGUCCGGGCCGCUUCAUCCAACAAUACCGCCGAACCAAAGUAUGACAUGCUGGUAAGCAGUAUGACAUGUAUCGCCCACAACUCACUUGUGUUCUACUCGUGCAUAUAACAUCUACGCAUAAACCUGGGUCGGAUGCCACUGUUGGGGAACGUAGUAAUUUCAAAAAAAUUCCUACGCACACGCAAGCAUGGUGAUGCAUAGCAACGAGAGGGGAGAGUGUGUCCACGUACCCUCGUAGACCGAAAGAGGAAGCGUUAUGACAACACGGUUGAUGUAGUCGUACGUCUUCACGAUCAACCGAUCGAUACCGAACGUACGACACCUCAGUGUUCUGCACACGUUUAGCUCAGAGACGUCCCGCGAACUCACGAUCCAGUAGAGCUUCACCGGAGAGUUUAGUCAGCACGACGGUGUGAUGACGGUGAUGAUGAUGCUACCAAUGCAGGGCUUCGCCUAAGCACCGCUACGAUAUUACCGAGGUGGAUUAUGGUGGAGGGGGCACCGCACACGCCUAAGAGAUCAAUGAUCAAUUGUUCUGUCUCCAAGGGGUGCCCCCCUCCCCGUAUAUAAAGGAGUGGAGGAGGGGGAAGGGGCCGGCCUCCUAUGGCGCGCCCCAUGAGGAGUCCUACUCCCACGGGGAGUAGGACUCCCCCUUUCCAAGUAGGAGUAGGAGAGGAGAAGGAAGGGAGAGAAGGAAAGGGGGGCGCCGCCCCCCUCCUUGUCCAAUUCGGACUAGAGGGGGAGGGGCACGCGGCUGCCCUGGCCGCCCCUCCUCUUCUCCCACUAGGGCCCAUUAGGCCCAAUAUCCUCCCGGGGGGGGGGGUCCGGUAACCCCCCGGUACUCCGGUAAAUGUCCGAAACCUCCCGAAACACUUCUGGUGUCCAAACAUAGUCGUCCAACAUAUCGAUCUUUAUGUCUCGGCCAGUUCGAGACUCCUCGUCAUGUCCGUGAUCAAAUCCGGGACUCCGAACUGCCUUCGGUACAUCAAAACACAUAAACUCAUAAUACCGAUCGUCACCGAACGUUAAGCGUGCGGACCCUACGGGUUCGAGAACUAUGUAGACAUGACCGAGACACGUCUCCGGUCAAUAACCAAUAGCGGAACCUGGAUGCUCAUAUUGGCUCCCACAUAUUCAACGAAGAUCUUUAUCGGUCAAAUCGCAUAACAACAUACGUUGUUCCCUUUGUCAUCGGUAUGUUACUUGCCCGAGAUUCGAUCGCCGGUAUCUUAAUACCUAUCUCAAUCUCGUUACCGGCAAGUCUCUUUGCUCGUUCUGUAAUGCAUCAUCCCGCAACUAACUCAUUAGUCACAUUGCUUGCAAGGCUUAUAGUGAUAUGCAUUACCGAGAGGGCCCAGAGAUACCUCUCCGACAAUCGGAGUGACAAAUCCUAAUCUCGAUCUAUGCCAACUCAACAAGUACCAUCGGAGACACCUGUAGAGGACCUUUAUAAUCAACCAGUUACGUUGUGACAUUUGGUAGCACACAAAGUUUUCCUCUGGUAUUCGGGAGUUGCAUAAUCUCAUAGUCAUAGGAACAUGUAUAAGUCAUGGAGAAAGCAAUAGCAGUAAACUAAACGAUCAAGUGCUAAGCUAACGGAAUGGGUCAAGUCAAUCACAUCAUUCUCCUAAUGAUGUGAUCCCGUUAAUCAAAUGACAACUCAUGUCUAUGGCUAGGAAACUCAACCAUCUUUGAUUAACGAGCUAGUCAAGUAGAGGCAUACUAGUGACACUAUGUUUGUCUAUGUAUUCACACAUGUACUAUGUUUCCAGUUAAUACAAUUCUAGCAUGAAUAAUAAAUAUUUAUCAUGAUAUGAGGAAAUAAAUAAUAACUUUAUUAUUGCCUCUAGGGCAUAUUUCCUUCAGUAACAUAGACUAGUAACAUAUGCAUGUGGUCGUUGCCGCCGGAACGUCGGCGCUCCGCACGAGGACGCCUGUCCUCGACGUUGGGCGUUCAGUGGAAGUGCCCGAUAGGGCGUUUGUCGAUGGGUGUAUAAUCUCCGGUCCCGUCAAGGUGGAUCAUAAUAAAAAACUACGGCCCUUGCAGGCUCUCCUCCCGCGGGCAACCCUCCGGCAGCGGCAGCCGGCCGCGACCGUCCAUCAGGCGGUCAAUGUUUGGAUACCCUAACUCAGUUAGAGGUUAGAUUUAGAUUCUAACCCUGAACUAACUCUAGCCAAGGAGGUUUUUGGAUGGCAGGGUUAGAUGGAGCGCGGAUACGGCGAGGCGCCUUCAUGGGCGAUGCGAGAGGGAGGGAGGGAGAGGACGAGAAGCUUCGAGGAAGUGGGGAGGGAUCUGCUGCAGGGAGAGCGAGAGAAAAUGUGUUUUUUUAGUGGUCCCAAGAGGAACUAACCCAAAUAAACACCUCUUGGGUGGGUUAGAUUUUUUGGAUGGGUUAGAUGCUCUAACCCAAACUAACCCUUCUGUUUGGAUAUUUUUGGGUUAAUUGAGUCCAAACUAACCCAAACUAACUCUAACCCAUGGAUCCAAACAGGGCCGAUGGUUGACCACGUGUUGGCGGUAGGGAUGUUAUCAGCGCUCCUUGCCCACACCCACGUGUACACGUACGAUGUGUUGGAGAGCGACGUGGUCUGCCUUUCAGGCGAUCCACCCAGCAAGAACGACUGAUUGCCUCCUGCACCUCUUCCUUCCUCUAGGCCUGCACCAUCAUGUUCUUUACGGCUAGGCGGAAGUAGAACCUCCAAAUGCGCCGGUGACCGUGGCCGGCCAGCGUCCAGAGCAGCAGCGAGAGGGCCACGCCACGUCAGGACGCCACUCCCGCGUCUAUAAUAUCAACAUAAUAAUUCAAACAAUGUAUAUCAGAUACACAUACCUGGCAAUCAUUUCAAAUCCCCAAUUUAUGAAUUUUUAUUUGACAUUUAGAUUCAAAUUUAGACAUAACAAAUGGUCCAAAUUAAACCAUUUGAAGUAAAACAUAAUAUAGAGAAAUUUAUUAGUCAUGAAGUGACCAUAAAUGCUCAACUAGAUCAUCGAGAAGUUAGAUCCUUGUUAUUAAAAAUAUGAAUGCCAAAUCCAAAGGUCAUUCGAUGCCACAACUUCCAGAAUUAUGGUUGCAUCUUUACCUUUCCCUAUGAAUUGUCCAUGCAAUGAUGUAGGACAAUUCUUCCACUUACAAUGCAUGCAAUCGAUGCUUUCAAGCAUACCGAGAAAGCCCUUUGAUGCACCCAUCUAAGGACUCUUGUAGUGUCCUCUUCAUCUGGCGCUCGAAGAUAUUCUUCUCUAAAUAUCUCAAUGAUAGACUUCACAAUUUUAUUCAAACUGUUAAUGCAAGUGCAAUCUGCCAUUCCAAUCCAAUCAUCAAUAUAAUCAGCAGGACAACGAUAUGCAAGCAUGCCCACCGCUGCCGAAAUCAUUCAAAGCACUAUGACCUUGUUGAUCGGCUACAUUUCUUCUUUGCAGAAAGUACGAGCAAUGAUCUUCCACGACACGAGCAAUGCACAAAGAAUAAGCCCAUUGACACUCGAAACCUUCACCUAUUUUUUAAAAACCGUACACCGGAUUCUCUCCAAAAUAUUCAUCCAUUAGUUUACCAUGGACGGCUUGCUUACUCCGACGAAGUACAAAUGCCCAGGCACCGAACCUCCCCACUUCAGCUUCUUGUUUUUUCACCGUGUCUGCAUAUAAAGCCAUCACCAUUUCAAGUUCUUCAUCCUCAUCUGAAGAUGAGUGGUCGAAAAACAACUCAACAAAGAUCUGCAAUGCAAGUGACGGUGUACAAUAUGAGCACACACAAUCUCAAUGGUAAUUUUUUGGGACAUAUAGAAAAUUUGGGUGAAGAAAUUUGUUGAAUACCUUGGGGAAAAAUGGAGACAAGGCGCUUUUGAGCCGCGGGGGAAAGUACGGGGAGGCAGCCUUGUAGAGGGCGGCACGUGGGGGCCGGGGCCAGCAUGUCCGAGCAGCGGAGGGGCGGUGCGGGACGGUGUUGCCAGUUCCUCCGGCUAGCGACGGGUCGUCUGAUGUCUACUACGCAACCUUCUUCUUGUAGACGUUGUUGGGCCUCCAAGUGCAGAGGUUUGUAUGACAGUAGCAAAUUUCCCUCAAGUGGAUGACCUAAGGUUUAUCAAUCCGUGGGAGGCGUAGGAUGAAGAUGGUCUCUCUCAAACAACCCCGCAACCAAAUAGCAAAGAGUCUCUUGUAUCCCCAACACACCCAAUACAAUGGUAAAUUGUAUAGGUGCACUUGUUCGGCGAAGAGAUGGUGAUACAGGUGUAAUAUCGAUGGUAGAUAUAGGUUUUUGUAAUCUGAAAAUAUAAAAACAGCAAGGUAACUAGUAACAAAAGUGAGCAAAACGGUAUGGCAAUGCGUCGAAACAAGGCCUAGGGUUCAUACUUUCACUAGUGCAAGUUCUCUUCACAAUGAUAACAUAAUUAGAUCAUAUAACAAUCCCUCAACAUGCAACAAAGAGUCACUCCAAAGUCACUAAUAGAGGAGAACAAACGAAGAGAUUAUUGUAGGGUACGAAACCACCUCAAAGUUAUUCUUUCUGAUCGAUCUAUUGGGCUAUUCCUAUAAGUGUCACAAACAGCCCUAGAGUUCGUACUAAAAUAACACCUUAAGAUACACAUCAACCAAAAGGCUAAUGUCACCUAGAUAUUCCAAUGUCACCACAAGUAUCCGCGGGUUUGAUUAUACGAUAUGCAUCACACAAUCUUAGAUUCAUCUAUUCAAACCAACACAAAGAACUUCAAAGAGUGCCCCAAAGUUUCUACCGGAGAGUCAAGACGAAAACGUGUGCCAACCCCUAUGCAUAAGUUCACAAGGUCACAUAACCCGCAAGUUUAUCACCAAAACAUACAUCAAGUGGAUCACGUGAAUAUCCCAUUGUCACCACAGAUAAGCACAUGCAAGACAUACAUCAAGUCUUCUAAAAUCCUUAAAGACUCAAUCCGAUAAAAUAACUUCAAAGGGAAAACUCAACCCAUUACAAGAAGGUAGAGGGGGAAAAACAUCAUAAGAUCCAACUAUAAUAGCAAAGCUCGCGGUACAUCAAGAUCGUGCCAUAUCGAGAACACGAGAGAGAGAGAGAGAGAGAGAGAGAGAGAGAGAGAGAGAGAGAGAGAGAUCAAACACAUAGCUACUGGUACAUACCCUCAUCCCUGAGGGUGAACUACUCCCUCCUCGUCAUGGAGAGCGUCGGGAUGAUGAAGAUGGCCACCGGUGAUGAUUUCCCCCUCCGGCAGGGUGCCGGAACAGGGUCCCGAUUGGUUUUUGGUGGCUACAGAGGCUUGCGGCGGCGGAACUCCCGAUCUAGGUUUCUUUUCUGGAUUUUUUGUAUUUAUAGGAAUUUUUGGCGUCGGUUUCACGUCAUGGGGGGUCCACGAGGAGCCCACAAGGACGGAGGGCGCGCCCUAGGGGGGUGGGCGUGCCCUCCACCCUUGUGGAGGUCUCGUGGCUCUUCUGGCCCAACUCCUUUGCUUCGGGGGCUUCUUCUGGUCCAUAAAAAAUCACCGUAAAUUUUCAGCUCAUUUGGACUCCGUUUGACAUUCCUUUUCUGCGAAACUCAAAAACAAGGAAAAAACAGAAACUGGCACUGGGUUCUAGGUUAAUAGGUUAGUCCCAAAAAUCAUAUAAAAUAGCAUAUAAAUGCAUAUAAAACAUCCAAGAUAGAUAAUAUAAUAGCAUGGAACAAUAAAAAAUUAUAGAUAUGUUGGAGACGUAUCAUCGUCGUGGCAGUGUGGGGAGGCAGCGGGGCGGCGAGGAGCAACACGGGACAACUGGACGAGGUGGGCCUGGAGACGAGGUUCGGGUGCCCUGAAACUUCAGCGGUUGCUAUUCGCGAAAGUUUACGGGAAGAAUCUUCUUCCCGCAUAUGGAAGGGAACUUGUGGGAGUAAAUUGCGAAAAACCACGACCAUUGAGGUCCCUAAUUCAAAAAACCAUCACAUUUCAUUUUUCUUUACAAAAAACCACCAGCAUUGUGGUGACAAUUGUGAGAAAAUGAUGAUAGGUCGAUUAAGAGCCGUUUGACACCGAAUUUGACGGGUAGGUGUAAGUGCAUCUAUUGCCACCCCUAGUUGGUUUUGGAGUAUUGACGACAAACUUGGUUGAGGGACUAAUGUGUUUGUGAGAAUUGCAGGAUAACACAGGUAGUAGUCCCUUAUUGAUUCGGUUUACCUACCAGAGAUGGCCCCUAAAAAUGUGUGAAGACAUUGAAGACAAUGGUGAUUCGUGAAGACAUUCACUUGAAGACUAUGGAGUGCGAAGACAUAGUUGUUUUGUAGUUUCCUUUUCUUCUUUGUUGAGUCAUAGGAACCAUCGUACUGUUAAGUGGGGUCCAAGUGAACAAAGUCAGAAUGACUGAUGUGAUGCUCAACCUAAAUCCUAUGUCUUCGAGCGAAGACAAUGAGAGCAAAUCUUAUCCAAAGCUGGAUGAGUCAGCUUUGCUUGUAGCCCAAAUAAAGCUGCCGCGUGUGUUUGAAAUCCGAUUGUUGGACACGUGUCGGUUCCUUAGUGACCCAGGGUCAUUUCGGACAUAUCAGGUCGGGUUGCCUCCUGGCUAUAAAUAGCCCACCCCCUACAAAUUGGUGGCUGCUCAGAGUUAGUGCACGACUUUUGUCGUUUGAGAGCAACCCACCUCCGAAACCUUUGAGAGAGCGAUCCUUGUGAGGACAAAGCCCAAAACACCCAGAGCCAAAGUGUGUUAGGCAUCACUGAAGUCUUUCUGUUCGCGUGACCUGAAGACUUGUUACACAUGAGGACUGUGUAUCCUCCAGCCGGUUAGGCGUCGCGUUUUGAGCAUCCAAGAUUCAUUGUGGAUUGCCGGUGAACGAAGUCUGUGAAGGUUUGGAAGUCUACCUUGAAUACUUACCAGAGUGAUUGGGUGAGGACUGGGUGUCCGUAGCUCAAGGGGAAUAUGGUGAAGACGCGAUCUUCAGAGUUAAAUCUCAGCCUCCCUAACCAGACGUACAGUUGUCACAGCAACUGGAACUGGUCUACCAAAUCCUUGUCUUCACCAAGCAACUGGUUCUAUCCCCCACUUUCCUUUAGUUUACAGUUUGUCUUCGUGAAUUCAUUGCUUACUUGUCUGAUCUGUUUGACUUCACUGCGUGAAGACUAUUUCCUGUUUGGCUUCAUACUGUCUUCAAUCCUGAUCCAUACUUCCUAGUUGCUGCUAGUCUUCGUGCUUUCACUUCAUUGCUUACUUGACUAUGGCUUGCCUAGUGUAGUCUAUCUUCCGCUGCAUAUCAAUAGGUUCAUUUCUAUUGUUAGUCUUCAAAGACCUCGUGUUUUGAAGACUUUCUUAAAAAUCGCCUAUUCACCCCCCUCUAGUCGAUAACUAGCACUUUAAAUUGGUAUCAUAGCAAGGUGCUCCCUUGUUCUGUGUGAUUCGGUUUAACAACCUGGAGUUUUAGCUAUGUCGACUGCAGGGAUAAUCAAGGUCUCCGCUGCGUGCCCGGUCUUCGAUGGCACUAAUUACCCCUACUGGCAGAAUAAGAUGUGCAUGCAUCUUGAAGCCAUUGACGUCGACCUCUGGUAUGUCGUCAAGACAGGCGUUCCCAAGGUUGGUGAAGGUGUCACCGCUACUGAUGUCAAGAGGUUCGCUCAACUGGACUCGACCGCGAAGAACAUCAUCUGUGGUCAUCUGACCAAAGGAUAGUAUGGCCGUGUGAGUGCACUGGAAACUCCGAAGCUAGUCUGGGACUGGCUGUCCAAGGUCAACGAAGGCGUCUCAACUCAGAGAGAUUCAAGGAUUGAUGUUCUUCGCAACCUCUUCAACUGCUUCAAGAGAAACGAUAAUGAGAAUGUCCAGCUCACAUUCGAUCGCCUCACUGAUAUCACAAAUGAGCUACGUGCUCUUGGCGCCACUGAGAUCACCAAGCAUGAAAUCAUCAAGAAGCUUCUGAGAUCACUUGACAACUCAUUUGACACCCUGGCCCUGAUGAUACAAGAACGUCCUGACUUCAAAGAUCUCGAUCCGUCUGACGUACUUGAGAGGCUCAACACACAUGAGUUCCAGCUAUCUGAGAAAAGAGACAUCUAUGGCCCCAACUAUGGCCGAACCUGUGCUUUGAAGGCAAAGGUUGUUUCCUCAUCUGAAGAAGAAUCCGACUGCAGUUCUGAGGAUCCUAAAGACAUUGGAAGGGAGCUAGCUAUGCUCGUCAAGAAGUUUCAGAAGUUCUCCAAAAGGAACCGCUUCGGAAAGUCUUCAAGAUCCAGCUCAAGAAAUGAUGAGGCUUCCACUCGUGACCACAAGAAGAGAACAUGCCACAAAUGCAAGAAGCUAGGCCACACUACAUCUCUGAGUGUCCACAAUGGGACAAGGAAUCUAAGAAGAAGAAGAAGAAGAAGAAGAAGAAGAAAAAGAGCAAGGAAUAUGAUUCUGGCGACAAGAAGAAGAAGAAAUAUUCAAAGUCUUCAUCAAAGUCUUCGUCUCACAAGAAGAGCUCAUCCAGCAAGGCUCGUGAGUUUGUUGGCAAGGAGAUGGAUUCAGAGGAGGAGUCUGCUUCUGAGGAGGCGGAGGUGGAGUCUGAGGAGGAGUCUGAUUCAGGCGUGGCAAGCCUGGCUCUAGCUUCGGCUUUCGUCGCCAAGUCCAUUUUCAACACUGAAGAGAAUGGUCACGUCGCCGAUGCUGAAGCCAAUGAUGAGGACAACUCUGCUCCGACCUAUUGCUUCAUGGCACGUGGUGCCAAGGUAAACUCACGCGAUGCUUACUUUCAAACAUCCAGUGAAGAUGACUCUGAAUGUGAAUCUAAACCUAGCUACAAGACACUUGCUAAAAUUGCAACUGAACAACAAACUGCUAUGGAACAUAUUCAAAACUUGCUAGACAAAAGCGAUGACCUGUUGGACAUGGAAAUGAAUCAAACUCAGUCCUUAAUUGAAGACAUGAAAAAUCUUCACAUUAAGUACAAGGAACUUGAAAGUCGUCAUGAAACUCUCUCAGCUACUCAUGAUAAGCUUUCCUAUGAUUAUCUUCAAAGAAAGCAAGAACUUGAGAACCUAAGAGCGUCUCAUGAAGAUCUUCAAAAAGAGAACGAUUCACUUCAUGCUCAACAAAACAGUUCCACUCAGGAAGACUUUGAGCCACCAUGUUUAAAUGUCUUGAGCGUGAUAAUGCUGUCUCUGUUGUUGAAUGUUUUACUGCUGCUACUGUUGCAAUAUCUUCAACUACUGAUGUGGUAACUAACCCCUUUUCUGAGGAUACCACUACUAUUGCUGAUGAGAAUGCUAGGUUGAAGACAUUGCUUGAAAUAGGGAUGUACAAAAGCCUCAAAGGGCAUCAGACACUAUGUGAUGUCCUCAAGAAAUAGAUUCUGAACCGAAACCCUAGGAAAGAGGGUGUUGGGUUCGAGAGGAAAAUGAAUGUUGAUGGUUCAUACUGGAAACCAGAGCAGUACCCCAAAACCACAUGGGUUGCUGCAAAGGGACCUUCAGUGGAUCCAUCUACCUUAUCUGGCUUCACUUGUGCUAACCCUAUUAUCAUUGAUGAAUCCUUUGAUGCAAACUAUAAGGUAUUUAAGAAUCAGAAUGGUGAAGUGUUUCCCAGGUAUAUUGGUACUAACUGCAGGAAUGGACCACCCUUGAAGAAGAUCUGGGUGCCCAAGAGUUGUCUUGAGAAGCUUCCUGUGAAUGUCAUCAUGACACCACCAGGGAAGAAGACAAACCCCAGACCAAAGGCUUCAUAUGGUCCAAAGGCUUCAUAAGGUCCAAAGGCUUCAUACAGACAUAGGACCCACCAGGGUCACCCUAACGCCAAUGUUUUGCAGGGAAACCAUACUCAGUCUUAUGAAUAUGAGUGUGUUUCAUCAAAUCGCUAUGUUCAUAAAACCAAGAACUUUUCUGCUUAUUCUUAUGAGUAUUAUUCACCUCUUGCAAGGCUAUUUGCUAGGGCUCCAAAGCCAAAAUUCUCAGAUGCUGUACUUAGACUCAUUGCUUCUAAGCCACCCCUGAAGAUGUGGGUGGUUAAGAAGAAUUAACUCUCUUUUGCAGGGAAAGGUCUCCAGCCUGAAAUCAAAGGCUUCUGAUGCUUAUGCUGGGGACCUAAAUCAUCUUAUGGGACGCAAGAUAAAAUGCCAAAAUGGUCUUACUAUGCAUUUCGUCCCAGGAUUUCUAGACAAACAUCCUAUCUACCCUAACAAGGAUCUGAACUUUAAUAGUAUGCUCGUUCGUCAAAUGUUUAUGCUUCACAAUACUCUUGGUGAAGCCUAUCCCACUAACUACACUGUAGGGCACGGCUCCGAAAGCUACUGAGUGGAUUAUGGACAGUGGACGCACUAGCCACAUGACUGGUGAUCGAAGUCUUAUGGAUUCAACCCUACGACCAUCUGACGAAAGUCACAUCACAUUUGCCGACACUGGUAAAAGCAAGUCUUCAAAGGGUAUCGAAAAGACGAUCUGUAUAUGGUAGAUUUCUCCGUAGCACCACAGCUUGUCGUAUGUCUUCUAGCAAAAGCUUCAGAGUGCUGGCUUUGGCAUCGGAGGCUAGGACGUGCGGGCAUGAGGAACUUGCACACUCUCGCGAAGAAGAAGCAUGUCAUUGGCAUCGAGGGCGUCAAGUUCAAGAAGGAUCAUCUAUGUGGUGCCUGUGAAGCCGGAAAAAUGACUAGAGCCAAGCAUCACUCGAAGACAAUCAUGAUAACAACACGUCCCUUCGAGUUGCUUCACAUGGACUUAUUUGGCCCUACUCACUACUCUACCCUUACUACCACUGCAUGCCUCUAUGGUUUCGUCAUUGUUGAUGAUUACUCAAGAUAUACAUGGGUGCACAUAAUUCUCUACAAGACUGAAGUGCAGGAUGUCUUCAGACGAUUCGCCAAUCGUGCCAUGACCAACUAUGGCAUCAAGAUCAAGCACAUCAGAAGUGACAAUGACACAGAAUUCAAGAACACCGGUCUCGACACUUAUCUUGAUACAUUGGGCAUCACACAUGAGUUCUCUGCUCCAUACACACCUCAGCAAAAUGGCAUCAUGGAGCGCAAGAACAGAACCCUCAUUGAGAUGGCACGAACGAUGCUUGAUGCGUACAAGACACCAAGGAAAUUCUGGCCUGAAGCCAUUGAUACAGCAUGCCACAUCAUCAACCGUGUUUAUCUUCACAAGUUCCUAAAGAAGACAUCAUAUGAGCUCUUGACUGGUAAGAAGCCAAAUGUCAGCUAUUUCAGAGUCUUUGGUACUAGGUGCUGGAUCAAGGAUCCGCAUCACGCUUCAAAAUUCGCACCGAAAGCACAUGAAGGUUUUAUGCUUGGCUACGGAAAGGAUUCGCACUCCUACAGAGUCUUCAACCUCUUUCACUACAAAGUAGUUGAAACUGUGGAUGUGUGGUUCGAUGAGACUAAUGGUUCGCAAAGAGAGCACCUGCCAAAUGUGCUAGAUGAAGCUACACCAAGUGAAUCUAUCAAGGUUAUGGGUACCAGAGAAAUCAUACCUUCAGAGGAACAUGCUGAAGAGGAAAUCAUCAUUUCUGCACCUAUUCAGCAUGAAGACACUGCUCAGCCUGAAGCCAAUGCUGAAGAUGAAGACAAUGAUCAGCAAGGGCAAAAUCUUCGUCUAGUUCAUCCUCGCAUUGCAAAUGAAGUCCAGAUUGAGAAGAUAAUUGAUAGCAUUAAUGCACCUGGUCCACUCACUCGUUCAAGAGCAACACAGCUAGCAAAUUUCUAUGGGCACUUUGCAUUUGUCUCUAUAUCUGAACCCAAGAAAGUUGAUGAAGCCUUCAUGGAACCUGAAUGGAUUCAAGCUAUGCAAGAAGAGCUUCAAUAGUUUGAGCUGAACAAUGUAUGGGAGCUAGUAAAGCGUCCUGAUCCUCGCAAGCACAAUAUCAUCGGCACCAAAUGGAUCUAUCGCAACAAACAAGAUGAGCAUGGUCAAGUUGUCAGAAACAAGGCUCGUCUCAUCGCUCAAGGCUACACACAAGUUGAAGGGAAUGACUUCGAUGAAACUUUUGCUCCCGUGGCUAGGCUUGAAGCCAUUCGCAUACUGCUAGCCUAUGCCAACCACAACAACAUUCUUCUGUACCAAAUGGAUGUAAAAAGUGCCUUCCUCAACGGCAAAAUUGAAGAAGAAGUGUAUGUUGCACAUCCACCUGGCUUUGAAGACCCAAAGCGUCCUGAUAUGGUAUACAAGCUCAACAAGGCACUGUAUGGCCUCAAGCAAGCCCCUCACGCUUGGUAUGACACACUCAAAGACUUCUUGAAGAGCAAAGGCUUCAAACCUGGUUCCCUAGAUCCCACUCUCUUCACGAAGACAUAUGUUGGUGAACUAUUUGUAUGCCAAAUCUAUGUGGAUGACAUUAUCUUCGGCUGCACUGACAAGAGAUACAAUGAUGAAUUUGGGCAUAUGAUGCAAGAGCAAUAUCAGAUGUCCAUGAUGGGUGAGCUGAAAUUGUUCCUUUGUCUUCAAAUCCGUCAGCAAAGAAAUGUCAUCUUCAUAUCACAAGAAAAAUACCUCAAAGAUUGCCUGAAGAAGUUUGGAAUGCAAGACUGCAAAGGGUACACGAUGCCAAUGCCAACCAAAGGCCAAUUGGGCCCUGACGACAAUGGUAAAGAGUUCGAACAAAAGGUAUACCGCUCCAUGAUUGGCUCUUUACUCUACUUAUGUGCAUCUAGGCCUGAUAUAAUGCUUAGCGUUUGCAUGUGUGCCCGAUUCCAAGCGGCACCAAAGGAAUCGCAUCACUUAGCUGUGAAGCGAAUUCUUCGAUAUUUGGCUUACACCCCAACACUAGGAUUAUGGUAUCCAAAGGGCUCAGAGUUUGAUCUAGUUGGAUUCUCAGAUGCUGAUUAUGCUGGUGACAAGGUUGAUCGCAAGUCCACUUCAAGCGCAUGUCACUUUCUUGGACGAUCUCUUGUCUGUUGGUCUUCAAAGAAGCAGAACUGUGUAUCACUUUCCACUGCUGAAUCCGAAUACAUUGCUGCUGGAUCUUGCUGCGCUCAGCUUCUAUGGAUGAAGCAAACUCUCAAGGACUAUGGCAUCCACCUGAAGCAUGUGCCACUCUAAUGCGACAAUGAAAGCGCCAUCAAGAUUUCCAACAACCCAGUUUAGCACUCGAAGACAAAGCACAUUCAGAUCCGUCAUCACUUUCUCAGAGAUCAUGUCAUGAAGGAAGACAUUGAUAUCAUUCACGUCAACACUGAAGAGCAAUUGGCAGAUAUCUUCACAAAGCCCUUGGAUGAGAAAAGGUUUUGCAAGCUGCGGUGUGAGCUAAAUAUCUUAGAAUCCUCGAAUUUCCUGUGAAUGGACACACAUCCUAACGCUUAUGCAUGUUGAUGACUUAGAUCUGCAACACACGAAGUAACAUAUAUCUUCAAUCAAUGAAGACUUACCUCUAAGUGUGAAUACAUUAACACGGAAUUUGACGUCGGAGCGCCACGAUAAUUAUGCGCCGUGUCUGGGUCUAAUACUCCCUAUACGGUGGGUAACACCACCACCAAACUUUCUCGAAGAUUUUCAUUUGGCGUCAUGAUUGCAUUAUCUUCAUAUUUGGUUUGUCUUCAACAUUGAUUUGACUUCAAGGUUUAUCUUCGCAAUGUUGAUUUGGUCUUUACUGAAAUAUCUAUAUAUAAAUAUGUGUUAUGUCGUCUACAACAUUCACUUAUAGUUAUGUCUUCAAACUUGCCAUUUUCUAAACUAAGUGAAUGUGAUCGGACCCUAACCCCUUCUGUGCUUCUUCCUCAAAUUCUGUCUAUCUAGUCAUAUGCAUUCUGUUGAAACGUGUCAAAUGUCUUCACUACGUCCUUGUCAGCUGAAGAUACAGAGACUCACAUUUAAAUCUGCUUUUAAUGCUAUAUCUCUGUUGCCUGAAUACCGGAGAAGCCAGAACAACCACGCGACAAAUAAGGCGCGCGUGGGAACGUGGAACAACUAUCCAUAAGUUGCAUGCAUGCCACGUGUCCAUCAGAUGUGAACCGCCAUGGGCACCUGCGUAAUUACGCUGCGCAACCCUUCUCCUUAUAAAUACACACCCGCGCGGCCAUUAUCUCCUCUUCCACCUCCCCAUCUCGCUCAAACCCUAGCGCCAUCGCUAGCUCACGUCGACGCUGAAACGAAGCGCUUAGCUGCCGCGACCUCUUCGACGCCGUCCUCACGCCGGCAGCGGACCUCGUCUUCUCCGCCGCCGCCGUAUGUGUCUUCCGCCGCCAAGUUAGGGCGUGGGAGAUUGGACUGCUCGGCAUCCGUUCUGCCUCGUCUAGCAGUUCUUCUGUGGUAAAUAAAUCUCACUUUUUACAGCGUUUUGAUCUGUCAAUCCAUCCACUUCAACCAAAAGUGGUUUCUACACUUCCAAAUCUGGAUCUUUCUCUUUCUGAAUCUCAUAUCCUGCAAAGUAUGUUCACUUAUGCUUCAUAACUAGUUAGAUUCUCACUUGUACUUAUUCAUGGAUUCGUACAAAUCUGGAACCAACUCACUUCAAAUAAGCGAAUGUCUUCGCACUAUGAGGUCAAUGUCUUCAAACAAAUUUAUCUUCAAAAUCUUCUGAGAAUGCAUAUGACCGCUUCCCCUUCCCUCGCAUCUCAAAUGCUGUCACAGGUACAUGUCCGUGGGAGAAUCCCUUGGUUCUCAUAGUCUGCAUUCAUUUGCAGAAUACUUGCAGCGUCACAUUGAAUCACCUAAAGCCAGUACUUGUUUGACAAGUCAUCAGAAGCCUUUCACUAUUUUGAAGCCUCUCUGUCUGAAUAUUAUGGAUUUUGAAAAAUCAGCAAGGAAAGGUGGCAGACAACGCCGUGGCAAUACUGCUCUGGAUCUGCCUCCGGAUCUCUAUGAACUUUAUAAGUCUGAUCCUAAGGAGAACUACAAUCAGCGCAAGACCCGAAUCCAGUGGAUCGGAAGAUAUUGGGCAGAAAAAUGGUUCAAGUAUAACUUCGUCACUCCUGAAUAUGUUGAGAGGAAUGCUAUCAAGCGCCCAUGGGCCGAUAUUCUUUACAAGAAUUUACCACCCAAGACGAAGUCUGAAGCUAUUGCUCUAGGCUUCUAUCCGUGCAUGGUUCGAGGACCUCAACCUGAGAAUGCCAACCCAUCAUCUCUUCUGUGGUGUUGUGACGACAAUCUCUUCAAGCGCAACUUUCAGUUUGCAAAGGAUUCAGCUGCCAAGAACAAAAAGGCAUUCGGACUUGACUUCAACCCUGGUCCAUCUGCUCCAAGGUUUGAUGGCACACAUGACGCCAAUCCCAAUGUCAUCGACCCCUUCAAUAGCUUCGAUGGGCUCCUCUCGCAUAUUGCUGCUCAGAGGGCCACGGCGGAACAAUCUGCUGAUGAUGCAGACUCUGAAGAUGCACCUGCAGCACCGAAGCAGAAGAAGAAGAAGUCAAAAGCUUCAAAGCCCUCUGCUGCACCAAAAGCUUCGACUGUGAAGCCAUUGAAGGAUGCACCUCCUUCACCAAGUGUGCAGUCUGAAGACUUAUCUCGUGUCUCCAAGAAGACCCAGAAGCCCACAAAGAUUUCAGAGCAAAACCUGACUCCUGCUAUUGUUCUGCGCAAUGAGGAAAACACCAUUGAUCUGUCCAGUGAUGAAGAUCUUGGUGAUGAAGCUCUAGAGAUGUUGAUCAAGAGCAAGCAAGAGGCAGAGAUCUUUCAAGAUCUGCCUCUCUUUGAUGCGGGCAUUCUGAACAACUUCAUUGAUGAAUGGUUUGAGGACCAAAGCAUCAAUAUUGAUGAUCUACAGCUGCCAAUGGACAUCAUCAUCACAUUUCACGGAGCGAUUGCAAAUGAACUUGCUCUGGCUCAGAAAAUCGUCGAGCUCAAGAACAAGAUUGAUUAUGAGAAAGCACAUUUCAAGAAGCACGUUGAGAAGCUCAGUGUUGCUGCUGUGCAAAUCUUCAAGGAGAUGAUGAAUGACCUCAAGGCCGAAUUCAACAAGAAGCGUGAAGAAGCCAAAGGCUCACGCGAGCGCAUGAAGUACUAUGCACAGAAAUGCGUGCAAGCUCACAAUGAAGUUGAGAAGAGAAAGGCUCUUGGGCGUCUUGGCAUCGACCCCAAGAUGGCUGCCAAGAAAACCAAGAAGUCUGUUGAAGCCAUACCCAAAGCUCAACGGCAGGAACGACCAAGCAUAGCCUUCCCUACCAGUAUGACUAGCUCGAAGCCAAAGGUCCCCUCAGCAGCUUCCGAGCAGAAGAAGACAAGGCAAGCUGAAGCCGAAUCCAGAAAGAGGAAGCUCAAAGAUACCUCUGAUGAUGCUCCCUCCAAGAAGAAAUUGAAGACAAAGGCUUCAAAGUCUUCAAAGAAAGAGAAUGCCUCUGCCCCAGAGCCCCUCAACGUUGAACCAAUCUCUGUUGCUCUCCCUGCCUCUACCAACCAAGAGCGCCGUCUAGUGAUUCAUGAGCCUGCUUCCACAGAGGCUCCUUUAAGCAAAGAGAUUCCAGCUGUUGACCCAAACGCAGCUGAAGAUAUUGGUCAUGAAGACAAUGUGAAUGAUGAUGAGUCCUUCCUCAACUUGAACCUAAGUCGGUAUCAUCGCCGUGAACUUGUUAGCAUUGCUCGUCCCUUGACGCCAGUUGCUCAAGAUGACUCGUGGGUUGAGCAACAACAACAAGACACCCCUCUGCAAGACGAGACCCCACGUACUCCACAUCCUCAAGUCACCACUGCGAUGCUUGAUGAUGACAAUUACAUGGAACAAACCACUCCCUCUCCAAAGGUGUCGCUAGCCUUUCGCAGGCUUCGCAAAGGCCUCAGGCCACAGGUUUCCAUGACAAGCAUUCCAGAAGAGGAUGUGCAGCACACGAGCUCAGUAGCACGUCAAGUGUUUCCUGAAGCCACCCCUUCUGCGUGUGUCUCUGAGUCUGAAACCAAAGCUGCUGAAGACAUUCCGGCUGCAUCAGCCGAUGAAGAAGAAAAAGAAGAUGAAAGAGAAGCCACACCCCUGCUAGUGAUGCAGUCAUUCCAGAAGAGAAUGUGAUCGUGCCCGACUCUCCAGUUGUUGACCAGGUGGAGGUUGAAAACAAUUAGCCUGCCACAACCAACAAUACUAAAGCCAGUGACACUGUCAUGGCUAAAGAUAAUGUGGAGCCCGAAGCCAAUGCUGCAACUGACACCAUUGUGCGGCCAAUCACUUCAGAUGACGCCGUUCCUCCACCAAGGCCUCAUACAAUGGAACGCACGUUCAAUCGUUGUGGCGAGCUUGUAACUGUCAGAUGGCCUAUCAUGGUUCCACCCACUGCUCCUGGGCCGCAAUAUGAUUAUCAUGUGAAGCAGAGGCCUCAGGUUCAGAAGCCUAAGCCAAGAUUGCCAAGGCUUCCAAGUGCUGCAACAACACAGGGCUCGUUCAGUGUGCUCAGCUUCAGAGAGCACAACACUUUCUUUGACAGCGCCAAGAACCCAUACACGAAGCCAAAGAUAUCCUCCGACAGGUUUUGGAGCCAUCAGCAGCGAAGCUACUACUCUUGCAUCCUAUACAACCAAGACCGGAUUUUUUCGCAUAAGCAUCUGGAUUGUGAUGCUACGGCUGGGCUGCCAUGCCUCAAAGAGGCCCUUGAUUGUUUUCGGGAUGUUGGGCUUCUACCAUUUGUGACUGACAAGGAGCACUGGAAUGAAGAACUUGUACUCCAGUUCUAUGCAACACUGCACAUUCGAGGUUACAACAGGGAUCCGAAGACUUGGAUCCUUGAGUGGAUGACAGGUGACAUUCAUCACGAAGCUAAAGCUCAGGACAUCAUUGAGCUUACCUCCCUGCCCACUCCAAGUGACUUGUAUGAACCUAGUUGUCAGCUUCAUCAGAACAAACUUCAAAGCAUAUUCCAUAAGCCAGAGCCCAACAUGAGCCAAAUGUUGAGCAUGAUGAAGCCAUUGCCCCAAGACGUCGAACACCCCAAGGAGUUCUUUGUUAAGGACCCUGAGUACUUGCCACGCACAGUCUAUCAUAUUAUGAGGCGUACUCUCUGGCUAAUCAAAGGAAACUCUUCUGAAGCUAAACUCGAAGGCGCCAUGAAGACAUUGGUUUUCUAUAUCAUCAAUGGCAUCAGAUUCAACACUCAGGAUUUCUUCAUCCGACAGCUUGCUGCUUCUGGGAUUGAUCUUUUUGGCCUGAAAUUUUAUGCUCCAUGGGUGAUGCGCUUGAUCAAGCUUCAUUCAACCAUCGACUAUCAACCUUCAGCGGGCAACCAUAUUGUAUUUCUGCCUGAUGUUGAUAUGUCCAUUGAAGCCAUCUACCCCGAGCCAGCAAAGAAGCCACUGCACCUUCAGAAUGCAGAAUUCCAAAGCUUCACGCAGCCUAUUGAAGGGAUUCAUGUGCCAAAUGCAUCAACUCCUUCUUAUCCUCUAGCUGGCAACUUGCGUCUGCCGCAUCAUGCUAAAACUGAAGCCACUGCCAGCACCAUUGCUCAAAGGCCUCAGAAGCAUCCUCGUGUCCUCAACGACCGUGAGCUUCUAAUGUCCUUGCAUCAAAAGCAGGAUAGGCAUCAUGACUGGCUGAAGCAUCAGAUGCAGAGUGUCUUGGUGGAUGUUAAUCAUAUUCAAAACUUGGCCACCAAGAACUCUUUUGUUGCACAUGAAGCCUGUCGGCGGUCCUGGAAGAGCCUCACAUUGCUCUGCUCUGAAGAUGACCUUUGCGAAGAUGGCUUCACAGAGAGCUUCAAGUUUGACUCCAAGCUGGCGUCGCACACCAUCCAUUGAAGAUUCUGAACAUUCGUCUUCGCCUGCAACUGUUGUUGCGAGAGUCGUCGAUGAAGAAGAUGAUGCCACUUCACCAACUCUGACUGCUCUGCACCACGAUUCUGCUUCAGGUCCUUUUGCACCACCAAACUCCUACGUCAACCCUGCUCCAUCUUCUACUCCAACUGGGAACGAGUAGAUCCUCUAUGUCUUCAAACCUUUUCGGUCAUUACUGACAAAAGGGGGAGAAGCAUAUGAGUUUGAUAGUCUUCAAGCGGGUCCAUAUGGGGUGGUUGCAUUAUUUUUGCUAAGUUCUUACAGCUCUCGUUUUGAAACUAUUUGGCUUUUGAGUUGUAACACUUAAACUUGACGGUCGUCUGCUACUUUGUGAUGCGAUGAUAAAUUCCGCAUGAAGUCAUUCUGCGGACGCCCAUUUCUCAUUAUGCAUGCCAUUAUCUUCGUUAUUCUUAUAUAUGCAUGAUGAAUUGUCUUCGUAAGUCGAGGAGGAUCUCCACAAAGUAAAACCUGCCAUGUGCAUUUGCAUUCAAAAGCAAACUACUUAUAUGCACAUCUUCAGGGGGAGCCUUUUGCAACUUAUGAAGACAAUGACCUUAAUCUUUAACUUUCACAUACUUUUAUCCCCGUUGAAAACUUCAACCAGUUUGUCAUGAAUCACCAAAAAGGGGGAGAUUGUAAGUGCAUCUAGUGCCACCCCUAGUUGGUUUUGGAGUAUUGACGACAAACUUGGUUGAGGGACUAAUGUGUUUGUGAGAAUUGCAGGAUAACACAGGUAGUAGUCCCUUAUUGAUUCGGUUUACCUACCAGAGAUGACCCCUAAAAAUGUGUGAAGACAUUGAAGACAAUGGUGGUUCGUGAAGACAUUCACUUGAAGACUAUGGAGUGCGAAGACAUAGUUGUUUCGUAGUUUCCUUUUCUUCUUUCUUGAGUCAUAGAAACAAUCGUACUAUUAAGUGGGGUCCAAGUGAACAAAGUUAGAAUGACUGAUGUGAUGCUCAACCUAAAUCCUAUGUCCUCGAGCGAAGACAAUGAGAGCAAAUCUUAUCCAGAACUGGAUGAGUCAGCUUUGCUUGUAGCCCAAGUAAAUCUAUCACGUGUGUUUGAAAUCCAACCGUUGGACACGUGUCGGUUCCUUAGUGACCCAGGGUCAUUUCGGACAUAUCAGGUCGGGUUGCCUCCUGGCUAUAAAUAGCCCACCCCCUACACCAAAAAUUGGUGGUUGCUCAGAGUUAGUGCACGGCUUUUGUCGUUUGAGAGCAACCCACCUGCGAAGCCUUUGAGAGAGAGAUCCUUGCGAGGACAAGGCCCAAAACACCCAGAGCCAAAGAGUGUUAGGCAUCACUGAAGUCUUUCUGUCUACGUGACCUGAAGACUUGUUACACUUGAGGAUUGUGUAUCCUCCAGCCGGUUAGGCAUCGCGUUCUGAGCAUCCAAGAGUCAUUGUGGAUUGCCGAUGAACAAAGUCUGUGAAGGUCUGGAAGUCUACCUUGAAGACUUACUAGAGUGAUUGGGCGAGGACUGGGUGUCCUUAGAUCAAGGGGAAUAAGGUGAAGACGCGGUCUUCUGAGUAAAAUCUUAGCCUCCUUGAUACGUCCAUUUUGCAUCAUGUUUUCUUGCUGUUAUUUAUGAUGUUUUUAUCCAUAAUAAUGCUUUUUGGAGUAAUUCUAAUGCCUUUUCUCUCAUAAUUUGCAAGGUACACAUCAAGAGGGAGAAUUCUGGCAGCUGGAAAUCUGGACCUGAAAAAGCUACGUCAGGCUACCUAUUCUGCACAACUCCAAACAAGCUGAAACUUCACGGAGAGUUUUUAUGGAAUAUUUAAGAAAUAUUGGAGCAAAUAACUACCAGAGGGGGCCCAUCAGGUGGGCACAACCCACCUGGGCGCGCCAGGGAGCCCAGGCGCGCCCUGCUGGGCUGUGCCCUCCUCGGCCCACCUCCAGUGCCCAUCUUCUGGUAUAUAAGUGUAAGUGCAUCUAGAGCCACCCCUAGUUGGUUUUGGAGUAUUGACACAAACCUGGUUGAGGGACUAACGUGUUUGUGAGAAUUGCAGGAUAACACAGGUAGUUGUCCCUCAUUGAUUCGGUUUACCUACCGGAGAUGACCCCUAAAAAUGUGUGAAGACAUUAAAGACAAUGGUGGUCUGUGAAGAUAUUCACAUUGAAGACUAUGACAUGAGAAGACAUCGCAUGAAGACUAUGGAGCGCGAAGACUUAGUUGUUUUGUUGUUUCCUUUUCUUCUUUGUUGAGUCAUAGGAACCACCGCACUGUUAAGUGGGGUCCAAGUGAACAAAGUCAGAGUGACUGAAGUGAUGCUCAACCAAAUCCUAUGUCUUCGAGCGAAGACGAUGAGAGCAAAUCUUAUCUAGAGGCGGAUGAGUCAGCUUUACUUGUAGCACAAGUCAGGCUGCCGCGUGUGUUUGAAAUCUGACCGUUGGAACACGUGUUAGUUCCUUAGUGACCCAGGGUCAUUUCAGACAAAUCAGGUCGGGUUGCCUCCUGGCUAUAAAUAGCCCACCCCCUACACCAUAAAUUGGUAGCUGCUCAGAGUUAGUGCACGGUUUUUGUCGUUUGAGAGCAUCCCACCUCUGAAGCAUUUGAGAGAGAUAUCCUUGCGAGGACAAAGCCCAAAACACCCAGAGCCAAAGAGUGUUAGGCAUCACUGAAGUCUUUCUGUCUACGUGAUCUAAAGAAUUGUUACACUUGAGGACUGUGAAUCCUCCAGCCGGUUAGGCGUCGCGUUCUGAGCAUCCAAGAGUCAUUGUGGAUUUCCGGUGAACAAAGUCUGUGAAGGUUUGGAAGUCUACCUUGAAGACUUACCAGAGUGAUUGUCGGGGGUUGGGUGCGACAUAUGCCAUAGGAUGGCUUAUCAUGGUGGGAGCGAGUAGAACAUCGCUGGUGCCUGGAAGCGGGAUGAGGCGUAGACACGUACACCGGCGAACUUUACCCAAGUUUGGGGCUCUCCGUGGAGAUAACACCCCUAGUCCUGCUUUGCGGGGUCUCUGCAUGAUCACUAAGGCACUAGUGGUACAAUGGUGCUCCUUGAGCUGUUUGCUAGAGGUGGAAGAAGGCAGGCACGCUCUCUCCUUCUCUAGGUAUGAGUCUAGUUCUAACAGGUUCGAACCCUUUGCAUGGGUGCCCUGGGGGGUUUAUAUAGGCCUAGCCCCCCCCAGGGGUACAUUGGUAAUCUACCGGGUGUAGGACCCGGCUGUCAGUGUCUCUGGCCGCCGGCAUCUUCGCCGGCUGCUGGGGCCCGCCGCCUGGUGGGUGUCGGUGUCAAAACUGGCGGAUCUCGGGUAGGGGGUCCCGAACUGUGCAUCUAAGGCGGAUGGUAACAGGAGGCGGGGGACACAAUGUUACCCAGGUUCGGGCCCUCUCGAUGGAGGUAAUACCCAACUUCCUGCUUGAUUGAUCUUGAUGAUAUGAGUAUUACAAGAGUUGAUCUACCACGAGAUCGUAGAGGCUAAACCUUAGAAGCUAGCCUAUGAUUAUGGUUGUUGUUGUCCUACGGACUAAACCCUCCAGUUUAUAUAGACACCAGAGGGGGCUAGGGUUACACAGAGUCGGUUACAAGGGAGGAGAUCUACAUAUCCGAAUUGCCAAGCUUGCCUUCCACGCAAAGGAGAGUCCCACCCGGACACGGGACGAAGUCUUCAAUCUUGUAUCUUCAUAGUCCAACAGUCCGGCCAAAGUAUAUAGUCUGGCUGUCCGAGGACCCCCUAAUCCAGGACUCCCUCAGUAGCCCCUGAACCAGGCUUCAAUGACGAUGAGUCCGGCGCGCAGAUUGUCUUCGGCAUUGCAAGGCGGGUUCUUCAUCCGAAUACUGCAUGGAAGAUUUUGAACACAAGGAUAGUGUCCGGCUCUGCAAAACAAAUUCCACACACCACUGUAGAGAGCAUAAUAUUUCCACAGAUCUAAUCUGCUGACAACUUUUUAUAACAUGACAUCCUGCCGUGGUCCGGUCAUUACGAACCGUUUUCCCAGCCUGCCACCGCACGUGUUGCGAGGCGGUUUUCUUGGCACGUCUUGUCGAAGCAGAGAUCGUGUUCCCCUUAUCACGGGAUUCUCAUCAAUACAGGUGUGGGUAACCCAAUCGGGCCCGCUGGUACGACUCCUCGAUUUUAGGCAAGUUCCAAACGGCCACGCGGAGGAUGCUUGAUAUUCACCCUCUUUAUAAAGGGGCCAAGGCCCGUCCUUUUCUUCUCGCGCUCGAUCCUUCCCUUCCCCCACCUCGAAUUCCAACACCCAAGGCUCAGGCUAAGCGCUUCGGACCUUCAAUCAUGUCCGGAUCCAACCUUCAAGGCCGGUGGAUGGCCUCCUCUGUCACAGAGGAGGACAUCAAGAAGCUAAGAGAAGCCAGGUAUCUGACCGCCGAAAUCUCGCACAGGCUGCCUGCUCAAGGGCAGGUCAUCCCCACUCCCGAACCCAACGAGAGUGUCGUAUUUGUUUCCCACUUCCUCCGAGGGCUGGGUUUUAGUCUUGAUCCCUUUGUUAGAGGGCUUAUGUUGUAUUACGGGCUCGAUUUCCAUGAUCUGGCUCCGGAUUCCAUCCUUCACAUCUCGUCGUUCAUCGUUGUGUGUGAGGCCUUCCUCUGCAUCACCCCACAAUUCAGCUUAUGGCUCAUGACCUUCAAUGUGAAGCCGAAGAUGACCGAUGGGCGACACGCAGAAUGCGGAGGUGCCAUAAUAAGCAAAGGCGCCGAUGCCCCAUGGCCAAAGGGUUCCUUCCUGAAGACGUCCGACUUAUGGCAGCGGGAGUGGUUUUACAUCACAGCUCCCCGAAGUACUAAGUGGGUAUCUGCCCCCGUCUUCCGUUCGGGCCCCCCGCCACAACUGGCAUCAUGGGUCAACAAGGGGCUGGACUGGGGGCCAGUUAAUGACGUGCCGACAUUGAAGAUUCGUAUCCGGGAUCUCCUCGAGAGAGAUGUCAGCCUUGUCAAGGUAAUGCAAGUCAUGCUAGUUCGUCGGGUCCUGCCAUGCCAACGUCGACCUCUCCGUAUGUGGGAGUUCAACCCGGAAGGACCGCGAACUAUUCAGCAAUUCUUCGGCGUGACGCUCGAAGGGAUGUAUGGAUUGUUCUUCGGAUCACGAAUAAAGUGUCCGGACACCACCGAGGAUGCGGGUCUAAACUGCAAUCAUCCAGAUACCCACGUAAGUAAUUCUGCGGCCGAACAUGCUGUCUUUUCAUUUUUCAUAACAUUAUUCUGAAAAAAUUGCUCUUGGCCAGGACUGGAUAAGAAAGCGAAGAUGAUCAGGUGUUCAACCCCCCUUCCCGAGGGCUCACCGGAUCCUGUACUAGCCAGGAUGCUUGAGCUCGCACCUUAUCAAGUGCCAUCAAGGGAAGAUAAAGGGAGGAAUAAAGAAGCUGAAAGCUGGCCUCACGCAUUACUCAUCCAAACCGGGGGAAUUAGUGUCUCCGCGAAGGAGGAUAAUCGGGGGGAAGAAUCUGAAAUUCCCUCUCCCCAAGGAAGGAAAAGGACCGCCUCUGAAGACUUGGAAACAAGGGUUUCCAAACAAGGGAAGAAACCUUUGCCAGGGGGCCCUGCCCCGGAGGGCAUCCUUACCGCACAGUGCCCGCAAGGGGAUCAGCCCUCCACCGAGCUGUAAGUGAACAAGAGUACUUUUGGUAAAUAUAUCCUGCUUCGUCUCCGAGGACAAUAACCAAGAUGUGUGUCUUGCAGUUCGGAUCAUAACCCUUCUCGACAGAGUUCGUCUUCGGGGGAUCUUCUUCCAGAGAUGAUGGACAGCGAAACGCCUCCCCCUGUCUCCUCGCCUCAUGGAGCGGAUGACCCUGAGGUGUCGUCACGGAGGAUUUCUCCUGAUCCGCCAAGGCUGAAAGGUAACCCUUCGGCCACCCGAAGUCCGGAGUAUUCGGCUCCUAAGGAGAGCAACAGAAAGAGUCCGGGACUGUCCGGUGCACGACCGGACGCACUGAUGGGUCUUCUGGAGCAAGCGGCUAUCUCAGAGGCGCAUCGUACUUUAAUGGGUACGGUGGUUGAAAGGAUUUCAUCCGCCGAAAGUGGGUUGCAUGAAGCUUUUAUGAGCCUGCUAAAAGGAUUUGAGGUACGCAAAGUAAUAUAUAUAUAUAUAUAUAUUUGACGGUACCGCACACGCUAGCUGUGCCCUGUACAGAUAGUAGCCCCUGAGACUUUGGUUGUUGUCUAGAGGCGGCAAACAGAGGAUCAUAGUCCCAGGUAAUGAUCAUGCUGCUCACAUGUGCAGGCGGCUGAGGGUCCGGUGGCUGGCCGGACUGGUGAGUUUGCCGAACUGAGGCGGCAGCUGGAUGCGGCAGAUGCUGACAUUGUGCUUGUGAACAAGCGGCUUGAUGAGGCACAGGGUAUGUAUUCUCCGGUGGUCAACAGAUAUUAAGAGGAGCAUGAUGCUAGUAUCUAUAACAUGUUGUGACUGCAGAUGGAGCUGCCGUCGUGGAGACCCUUCGGGCGGAGCUUGCCCAAGCCAAGGAACAAGCCAGGAGAAGUGAUGCGGCCGCCCUAAAGGCGGCCGAAGUGUUAAGAGCCGAACAGGCUGCUCAUCGUCAGAGCGAAGAUAAAAUAGCCAAGAUGGCUGUUGAGCUGAAGGAUGCCGCCGACCGGUAUAAGCUUCUUGAAAAGGAAAGCCAAGCGAAGGCGACGGACCUGAAGAAAGCCAUGGUAGCAGCCAAGGAAACCCGCUCUAAGAUCAGAGCGGCGAAGGAGGAGCUUCGUCAAGCCGGAGAUAUGACGGCUGGGAAGCCCUUUUUGUUGCGGACGAGGUUUGGAGAUCCGAAGUUUGCCCCUCUAGAUCAAUUAUGGAGUGCUGCAGACGCGUACUUGGACUUGGCAACGAGUGCUGCUGAUGCGACUGAGUUUUUCAAAGAUCAAAAAGAUCACGAAGUGGAAAAGUUGUUCUGGUCGCAGUUCAGUGCUCCAACGCGUCCGCUGCUGUUAAAUGAGCAAAUGGCCGAGUGGGCUGAGCUUCAUAGGUUGUCCGGGCUUGCCAUGAGGUCUGUCGUUGAUCAUCUUUGGCCGGAAGGGCCGAGGCCGAAUAGUUAUUUUGGUUUAGUGCAACGAUUCCUUGGUGCCGUGCCGCAUAUUGACGCUGUAAAGAGGUCGGCGUGCAUAGAGGGUGCGUGGAUGGCUCUUGCCCGUGUUAAGACAUACUGGGCAGAGAUGGAUGCCACCGCUAUUGCAACCUAGGAUCCGGCCGUAGGCCAGGUCUCGGCCGAGCACUAUUUUGAAGAAGUCCUAGAAGGUGCUCGUUUAAUAGAGGCUCAGUGCUCGAAGAGUAUCAUGUUCGAGUGACAUGUAUCCCAAUUGUAAAAACAAUGCUAUUUGGAUUAUAAAGGUUGUGUUUAUACUUUUGCCUGAAAGUAUUAUGAUGCCUCCUGUGCGGCCGUUUAUGUAUGUAUAUAACCUGAAAGUUUGCACUCGUCGGCUUCAGCCCCCACUCAUAUAAUGCGGGGGUGUUCGGAAAAGCGCGUAUUCACACUUGAUCCAACGUCUUGGUCCACUAAGGAGGUGAUGGCGUGGCGAACAAGGCAAUCGAACUAUAUAGCUUUAACACUUUCACUUAGCCAUAGGAGUUUGACGGUGGGGCUACUAUAUAGCCCCUGGUACUUCCGCGCUCAUCCAGAUACGGGGCGCGUACAUACAUGACCAGGAAACCAGCCCUUCGUUAAUGUGGAGGAAUCACGAAGAUUCCACUGAGUCAUCGAGUGGUUGACCAGUCUCGCGCUUUAUCAUGACAGUCGGUUUUCGGCUUUCUCUACUGAGGUGCUCGUCCAGAUGAACCAGGGCAGAAUCGCAGUAGUUCUCCCGGUGCCACCUUAGCCGAUAGAGCGGAACAUAAGGUAGCAAAACACGGGAGUCGGGCAAACUCAACUAUUGACCAAAGACAUGAUUCGGAGUUGAUGCAUAUAAGGCCAAACUCGCGACGCCGAACACUCCCUAAGGUAUUCGGACUUUACAACAUAUACUGGGCUGAGUAACACCCUCGAUAAUGAGCCCUGAAUUUCCAGGUACGUGCAUUAGUCUGACGUGACGAAAUACCAAUAACGCCAGCAUCCCUCUCGGUUGUGUUGAGUAUCCGGAGGGUAUGAAGCAACAAGAGACAGUAAAAAAGGUUUACACAGGGUCUUAAUCUAAAAAGAAACCUUUGAGCGGGGCCCUGCUGCACGUCUGCGCCUGUGUCUCCGUUGUGCCGUAUCCUGGAAGGGUGUAGCACGAUUAUCAUCUGUAAAAGAGAAAAACCCAUGUGAAAGUCUUCGUGCGAAAAAAUUGGUUAUUCUUAAUGAACCAUUAAAAUGUAAUCCAAAUAGGGCCAAGCCGAACUGUAGUCCUUUUUACAUGCGGGAAGCCCCUAGUACCACCUAUGGGGGUAUAUCCAUCGACCCAACCUCAGGUUUAUCUAAGCUGUUACAGCUAGUGGUGCGCCGGACUCGUCUAUCCGUGUUCCGCGGUCUUGACGACCGAUCAUUUAUUCUGGGUGGAGAUGCCGUUCAGCGUUCGACUGCUAGAGCCGCCACACAUUCCUCCGCAUGUAAGGAUCGCUCUGUGUUUCCGCUAACUAUGAUGAUGCCACGUGGACCGGGCAUCUUAAGCUUAAGAUAAGCAUAAUGCGGUACUGCAUUAAAACGAGCAAAUGCCGUUCUUCCGAGUAGUGCUUGAUAGCCGCUUCAGAAUGGAGUGAUGUCGAAGGUUAACUUUUCACUUCGGAAGUUGUCGGGAGAACCGAAUACAACCUCUAGUACUAGAGAGCCCGUGCAGCGGGCCUCUGGGCCUGGUAUUACUCCUUUAAAGGUAGUAUUUCUUUGGCUGAUUCUUGUCGGGUCUAUCCCCAUUUUGCGGACUGUGUCCUGAUAUAUCAGAUUAAGACUGCUGCCGCCGUCCAUAAGGACUCGGGUGAGAUGGUAUCCGUCAAUUAUUGGGUCCAGCACCAAGGCAGCCGAUCCUCCACGCCGGAUACUAGUCGGGUGAUCCCUGUAAUCAAAAGUGAUCGGGCAGGCCGACCAAGGGUUGAACUUGGGGGUGACGGGCUCCACGGCGCAUACGUCUCGGAGUGCAUGUUUGCUCCUCCUCUUAGUUACGUGAAUCAUGUUCACUGUUUUGACCUCUGGUGGGAAUUUUUUCUGUCCCCCAGUGUUUUGCUGGCGAGGCUCAUCCUCGUCUUCACUUGGUGUCUCCCUCCCCUUGUGUUCGGCGCUUAGCUUGUCGGCCUGCUUGAAGACCCAGCAUUCUCUGUUGGUGUGAUUUGCAGGUUUGUCGGAGGUGCCAUGAAUCUGACAUAAUCUGUCUAGAAUCUUGUUUAGGCUGGACAGUCCAUCUCUGCUGCCUUUGAAUGGCUUUUUCCAUUGACCGGGUCGAGAGCCCCUGAAUCCGGCGUUUAUCGCCGUGUUGUCUAGGAUGUCUUCAUUGUGUCGACGCUUGCUUUUAUUGCGUCGUGGUUUUCCAUUGCCAUCCCUGACUUCGGAUGUGCUUGGGUCGCUGGUGCCGCUACGGGCCAGCCAACUGUCUUCGCCCGCGCAGAAGCGGGUCAUAAGGCUUGUUAGGGCUGCCAUUGUCCUCGGUUUUUCCUGGCCGAGGUGUCUGGCGAGCCAUUCAUCCCGGACACUGUGUUUGAAAGCUGCUAAGGCUUCGGCGUCCGGGCAGUCGACGAUUUGAUCCUUAGUGAGAAAUCUGUUCCAAAGCUUUCGGGCUGACUCUCCGGGCUGUUGAAUUAUAUGACUUAAAUCGUCUGCAUCCGGAGGUCGGACAUAGGUCCCUUGAAAAUUAGCCCUUAAAGCAUCCUCAAGCUCUUCCCAACUUCGAAUUGAGUUUUCAGGGAGGCUUUUCAGCCAGUGCCGAGCUGGGCCCUUCAAUUUGAGGGGCAAGUAUUUGAUGGCGUGGAGAUCAUCUCCGCGAGCCAUAUGGAUAUGAAGGAUAAAGUCCUCAAUCCAGACCCCAGGGUCUGUCGUUCCGUCGUAUGCCUCUAUGUUCACGGGUUUAAAUCCCUCGGGAAAUUCGUGAUCCAGCACCUCAUCGGUGAAGCAUAGGGGGUGCGCGGCACCCCUGUAUUUGGAUGUGUCAUGGCGUUCUGACGGUUGCAGUGUUCGGUUUUGAUUCUGUGUCGGAGCGCGCUUCCUAGAUCCGUAGAUGGACCUGGUCAUACCGGCUUUUUCGAGCAAGUCCUCACAUAAGUCGUGUGCUGACUUAUAUGCGACAUCGUUAGCCGCCCUAUCGCGGCCACGGGGUGGUCGAUUCUGCUGAUCGGCCAUUUUGUUUUUCGGCUGUAUGGGCUCUAGAGCCUCGUCAAUGAAUUCAGGCAGUAGCUUGCGCUUUGGAUAGCUCUUUGUGUGGCGACUGCCACCGUACUUUUCUGCAGUGUCAAGCACUUUGUUCCAUCUACUGAUGAGUGUAUUUUGCGCGGCCUUAAGCCUUUGCUUCUGCUUCUUCAGACUCUCGCGGUGGCAAUAAGCCUUCUGUGGAGGUUCUCUUGUUCCAAGUGCCUUUCCGGGAUGAUGUGUGCAUCGUCAACUAUUCUCCUCUCCAGAGACAGGUUGAUGAUCUUUACCCUCGGUGUCGCCAUGAUCGGACAGCGGCUCCGUACUAUGUUUGCCGUCUGCUGGCUCAUCCUGCUCUGUUGCUUUGGAGUCGAACGGGGUAUUAUUCUUUCUUGCGCUGUUAUCACUGUUUUUGCUGAGGCGGGAUUUGGAGCGGCGCCUACGUCAUUGCUUUGGUUGCUUAUCGAGGGGAUUAUCCUUCGCUGCAUCCUUCCGUUCCUCGUCAUUGUCUUCUUUGGGUGUAUCCACCAUGUAUAUAUCGUGUGAUGAAGUGGCUGUCCAGCGCCCUGUGGGCGGUGGUUCCUGUUCCUCUCCUGCAUCGACGUCCAUACCGUCGAUGUCUUCGAAGCCGAAAUCGAGCAUGUCGGUUAAGUCUUCGACAGUGGCUAUUAAGUGGGUGGUGGGUGGGGAACGAAUUUCUUCAUCGUCCGCUUCCCACUCGAGCCGGACAUAGUUGGGCCAAGGGUCUCCUGACAAGGAGAGAGACCUUAACGAAUUCAGCACGUCACCCAAGGGUGAGUGUUGAAAGAUAUCCGCGGAGGAAAACUCCAUGAUCGGUGCCCAAUCAGAUUCAAUAGGCACGGACGUUGGCGGUUCGAAGCCUAUGGCCGGGGACAAAUCCAAGGGUCCGGCAACACAGGUCUCGCAGGAGGUGAAGUCAGUAUUCGGCUCUAUCGCCGCUGAGUGUGCGGCCUCCGUGGCGGGGUCCAUCCACUCGUCCUCGGACGGCGCGAUCUGCUCCGGAUCGAGGGCCGGAGUUGCCACAGGGGUGAUCUCCCGAACACUGUCCGGCGGCAGUGCUAAAUCAUGCUCGUCGUGACUGUGCGGCGCACCUGACAUGGGCUCGAAUCCGUCGAAGAUCAAGUCUCCGCGGAUGUCGGCGGUAUAGUUCAAACUUCCAAACCUGACCUGACGGCCAGGGGCGUAGCUUUCGAUCUGCUCCAGAUGGCCAAGCGAGUUGGCCCGCAGUGCGAAGCCGCCGAAUAUGAAGAUCUGUCUGGGGAGAAAAACCUCACCCUGGAUCGCAUCGUUGCCGAUGAUCGAAGGAGCCAUCAAGCCUUAUGGUGAUGGCACAGUGGAACUCUCAAUGAAAGCACCAAUGUCGGUGUCAAAACCGGCGGAUCUCGGGUAGGGGGUCCCGAACUGUGCGUCUAAGGCGGAUGGUAACAGGAGGCGGGGGACACAAUGUUUACCCAGGUUCGGGCCCUCUCGAUGGAGGUAAUACCCUACUGCCUGCUUGAUUGAUCUUGAUGAUAUGAGUAUUACAAGAGUUGAUCUACCACGAGAUUGUAGUGGCUAAACCCUAGAAGCUAGCCUAUGAUUAUGAUUGUUGUUGUCCUACGGACUAAACCCUCCGGUUUAUAUAAACACCAGAGGGGGCUAGGGUUACACAGAGUCGGUUACAAGGGAUGAGAUCUACAUAUCCGAAUUGCCAAGCUUGCCUUCCACGUAAAGGAGAGUCCCACCCGGACACAGGACGAAGUCUUCAAUCUUGUAUCUUCAUAGUCCAACAGUCCGGCCAAAGUAUAUAGUCCGGCUGUCCGAGGACCCCCUAAUCCAAGACUCCCUCAGUGGGCCCCACCGACUGGUCUGGUACGGAACCGACAGGCCGCUCCCGCCGCUCGCGGGUCUUGCCGGCUACUGAUCACUGUAGCCGUGAUGCUAAUGAUGUAGGCUUGGUCGGGGGCGUGGCUACAGUCCCGCCGCGUGGUGGGCGAUUACUGUAGCCACACCGCGUCUCAUCUGGUUGAUGGCGCACGAGGCCCGAGGGAGGGAUAAGCCGCCUGCUGGAAGCCGGCUUCCCUCAGGUCCGGCUGCCCUGGCUUCCUUCGUCUUCAGGGCUCUCACUGCCUGGUAGGGCCCGCCGCCUGCAAGCCGUACCGACAGGCCGUCGUGGGAAUAGGGCUCCGCCUGUCAGGAGUGACGUUUGGGGGGAGGGGCAGCAGUGCCGCGUCGUGCGGAGAUCUCCGCCUGUACGGGGCACUGUGGCCACGCCCGGUCCUGGAUUUGGGGGGAUGGGCUACGCUGUAGCCAUACCCUGUCUUGUCUCCUUGAUGAGGGCGCAGACUUUGAGGGCGCCACGGGCCGACUGCUAGGGGCCGGCCUCUCUGGAGGCCGCCCACUAGGAGUCGGCCUGUUGUGAUGUCGUCUUCUAGAACUCGGCCGCCUUUUGAAAGUCGGCCGUUCGGCCAACCGGCCGCCAGAAGGCGGGGAUCUAUCUUGACGUCUUGAGGAGCGCAGCCGGCCCCGAUGUCUUGAAAGGUUCGGGGGCUCGGGUUAGGCUCCCCCUGGCCCAUUACUCCGACAGUAGUCCCCGAAGCUGGUGAGGGGCCACGGUUCGAGGGGCUGGGGAGCCUCAACAGUUUACCGCUCCGGGUGCUAUGAAGGAAGCUCCAUCCGGCUUCUGGGGAGCCGGUCGACAGGAGUCAGAUACGUCCAGUCGAAUCCUUCUGGGAUUUCGAAUGCAUCAGCGGGAACCAGGUGGCGUUCUUGCUAAGCUUCUCUGCCCGCCGCCCGCCGUGGGCGUGCCACAUGGCGCCAGCCAGCCGGGUCAGCCUGCCAGCUGCUACCUCUUGAGCACUGCGUUGGUUUUCCCUUGAAGAGGAAAGGGUGAUGCAGCAAAGUAGCGUAAGUAUUUCCUCAGAUUUUGAGAACCAAGGUAUCAAUCUAGUAGGAGGCUACGCGCGAGUCCCUCGUAGCUACACAAAACAAAUAACUCCUCGCAACCAACGCGAUAAGGGGUUGUCAAUCCCUUCACGGUCACUUACGAGGGUGAGAUCUGAUAGAUAUGAUAGGAUAAUAUUUUUGGUAUUUUUGUGAUAGAGAUGCAAAGUAAAAUAAAAGCAAAGAAAAAAGCAAAGAAAAUAAAUAAGUGUUGGAAGAUUAAUAUGAUGAAGAUAGACCCGGGGGCCAUAGAUUUCACUAGUGGCUUCUCUCAAGAGCAUAAGUAUUUUACGGUGGGUGAACGAAUUACUUUUGAGCAAUUGACAGAAUUGAGCAUAGUUGUGAGAAUAUCUAGGUAUGAUCAUGUAUAUAGGCAUCACGUCCGAGACAAGUAGACCGACUCCUGCCUGCAUCUACUACUAUUACUCCACUCAUCGACCACUAUCCAGCAUGCAUCUAGAGUAUUAAGUUCAUGAAAACAGAGUAACGCCUUAAGCAAGAUGACAUGAUGUAGAGGGAUAAAUUCAUGCAAUAUGAUAAAAAACCAUCUUGUUAUCCUCGAUGGCAACAAUACAUACGUGCCUUGUUGCCCCUACUGUCACUGGGAAAGGACACCGCAAGAUUGAACCCAAAGCUAAGCACUUCUCCCAUUGCAAGAAAGAUCAAUCUAGUAGGCCAAACCAAACUGAUAAUUCGAAGAGACUUGCAAAGAUAACCAAUCAUGCAUAAAAGAAUUCAGAGAAGAUUCAAAUAUUGUUCAUAGAUAAUCUUGAUCAUAAACCCACAAUUCAUCAGUCUCAACAAACACACCGCAAAAAGAAGAUUACAUCGAAUAGAUCUCCACGAGAGAGGGGGAGAACAUUGUAUUGAGAUCCAAAAAGAGAGAAGAAGCCAUCUAGCUACUAACUAUGGACCCGAAGGUCUGAGGUAAACUACUCACACUUCAUCGGAGAGGCUAUGGUGAUGAUGUAGAAGCCCUCCGUGAUGGAUGCCCCCUCCGGCGGAGCUCCGAAACAGGCCCCAAGAUGGGAUCUCAUGGGUACAGAAGGUUGCGGCGGUGGAAUUAGGUUUUUGGCUCCGUAUCUAAUCGUUUGGGGGUACGUAGGUAUAUAUAGGAGGAAGGAGUACGUCGGUGGAGCAACAGGGGCCCCACGAGGGUGGAGGGUGCGCCCUGGGGGGUGGGCGCGCCCCCCUACCUCGUGGCCUCCUCCUUUGUUUCUUGACGUAGGGUCCAAGUCUCCUGGAUCAUAAUCUUCCUAAAAAUCACGUUCCCGAAGGUUUCAUUCCGUUUGGAGCUCCAGAAAAGGCCCCAAGAUGGGAUCUCACGGGUACAGAAGGUUGCGGCGGUGGAAUUAGGUUUUUGGAUCCGUAUCUGGUAGUUUGGGGGUACGUAGGUAUAUAUAGGAGGAAGAAGUACGUCGGUGGAGCAACGUGGGGCCCACGAGGGUGGAGGGCGCGCCCAGGGGGGUAGGCGCGCCCCCCUACCUCGUGCCCUCCUGGUUAAUGUCUUGACGUAGGGUCCAAGUCCUCUAGAUCACGUUCGUUCUGAAAAUCACGUUCCUGAAGGUUUCAUUCCGUUUGGACUCCGUUUGAUAUUCUUUCUCUGUGAAACUCUGAAAUAGGCAAAAAACAGCAAUUCUGGGCUGGGCCUCCGGUUAAUAGGUUAGUCCCAAAAAUAAUAUAAAAGUGAAUAAUAAAGCCCAAUAAUGUCCAAAAUAGUAGAUAAUAUAGCAUGGAGCAAUCAAAAAUUAUAGAUACGUUGGAGACGUAUCAGGCAUCCCCAAGCUUAAUUCUUGCUCGUCCUCGAGUAGGUAAAUGAUAAAAACAGAAUUUUUGAUGUGGAGUGCUACUUGGCAUAAUUUCAAUGUAAUUCUUCUUAAUUGUCGUACGAAUAUUCAGAUCCUAAAGAUUCAAGACAAAAGUUUAGUAUUGACAUAAAAAUAAUAAUACUUCAAGCAUACUAACAAAGCAAUCAUGUCUUCUCAAAAUAACAUGGCCAAAGAAAGUUAUCCCUACAAAAUCAUAUAGUCUGGCUAUGCUCUAUCUUCACCACACAAAGUAUUUAAAUCAUGCACAACCCCGAUGACAAGCCAAGCAAUUGUUUCAUACUUUUAAUGUUCUCAAACUUUUGCAAUCUUCACACAAUACAUGAGCGUGAGCCAUGGACAUAGCACUAUAUGUGGAUUAGAAUGGUGGUUGUGGAGAAGACAAAAGGGAGAAGAUAGUCUCACAUCAACUAGGCGUAUCAACGGGCUAUGGAGAUGCCCAUCAAUAGAUAUCAAUGUGAGUGAGUAGGGAUUGUCAUGCAAAGGAUGCACUAGAGCUAUAAGUAUAUGAAAGCUCAACAAAAGAAACUAAGUGGGUGUGCAUCCAACUCGCUUGCUCACGAAGACCUAGGGCAUUUUGAGGAAGCCCAUCAUUGGAAUAUACAAGCCAAGUUCUAUAAUGAAAAAUUCCCACUAGUAUAUGAAAGUGACAAAAUGAGAGACUCUCUAUCAUGAAGAUCAUGGUGCUACUUUGAAGCACAAGUGUGGUAAAAGGAUAGUAACAUUGUCCCUUCUCUCUUUUUCUCUUUUUUUUAUUUGGGCCUUUUCUCUUCUUUUUUAUGGCCUCUUUUUUUCUUCCGGAGUCUCAUCCCGACUUGUGGGGGAAUCAUAGUCUCCAUCAUCCUUUUCCUCACUUGGGACAAUGCUCAAAAAAUGAAGAUCAUCACACUUUUAUUUUCUUACAACUCAACAAUUACAACUCGAUACUUAGAACAAAAUAUGACUCUAUAUGAAUGCCUCCGGCGGUGUACCGGGAUAUGCAAUGAAUCAAGAGUGACAUGUAUGAAAGAAUUAUGAACAGUGGCUUUGCCACAAAUACAAUGUCAACUACAUGAUCAUGCUAAGCAAUAUGACAAUGAUGGAGCGUGUCAUAAUAAAUGGAACGGUGGAAAGUUGCAUGGCAAUAUAUCUCGGAAUGGCUAUGGAAAUGCCAUGAUAGGUAGGUAUGGUGGCUGUUUUGAGGAAGGUAUAUGGUGGGUGUAUGAUACCGGCGAAAAGUGCGCGGUGUUAGAGAGGCUAGCAAUGGUGGGAGGAAGAAAAGUGCGUAUAAUCCAUGGACUCAACAUUAGUCAUAAAGAACUCAUAUACUUAUUGCAAAAAUCUACAAGUUAUCAAAGCAAAGUAUUACGCGCAUGCUCCUAGUAGGAUAUAUUGGUAGGAAAAGACCAUCGCUCGUCCCCGACCGCCACUCAUAAGGAAGACAAUCAAUAAAUAAAUCAUGCUCCGACUUCAUCACAUAACGGUUCACCAUACGUGCAUGCUACGGGAAUCACAAACUUUAACACAAGUAUCUCUCAAAUUCACAACUACUCAACUAGCAUGACUCUAAUAUCACCAUCUUUAUAUCUCAAAACAAUUAUCAAGCAUCAAACUUCUCAUAGUAUUCAACACACUCAUAAGAGAGUUUUACAAAUCUUGAAUACCAAGCAUAUUUGGAUUGUUUAAGCAAAUUACCAUGCUAUUUAAGACUCUAAAAAUAAUCUAAGUGAAGCAUGAUAGAUCAAUAGUUUCUAUAAAACAAAUCCACCACCGUGCUCUAAAAGAUAUAAGUGAAGUACUAGAGCAAAACUAUAUAACUCAAAAGAUAUAAGCGAAGCACAUAGAGUAUUCUAACAAAUUCCAAAUCAUGUAUGGCUCUCUCAAAAGGUGUGUACAUCAAGGAUGAUUGUGGUAAACUAAAAAGCAAAGACUCAAAUCAUACAAGACGCUCCAAGCAAAACACAUAUCAUGUGGUGAAUAAAAAUAUAGCUCCAAGUAAAGUUACCGAUGGAAGUAGACGAAAGAGGGGAUGCCUUCCGGGGCAUCCCCAAGCUUUGGCUUUAUGGUAUCCUUAGAUUAUCUUGGGGUGCCAUGGGCAUCCCCAAGCUUAGGCUCUUGCCACUCCUUGUUCCAUAAUCCAUCAAAAUCUUUCACCCAAAACAUGAGAACUUCACAACACAAAACUCAACAGAAAUCUCGUGAGCUCCGUUAGCGAAAGAAAACAAAAGACCACUUAAAGAUACUGUAAUGAACUCAUUAUUUAUUUAUAUUGGUGCUAAACCUACUGUAUUCCAACUUCUCUAUGGUUUAUAAACUAUUUUACUAGCCAUAGUGUCGGGUGGUUGGUGCGACAUAUACCAACGGGUGGCUUAUCAUUGUGGGUGCCAAUAAGACGUCGCCGGUGCCUGGAAACGGGAUGAGGCGAAGACAUGCACGCCGGCGGAUCUUACCCAGGUUCGGGGCUCUCCGAGGAGAUAACACCCCUAGUCCUACUCUGCGGGGUCUCCGCAUGAUCACUAGAUCAGUAAAAGUAGCUACAAUCACUCCUAGAGCUGUUGGGUUCAAGGGAGAAGAAGAACAAGGCUAGCUCUCACUUCUCUCUCUCUAUGGUGUGUGUGCUAUGCUCAGAAGCCAACCCUUUGCAUGGGUGUCCCGGGGGGUUUAUAUAGGCCUACCCCCCGGGGGUACAAUGGUAAUCCGGCUGGGCACUGGUCCCAGCCGUCAGUGUCUAAGCUCGCCGGCUUCUCCGCCGGCCGUUGGGGCCCGCCGACUGGUGGGUCCCGCCGGCUGCCGGCCUCUUGGUCGACAGGCCGGCCCCACCGCCAAGGGUCUUGUUGGCGGCUGCUUACUGUAGCCUCGCCUCUGAUGACGAGGGCUUCGUCGAGGUAAGUGUGGCUACAGUGUGCCGCCUCGAGGGCUCUCACUGUAGCCUUACCUCGUCUUGUCUCCUUAAUGUGGCUCCUGCUUCGAGGGAGGGGGUAGCCGGCUUCUGGGGGCCGGCUAUGCCCUGGGCCGACUGGGGGAGGCCGGGCCGCCUCCGCGCUUCUCUCUGGCCGAGGGGACCCGCCGCCCGUGGGCCGUACGGGAGUCUGUCGCGGAUGACGUUGAGGCUAGCAUGGCUACAGUGCCGAGCCGAACGGGAGAGGGCCGUCCCGUACGGCCUCCUGUGGCCAUGCCUGCCUAGGUCUUCGGGGGUAGUGGGUCGCACUGUGGCCACACCCCGUCUUGUCACCGUUAUGUGGGUGUAGCUUUGGUGGUUGUGGUCUCGGCCGGCUUCUCGGAGUCGGCGCUCUUCGAGGCCGGCUUCCUGGAGUCGGCCACCCUGCGGAUAUCCUGGGGGGGAGGUUGCUGAGGCUGGGCCUUCUCCCGUGAGUCGGCUUCGGUGGUAGCCGGCCAGGGGAGGUGGUCCAAUGCUCGGAGUGCUUGGAGGCCCAAAGGCUUGAUAAUUUUUCAAAAGAACCAGGGGCAGUCGGUUAGGCUACCCGUGGCCGUUUACUCUGACAGUAGUCCCCGAAGCUGAUUGGGCUUCGAGGUUGGGUAGGAGUUGAGAAGCUCGAUCAGCUUCCUAUCUUGACAAGCCGGCAGCUGGGAGCCGGCUUUGGUUAGGCGUGCCGCCUUGGCCAAAAACUCCGGAGUCGGAGGGCGGGAGCUCGCCAGUGCGUGCACCGGGCCGCGGGCCGGCCGCUUGCCGUCUGCGAACCACGUGGCCCCUCUUGGCCGGAAAGCCUGCCAGCCCACGCGCGCGACGGGACGUCGCCGCAGGGCGGGGGCCCACCACGUCCACGCCCGGGCCCAGGCGCGGAUUCUCUGCAUCCCGAAACCGCCCGCACGUCUCCUUGCAGCAGUUUCGGCUCGCCUUUAGGGCGUAAUAAUCGCGAGGCGUGGGGGGAAUGGGUGCAGUUAAUCCCACGUCUCCCCCACGCCCGGCCUCGCCUCGCGAAGCUAUAAGUAGGGGGAGAUGGAGGGCGGCAGGCCCUCGCACGCUCCUCCUCCUUCCACCAUCUUAUUUCGCUUGCCGUUUCUUGCAACAGCGCCUCACCGCCGCGCUCUUCCACCACACGUUCCUCCGCCGCCGCGCUUGUUUUCGCCAUGCCUCCCGCCAUGGAGCAGUAUGGCGGGGAUUGGGACGGCUCCAACGUCCACGAAGAUCACGUCGAGUUCCUCCGCAAUACGCGGCGGCUGCCCGGCGCGGACAAGGUGGAGGUCCGUCUUGCGCCGGUGAAGGAAAUUACGCCGGAGCCGCGGGAGGGCGAGCGGGUGGUCUUCCGCUCGCAUUUCUUGCGCGGCAUCGGCCUGCCAGUGAGCGCCUUCUUCCGCUCCUGGCUCGAUUUCUACCAGCUCCAGCCGCACCACCUCACCCCAAACGCGGUGGUGCUGCUGUCAGCCUUCGUCACCCUGUGCGAAGGCUACCUCGGCGUCCUCCCUACCCUCGAGCUCUGGGGGGAGUUCUUCCAGUCCAAGCUGGGCACGCGCAUGCAGGGCGUGCCGGCUCAGACUGGCGCCUUCAUCGCGUCGCGGAGGUCGGUCGCCGACAACCCCUUCCCUGUCAUCACGCUGAUCGAAUCGGUGAAGAAGUGGCAAAAGUCGUACUUCUACGUGCGGAACAUCGCCCCACGGGGCGACUACAUCAACCUGCCGGCUUACGUAGCCGGCCCACCGGCGGGCAGGCGGCCCCAGUGGUCCUUCCGGGCCGUGACUCUGACGCCGGCUGGGUCCGCAGCCGUCGCCCGAGUACGAGUGAUGACCCAGUCGGAGGGCCUGACGGGGCCCGACCUUCUGGCCGCCUUCGUCACGCGUCGGGUUCUUCCGCUCCAGAGCCGUCCUCAUCUGAUCUGUCAGAUGAGCGGCCAGCUCGAUCCGAGCCGGAUGUGCACCAAGGACAUGCCGCACGAGGAGGUCGCCUAUAUGGUGAACUACCUCGCGAACUGCAAACUCUCUGAAGAGUGGCAGUUCGGCAAGGAGCCAUACAGCCGGGCCAAUCCACCGCCCACGGUAUGCUCUCCUUGUUUCUUCUUUUUCUCUUAACUUUGUUGCCGAGUUCCUCUUGGCCGACUCUAACUUAGUCGGCUUGUUUUUCGACAGAGCCCUCUUCUUCGGCCGGCCGGUGGGUCAGACACGGAGCGUCGAUUCGUCCCCGACCGGACGGAACACGAUCUGGAGGACCCUGACUUGGGGGCAGCCGCUAUGGACGACAACAUCGAGCCGGGUGGUGGACAAGCCAGCGGCGAAGCAGGCGGCUCCGGGCAUAGAGUCACCUUCGACGACUGGCCGGACGACGAUGAGGCCGAAGUCGCCCCGCGCCGCCGGCCGGCAUCUGGACGCGGCGCGGGUUCCUCCGCUGCACCGCCUGCUCGGGGCGGAGGGCAGAAGCGUCGCGCCGCCCAGGGUUUGUUCGGCAGUCGGACGAAGAAACCCAGGGGCGGGGCGGCAGCAACCAGGCGGGAGGAGGCGGCCGCGAAGGCGGCUUGCUUUCGCAAGACGGUGAAGCAACCGCAGACCGUGUCGGCGUAAGUUCGAAUUUUUUUGUAUACUCUUUUUCUUUCUUUUCUCUGGUGGUUCCUGAACCCUUGUCUUUUUCUCCAAACGAUCAGAGCUCCGUUGUCGCUUGAGCGGGCGGCUGCCGCCUCCGUCGUCGAGUCGCCGAGGGGGUCUGGGAGCACCACUCGCCGCGUGGACCCCCGUGCCGACCUUCAGGAAGCGACAGAACGGAAAGCGCGGGAGGCGCGGGAGGAACGGGAGGCGCGAGAGGCGGAGGCACAGAAGGCGGCGCAGGAGGAAGAGGCGGCGAAGGCGCUCGCCGACGCCGCAGCCAAGGCCCAAGCGGAGGCUGCAGCCGCUGUGGCGGCAGAGGAGGUCUUGAUGGUCACCCCGCUGCGCGUCGUAGCGCCUGGGGACAUGGAGCCCUCGCCAGAAGGGGCCAGCAGCGACCAGCCAGGACUUGAGAGGGACGACAACGUCGUCGUCCUGGAGAGGGCGCCGGUGCCGACCCCGCCAACUGGGGCGGCUCAAGGCGGCCGGCCUGAUCUGCCGCCUGCGCAGUCGGCGGGGGGCGAGCCGGCCGCGAGGACUGAGAUGGCGGUCCGGAUGCCGCCGAGCCGUCGUGCGGGGAAGGCUGCGUCGGAGCCACAGAAGGCCCUGUCGGAGCCGCAGCCGGCCGCGGGCUCCAGCUCAUCGGCCCGGGAUGUGGAGGUGGCCAGCGCUACCUCGGGGUGGACGCCAGGCGGAGGGAUAGCCGUGAUGAACGUGGCCGCGCAGGACGUCUGAACCCGGCUUCAGGCCCAGGCUACGGCGCUGAGGCAGUUCACCGACGAGUUCCUUGCGACGCGGGCGGCCAUCCGGGUUAGUCUUCCCAUCUUGCUUCUUCUUGAUCUUGAUUUCUUCUUGAUCUUGAUUUCUUCCGUGGGGGCGCGUCAGCACACCCACUGGGUGUAGUCCCCGAGUUCCGAGUCGGCUGCUGAGCAAGCGGCUUGGAACUUCUUAGUGGAUUUGUCUUUGCUAUUCUUGUUCUUACUUCGAUCUUCUGUCUAUCUUGCAGGACUACCACAAUCUUCGUGCGGCCGCCUUCAACUCCCAGGCUCGGGAGCUGACCCAGAAGACCGCCGACCUUACUGAGAGCCGAGGUAUGUGCUUUGUUCUUUAUCUCAUGUGGGGGCGCGUCAGCGCACCCACUGGGUGUAGUCCCCGAGAUUCGGGCCGACUGCUGAGCAGUCGGGUCGGAUCUUCCUUGACGACUUCCUCUUACUGUUCUUUCUUUUUCUGCCGUCUCUGCAGCGGCCAACGCCGGUCUGAGGGCACAGCUGGGGGAGUCUCAGACUGCCCUUCGUGCCAAGGAUGCCGAGCUCGCCGCCUUGGUGCAGGAACGCGACCGCCUGGCCAAGAAGUUGGCCGGCCAGGAGGAAGGCUACAAGGCGGCUCUGAAGGCGGUGCAGGACCGCGAAGCCGCCCUCCAGGCCGAGUACGAGACGGAGGCGGCUGGCUGGGCUGAGGCCAGGCAAACUCUGAUAUCUGGCUAUGGUCAGAUCGAAGAUCUGGUUGACGGUAAGCCGCCUACCUCUUCGUCCUUUCUUGCCAUCUGCCACUUUUGGCUCGUUUUCUGACUUGGUGCUCUUUUCUUCUUUUCUUCUUCUUUCUUGCGCAGAAUAUUUCCCUGGCUAUUCUACCGCCGCCAACCAGACCAUCGAGGCCCGCCGCCAGGCGCGGAGGCAGGCUGGCUUCGAGAUAUCGCCAACCGCCGGCCGUUCGCUGGAGGAGCAACUCUUGGCGAUCCAGGCCCGCAUCCAGCCGGCUCACCGACUGCUCCGCCGGCUUCAGCGUGCCGGGGCGCAAGUCUUGGCCGCCCUCUAACCCGGCCAAGUGGUUCCUCGCACCCCCAGUCGGACUGCCGACUGGCUGGAGGUGGCAGUCGGUCGCUUCGAAGCCUGGAAGGCCUCGACGGCUCGAUCCGGCGCCAGGCGGGCGCUGGAGUUCGUCAAGGCCUAGUAUCCCGGCCUGAGCCUGGAUCAGCUGGCUACCUGGCGGCAGCAAGCCGACACGGAGCUGGAGCCGGCGCGGCCGGCUAUCAUCCGGCGGGCUUCGGCGAUCGCCGACUACACCGACACCAGCGUCUUCGCCCCCGAGGUGGAUGACAACGGUGUCGCCCAGCUGGAGGAGUGGUUCGGGCUGAACCCGGCGGACGGUGAAGACUCGGCGGAGGAGAUCGACUCCAGCGACGAGGGCGAAGAGGAGGAGGAGGAGGGUGAAGACGCCGAGUCGGCUGGUGGAGCAGCCGACCAGCCUCAGCCUGACCACGCCUCCAGCACCACGUCACGCGCGAGUGCGUCGCCCGCGACUGGUGGUGACCAGGCCGAGACCCGCUAGGCGGCCACUCCUUCAGCCGGCGAUGCCGUCUCCACCGACCAGCCUGGCUCCCGCACUGCGCCCUAGUCUAGUCUGCCAUCUUUUGUUUUCCUGUUUUGUCACUUUUGGAACAAUACUUUGUUAAGUCUGCACAAUUCCACCCACUGGGGGUGUAUUCGAACUUAUGUCCGUAGCCAGCCUGUUUGGGGCUUUAUAUGUAUAUAUAACUUAUGCAUGCAUUUGGCUUUUCCUCGUACUUUGCUUUUUAUCCUCCGGCUGUUUCCUUUGUCGCCCUCCCUUGGUUGCCGCCUCCCCAGUCAGACAGUUGCUCUGCAAUCUGUAGCUGGAGGAGUACUUGGCCAAUUGGGAGGGCAAGUACUCUAGCUUUGCUGGAUUAGAGCUAAGUGUUUAGGAGACCGGCCAGCCGGCUGCUCUGACAGCCGGCAAGCGUGCUUGGAGGCCGUCUUUUUGCUAUAUAAGUUCGUUGGUCCUUAGCCGUUUUUCGUGUGGGCAUCCUUUCUGCCUUCUCUCUUGUUAGUCGGACAGUCGGUUCUUCGAGCUGCGACUUUCAACAAGAGAGGACUCGGGAGCCGGCACACUACUUGUUUGACUUCAGGUAGAACUUUUAAUACAGCUUAAGGCGGCCAGUCCCCAGGCCGACUAGUCGAACCCGGUGCCAGACAAGAAAUCAAAUGUAAUAAUACAUUCAUGGAUAUGACACUUGUCAUUCAUAGAUAAACAAAGGCAGUCCCCGAGUACUGUUCGGGGGGCCUGUUGGUUUGUACUUAAUACAAAAGGGUAGCAUGAUACAUACUGCUUUCAACUGUAAAAUCUUCUCAGGAGGUUCGCGUUCCAUGGUCGCUCCGACUCCUUGCCGGAGUCGUCUCUCUUGCGUGCUCUUGGUUUUUGCGCGUCGAUCAAGUAGUAGGAGUCGUUGCCGAGUGCCUUGCUGAUGACGAAGGGGCCUUCCCAAGGGGCCGAGAGCUUGUGCUGGCCGGCUGUUCGCUGGAUCAGCCGGAGCACAAGGUCGCCCUCUUAGAUGGAUCUUGGCUUGACCUUGCGGUUGUGGUAGCGGCGCAGCCCUUGCUGGUAGAUGGCGGACCGGCUGAGUGCUAACAGCCGGCCUUCUUCCAGUAGGUCGACGCCGUCUUCUCUUGCUUCCUUGGCCUCCGCCUCGUGUACAUGGUGAUCCGAGGCGAGUCGAACUCGAUGUCUGUUGGGAUGACAGCCUCGGCACCAUAUACAAGGAAGAAUGGAGUAAAGCCGGUUGACUUGUUGGGUGUAGUGCGCAGACUCCAGAGGACAGCCGGCAGCUCAUCGAGCCAGCAGCCAGCCGAUCGCUCCAGUGGUACAACCAGUCGAGGCUUGAUGUCGGAGAGGAUGAGUCCAUUUGCUCGCUCGACCUGGCCGUUUGACUGCGGGUGGGCAACGGACGCUAAGUCCAGUCGGAUGCCCUGCAUCACGCAGAAACGUGCCAGUGCUCCUUUGGCGAAGUUCGUGCCGUUGUCGGUGAUGAUGCUGUGCGGCACGCCGUACCGAGUAGUGAUGUCAGUGAUGAAUGUCACGGUAGUCGGCCUGUUCAGCUUCUUGAUCGGCUUUGCUUCGAUCCACUUUGUGAACUUGUCCACAGCAACAAGUAGAUGCGUCAGGCCGCCGCGGGCUGUCUUGAAAGGGCCCACCAUGUCCAGUCCCCAGACGGCAAAAGGCCAGGUGAGGGGAAUGGUCUUGAGUGCAGAAGCCGGCAGGUGUUGCUUGGAACUAAAAACUUGGCAUCCUCUGCAGCUCUUGACUAUUUCUUUAGCGUCCUCCAAGGCAGUCGGCCAGAAGAAACCAUGGCGGAAAGCCUUGGCCACAAGUGAUCUUGAGCUGCGUGGUGGCCGCAUUCGCCUUGGUGGAUGUCCUUGAGGAUUGCCACUCCUUUUUCUGGCUCGACACAAUGCUGGAAGACUCCAGUGACGCUGCGCUUCACAAGCUCUCUGUUGAUUAUUGCGUAUGCUGCGGCUCGUCGUUGCACUAGUCUUGCUGAGAUCUCAUCAGCCGGCAGCUCUCUCCUGACUAGGAACUUGAGGAUGGGCUGGGCCCAUGACGGAGCUGUGACUUCUUCUUCUGUUAAUGUAGCCACCAUGACUCGGGUGGGUGGGUUGGGUGGCGUGGAAUUGGAGUCGGCCACCGCUCCUUGUGUCGUUGCAGUCCCAGGACCGACUGCUGCAGUCCCCGGGCCGGGUUCUGAAGUCUCCGGGCCGGGUGCGACUACAGCAGUCCCCGGGCCAGUUGUCGAAGUCCCCGUGCCGCCUGCGGGUUUUCUCCAGUCGGAUCCGGCUGCAUCUGGCGCAGGCGGUACGAAGAUGGAGUCCGACUCUGGAGACGGCUUGAUGGACGGCUUGAGGAGGCGCUGGAGGGAGACGCCAGUCGGUAUGGCUUGUCGGGUGGAGCCGAUCCGUGCUAGGGCAUCUGCUUGGUUGUUGUCGGCCCUUGGCACGUGGAGGAACUCGCACCCUUCAAAGUAUCCGCUGAUCUGCUGGACGAGGAAUCGAUAGCUCGCCAUGUUCGCGUCCUUGGCGUCCCAGUCGCCAGACGACUGCUGGACCACCAAGUCUGAGUCGCCAUAACACAGGAUCCGGCGUAUGCCGAGUUCCUUGGCCAGCCGGAGCCCAUGCACGAGCGCCUCGUACUCGGCCACAUUGUUGGAGGCGGUGAAGUGGAUCUACAGCAUGUACUUGAGCUUGUCGCCUUUGGGAGAGGUGAGGACGAUGCCGGCUCGCAAGCCGGUGCGCAUCUUGGACCCGUCAAAGUGCAUCCACCAAUGGGUAGAGUCGGGAGCCGGCGGUAGGUACUGGGUCUCGGCCCAGUCGACGAGGAAGUCGGCCAACGCUUGGGACUUGAUGGCGGUGCGGGGUUGGUAGAAGAUCGUGUAGGGCGCCAGUGCAAUGGCCCAUUUAGCCACCCGGCCGGAUGCAUCCCGGCUGCCUAUGAUCUCGGCGAGCGGGGCGGUGCACACGACCGUGAUGGGGUGCUCUUGGAAGUAGGGCUUCAGUUUCUUGGCAGCGAAGUACACCCCAUAGCACAUCUUCUGGUAGUGUGGGUAGUUUUGCUUUGAGCUGGAUAGCACUUCGCUGAGAUAGUACACCGGCCUCUGGACUAGCUGGGCUCGGCCUUCUUCCGGGCGCUGGACCACAACAACAGUACUGAUGACUCGGCUAGUCGCGGCGAUGUAGAGGAGCAUGGGCUCCUUUUCAGUCGGUGCUGCUAGGACAGGCGGAGUGGUCAGCAUUUUCUUCAACUCAUGGAAGGCUUGGUCGGCUUGGUCGUUCCACUCAAAGUCAGUGGACUUCUUCAUGAGUCGGUACAGGGGGAGAGCCUUCUCUCCUAGUCGGCUGAUAAAACGAUUCAGGGAGGCUAAGCAGCCAGUGAACUUCUGCACAUCUCGCAGUUUGGUGGGAAUCUCCAUCCUCUCGAUGGCCUUGAUCUUGACGGGGUUGCAUUCGAUGCCGCCUUCGGAGACCAGGAAGCCUAGCAGCUGGCCGGCUGGCACUCCGAACACGCACUUCUCGGGGUUGAGCUUGAUUUGGAAUCGGCGCAAGUUGGCGAAUGUUUCUUUCAGGUCUUCCAGCAAGGUGCCGCGCUUCUCUGUCUUCACCACAAUGUCGUCUACAUAGACGUGGGCAUUUCUGCCGAGUUGUUUCAAGAGGCAUUAUGCAUGCAACGCUGAAAAGUGGCACCGGCAUUCCUCAAGCCGAAUGUCAUAGUCAGGUAGCAGAAAGCUCCAAAGGGUGUGAUGAAGGCAGUCUUCAGGCGGUCAGCUGGGUCCAACUUGAUCUGAUGGUACCCUGAGUACGCAUCCAAAAAACUUAACAGCUCACAUCCGGCCGUGGAGUCUAUCACUUGGUCAAUCCGUGGCAGAGCAAACGGAUCCUUUGGGCAAGCCUUGUUCAGGCUGGUGUAGUCUAUACACAUACGCCACUUGUUAUUCUUCUUCAGAACCAGAACUGGGUUGGCAAGCCAUUCUGGAAAGAACACUUCCAUGAUAAAGCCAGCGGCAAGGAGCUGGGCUAUCUCUUUCCCCAAAAUUCUUCGCUUCUCUUCUGACAGUCGGCGGAGGGGUUGCUUGACCGGCUUCGCGUCAGCGCGGACAUGUAAUUUGUGCUCGGCGAAAUCCUUCGGGACACCCGGCAUGUCCUUUGGGGACCAUGCAAAAAUGUCUCGAUUCUCACGGAGGAAGUCGAUGAGCUCGGCUUCCUAUUUACUGUCCAAGUUUGCCCCAAUGACAGCGAACCUCUCCGGGUUCUCCGGGUCCAGAGGUAUCUUCUUCGUCUCUUUGGCAGGCUGGAAGGAGCCCUGCGCAUCACGAUCUUUGGGGUUGGGGGACAGGGCCGGCUGCUUGUGUAACGCCCCGGAUCCGUUGCGCCACCUGUCUACCAGUAUUUCGCUGUCAUUGCCAUGUCAUUUGCUUGCGUGUUGCAUUUUGCCAUGUCAUCAUCUGCUUUUCAUAUCAUGUCAUCAUGUGCAUCGCAUUCGCAUACGUGUUCGUCUCAUGCAUCCGAGCAUUUUCCCCGUUGUCCGUUUUGCAAUCCGGCGCUCCUAUCCCCUCCGGUGCACCCCUCUUGUUUUCUUUCGUGUGCGUGUGUCAAACUUUCUCGGAAUGGACCGAGGCUUUUCAUGUGGCCCUAGUAUACCACCCGGAGACCACCGGUCAAGUUUCGUUCCAUUUGGAGGUCGUUUGGUACUCCAACGGUUAACCGGGUAACCGCGAAGUCCGUUUUGGCAUUGCAGCAAAACCCCCCUUCUAACAGUACCAAAACCCCUCUAAGUCUCCGCCAUGCUCUCGGUCGUUCGAUCAUGAUCGCGUGGGCGAAAACCGCACCUCGUUUGGACUCUCCUAGCUCCCUCUACCUAUAAAUAUGCCUCUUCCCCGAAAUCCCGCAGUCCAAAACCCUAAAAUCCUCCCCUCUCCGCACCGAACAUGUCCGUCCCGGACCGGACGAACUGCGCCGCCCACCUCGUCCACUCGCCGCCCGCCACCUGUCGCCUCCGCCGCCUCCCUCNNNNNNNNNNNNNNNNNNNNNNNNNNNNNNNNNNNNNNNNNNNNNNNNNNNNNNNNNNNNNNNNNNNNNNNNNNNNNNNNNNNNNNNNNNNNNNNNNNNNNNNNNNNNNNNNNNNNNNNNNNNNNNNNNNNNNNNNNNNNNNNNNNNNNNNNNNNNNNNNNNNNNNNNNNNNNNNNNNNNNNNNNNNNNNNNNNNNNNNNNNNNNNNNNNNNNNNNNNNNNNNNNNNNNNNNNNNNNNNNNNNNNNNNNNNNNNNNNNNNNNNNNNNNNNNNNNNNNNNNNNNNNNNNNNNNNNNNNNNNNNNNNNNNNNNNNNNNNNNNNNNNNNNNNNNNNNNNNNNNNNNNNNNNNNNNNNNNNNNNNNNNNNNNNNNNNNNNNNNNNNNNNNNNNNNNNNNNNNNNNNNNNNNNNNNNNNNNNNNNNNNNNNNNNNNNNNNNNNNNNNNNNNNNNNNNNNNNNNNNNNNNNNNNNNNNNNNNNNNNNNNNNNNNNNNNNNNNNNNNNNCACCUCCGCCACUCGCCGCCGUCGCCUUGUCGCCUCCCGUCGCGGGCCCCGCCGCGGGCCUCGCCGGAGACCGUGCCCCGGCCAGUCCCCUCCUUCCCCGGCGGCCUCCCGAGCUCCGGCGCCCUUCCGCUCCGGCGAGCCGGCCCCGCCUCGGACUUGCAGCGCCAGAUCCAGUGAGAACCCCCCCGGGUUGACUUUUCCCCUAACCCUCGAAAUCUCCAAGUCCCUGAAUUUUGUUAAUACGUGUGCAUGUUCAACUGUGUGUAUUUUCUUGCAUGUAGCUCCGAUUCGCGCGUAUUAUAUGUCAAAUUGUUUGCCUCGCGAUGCUCUUCAUUUUGUUCAAUUGCACCAUGUUCAUUAGAGGUCAUCUGGAUGCCCAAAUCUCUGUUGGAAGAGGGCUAGUUGCUGUUAUUCUCUGGUUCUUAACAGAACUUGGAGAUUUGUCAUUUUUGGUAUCAUUAAAUCUGUGCAUCUUUUGAGCAUGAGCUCUACAUGUGUCUUGAAGUAUGCCAUGCCAUAUUUCCAUUGGUGUAGUCCAUGUAUUUUUGUGAUAUCUGUGGUGACUAGCACAAGCAUGCAAACUAGGCCCCGUAAUAUUUCUGAUUUCAGAGACUUGGUGAUUUCUCUAAGUCCUUGUCUGCUGUAAUUUAGUUGCCAUGUAAACUUGAUGCUACAGAGAGAUCCAUGCAUAUUUUGGAGAUGUUCUCUAAGGAUGUUUUGUAGCUAUUGUUGUAAUUGAUCCAUUCCUGUAAUUGUUUGCAUUUAUGUAGUGCCAUAGCAUGACUCAAUCUUGCUCUACUUUUGCUAUAAUAUAUUUCUGGCAGAUUAUUAACAUGAUAUUCAUUUUUGCCAAGCUUAUUGUAGUUGAUCCAUACAUGCUAUGCUAUUGUUCUUGCCAUGGUUAGCUUCAUAAACAUGUCAUCUUUCUGUAGGUGUGCUUGUUUUGUCAUGCAUUGCUCUGUAGUGAGUGCAUCUAGCUCACAAAGAGGCCUUCAUAUUAUUAUUUCUGCCAUUCUCUGUUUUCUGCUAAGUCUGAAACCUGAUAACGAAACUUGUUAUGUUUACAUGCUUGCCAUCAUAUCUUCUGGUCCUUUUUGACUUAUGGUCAGUAAGGGACUUUUGUCAUAUGCUUUGAGUAGAUUCAUGCCAUGCCUUUCUUUGCUAUGUUAAGUCCCUAUAGCAUGUGGAUACCGUGCUCUGAACAUUGCAACCUGAUGUUAUUUCUGCCAUGUCCAGUAAUUUCUCUAAGUCUGUGAACCUGUUAUUAUUUGCAAUCUUGCCAUGCCCUUUUGAGCAUGUUCUUGUGAUUUCUGGAGAUAGCUCAGUGUUCAUAUUUUGUUGUGCUUUACCUGUACAUCAUGUCCAUGCCUUUUGUUUUCAUGUUGAGUUGCUGUAGCACCUUGUUUUGAUGUUUGCUAGGUGCAUAGUUGCUGUUUUGGACAGAUUGUUGCUAUGUCUUGGAUGGAGUGUAUGUGUUGCACCGUUGCUCCGUUUCGAGCAUGCCCUAUAUGAAACUUGCUUAGUUUUGCAUGUAGUCUCAUAUUAUCAUGUUGCAUCCUUGUUUUGAGGUGUUUGCUUGAUGUUUGUAUGCAUUUUGCAUCUAUGCCAUGUUUAUCUCGUUUUGCUCAUAUCUUCUAGGCCGUAGCUCCGAAUCUAAUGAUCUUUAUAUGUAACUUGACUAGAAUUUCGUGUAGAUCAUCAUGGUGCUCUUUAACUUGCUAUUUAACAAAUUCAACUUAAUGCUUAUUCAGUUCUGGACCAAUUUCGAAAUAUGCAUAUGAGGACUUACCGGAAUUGGUAUAUGUUGAUCCCGGCCUCAUUUAAACUUGCCUUGAUGUGUUGUUCUUGUAUGCAUCAUCUCUUGUCAUGAGUAGCUUCGUUUAGCCUUGUCAUGCAUCAUUCUUGGUUGAGCAUCAUGCCUUGUUCUUGUGUGGUGUGUUUACCUUGUUGUGUGCUUCUUCUCGAUAGUUCCCGUGUCGUUGCGAUCGUGAGGAUUCGUUCGUCUUCGUGGCUUCAUCUUCUUCAUGGAUUCGUUCUUCUUCCUAGCGGGAUUUCAGGCAAGAUGACCGUCACCUUGGAUCUCAUUACUAUCAUUGCUAUGCUAGUUGCUUCGUUCUAUCGCUUUGCUGCGCUACCUAUUCAUUUGCUCCUCAAGCCUCCCAAAUUGCCAUGAACCUCUAACCUUUGUCACCCUUCCUAGCAAACCGUUGUUUGGCUAUGUUACCGCUUUGCUCAGCCCCUCUUAUAGCGUUGCUAGUUGCAGGUGAAGAUGAAGAUUGCUCCAGGUUGGAUUAUGUUUAUGUUGGGAUAUCACAAUAUCUCUUAUAUUAUUAAUGCAUCUAUAUAUUUGGUAAAGGGUGGAAGGCUCGGCCUUAUGCCUGGUGUUUUGUUCCACUCUCGCCGCCCUAGUUACUGAUAUACCAGUGUUAUGUUCCCGGAUUUUGCGUUCCUUACACGGUUGGGUGAUUUAUGGGACCCCCUUGGCAGUUCGCCUUGAAUAAAACUCUUCCAGCAAGGCCCAACCUUGGUUUUACCAUUUGCUCAGCCUAUUUCUUUUCCCUUGGGAGUCGCGCUCUCGAGGGUCAUCUUUAUUUACCCCCCGGGCCAGUGCUCCUCCGAGUGUUGGUCCAACUUGUCAGUCGCCGGUGGCCACCAGGGGCAACUCUGGGCUGGCCUAUCGGAAGCUUGGACAAUCUGGUGUGCCCUGAGAACGAGAUAUGUGCAGCUCCUAUCAGGAUUUGUCGGCACAUUCGGGCGGCUUUGCUGGUUUUGUUUUACCAUUGUCGAAAUGUCUUGUAACCGGGAUUCCGAGACUGAUCGGGUCUUCCCGGGAGAAGGAAUAUCCUUCGUUGACCGUGAGAGCUUAUCAUGGGCUAAGUUGGGACACCCCUGCAGGGUUUUAUCUUUCGAAAGCCGUGCCCGCGGUUAUGUGGCAGAUGGGAAUUUGUUAAUAUCCGGUUGUAGAUAACUUGACACUUGACCUUAACUAAAACGCAUCAACCGCGUGUGUAGCCGUGAUGGUCUCUUCUCGGCGGAGUCCUGGAGGUGAACACGGUUUCUGUGUUAUGUUUGACGUAAGUAGGAGUUCAGGAUCACUUCUUGAUCAUUGCUAGUUUCACGACCGUUCCUUUGCUUCUCUUCUCGCUCUCAUUUGCGUAAGUUAGCCACCAUAUCAUGCUUAGUCGCUGCUGCAGCCUCACCACUUUAUCCUUUCCUUUCCCCUUAAGCUUUGCUAGUCUUGAUACCCAUGGUAAUGGGAUUGCUGAGUCCUCGUGGCUCACAGUUUACUACACCACCAGUUGCAGGUACAGGUUUUACGAUGAUCAUGACGCGAGAGCGAUGUUUAUUUGUUUGGAGUUCUUCUUCUGCUUCUUCUUCGAUCAGGGGAUAGGUUCCAGGCCGGCAGCCUGGUCUAGCAGGGUGGAUGUUGUUGAGUUUCUGUUUAUGUUUCAUCCGUAGUCGGAUGUUGAUCUCUUGUAUGAUGUAUUGAUGUAUUCUUGCAGCAUUUGUAUGCCUGGUAUGUAUCCCCAAAUAUUAUGUAAUGUUGAUGUAAUGAUAUCCACCUUGCAAAAGCGUUUCAAUAUGCGGGUCUAUCCUUGGUGGGACCUUCGAGUUCCUUUAGGAUAGGGCCGCAUAUUGGGCGUGACAGCUUGCCGGCCAUGGCCACGACCCGUUCCAGCAUCUUCUUCUCUUCUGCCACCACGAGGGACUCGGCCAGCCGGCUGCUGGCCAUGGCGCACUCGAUGGACUUCUUGUAGUCGCCGGCUACCGUGAUGAUCCCCUUCGAGCUCGGCAUCUUCAUCUUCAGGUAGGCGUAGUGGGGCACAGCCAUGAACUUGGCCAGAGCAGGUCGGCCAAGCAGGGCAUGAUAGGGGAUCUCCAAAUCCACUACCUCGAACCAGAUUGCUUCUCGGCGAAAAUGAUCUUUGUCUCCGAAGAGAACAUCCAUUUUAAUCUUGCCGAUUGGGGAGCAAGACAACCCGGGGACGAUACCAUGGAAGACGGUGCGGCUCGGCAUGAGCUGCUUCGCUUUGAUGUUCAGCUUCUCCAUGGUAUCGCGGUACAGUAUGUUGAUACUGCUUCCGCCAUCUAUCAGGAUGCGAGAGAAUCGGGCAGCUCGCCUCUCCGUCGCGAGGGUGACAUUCAAGACCAUUGCAUAGGAGCCAGGAGAGGGCAUCACCUCUGGGUGGUCGGCCUGGCUCCAGCUGAUUGGCUUCUCUGACCAGUGCAUGAACUCGGGGGUGCUAGACGCGACUGCAUUAACUUCUUGAUGCUGUCGGCGUCGACUGCGCUUGUCGUCGGCUUGACUGGUGAAGACGACGUAGGCGGCGUGCUCUUCGGGGAAUUCGUUUUGGAUGGCGCCGACUGCCGGCCGAGCCGCCGGCUACUGGGGGGCUGGAGGCGGCGGACCGGGAGGCGGAGGCGGCAACAUCCCCUCGCCCUUGGUGAUGCGGGUGAGCCAAUGGCAUUUCCGGGUUGUGUGGUUGGAUGGCUUCGCGCCGCUGUGGAAUUUGCAGGGGGCAUCAAGAGCCUGUUCGUAGGAGAAAGCCGGCUGCCAAGCCGGCCUGCCGCCCUUCUUCUUGGGAGCGGGCCGUUCUUCGGGCUGCUCGUCUUCAACGGUAGCCACCUGCCGACUGGCGGAAGUCGGCAUGGGGGCCUUGCGCUUGUGGUCGUUCUGGUAGGGGUGCCGAUUAGGGUCGCCAGCCGGCGUCUUAGGAGCCGGAGCAAUCACCUUCCCCGAGGCGUCUACUCGGAGCUCGGUCUUCAUUGAGGAGUCGGCCGUGGCGUACUUGUCCGCGAUGACUAGCAACUCGUCGAGGGUAGCCGGCUCGUCGCAGAGGAGUCGGUGCUUGAGGAGGGUGCCCUCUCGGCACCCGGCGGUGAAGUACUCGAUGGCCUGGACCUCAUGCACCCCCUCGCAGGAGUUGCGGAGCUCGGCCCACCGCGUGAGGUAGUCGCGGGUCGACUCGUUGGGCCCUUGGACAUAGAGGGAGAGCUGGCGAGGCUUGGGAGGCCGCUUGUAGGUGCUGGUGAAGUUGCGGACGAAGACUUCUGUGAAGUCCAGCCAACUGUUGAUGCUGUAGGGCUUGAGGCUGUUGAGCCAUGUGCGCGUCGUGCCUUGCAGCAUGAGGGGGACGUACUUCACGGCGACGCGCCGAUUGCCGUUGGCUAUGCUGACGGCCGUGCAGUAGUCGAUGAGCCAAUCUUCCGGCUUCACUGAGCCGUUGUACUUGGGCGUGUCUCUGGGGAGCGAGAACCCUUUGGGGAAGGGCUCGUCGCGGAUGCGGGGGCCGAAACACGGCGGGCCGACAUCGUCUUCUUCUUCUAACGCCAAGGAUCGAGCAAGGCGGUCGAUCCGGUGGCGGGCGUCGUUCUUGCCGACUCCUUCUCGGCGGCCGAGUCGGUCGCCAAGAGUCGGGUGCGUGAUAGGUGGCGGGGUGAGAUGUCUUUCUCUUCGAGGCGGAGGAGGAGGCAGAUUUCCUUGGUGCUCCACUGCUCGAGGGCGGCCCUCCGCGUCACGCUCGAUGGUGAUGCGAAUCCGGCUGCGGCUGGCAGCCGGCUCCUUGUCUUUCUUCUGGCAUGCGCCGCUCGCAGUCGGCGAGCGGGACGUCGCGGCGUGCUCCCGGCGCGGGGGAUGACGAUCAGCACGGGCGCCGGCUUCGUGCCGUUCUGCAGCCGCGUCGAUCAGCUGCUGGAUCCGUCUUGUCAUGUAGGGGAGCUCAUCGGCUCCCAGCCCAUUGAGCUCUUCUGCAGCCGCCUGAGCGGCUCGCAGAUUCUCGAGCAGGGUGGCGUAGACAGGGCGAUCCGCCCCCAGCAUGCUGGUGACGGCCGCGCUGCGCUUCUGGACGAAGCCGGCUCGGCUCGGGCCGCUAGGCGGCGGCGUGCCGAAGGCGGCACGGUCGACUUCGCGCUGGUUGGCCUUGGUGAGGCAUCUCAUGGAGGCUAUCUUCUGGCCUUCCGCGAUGAGGGCGAGGCGGCGUGCCUCCACGGUCUUGGCGUCGGCAUCGGCCGGGAUGGGGACGGAGAGGUCGUGCAUCGCCGCUUGCAGGGCGUCGUGGGCGUUCUCGCCCGAGUUGGCGACGUGGCUGAUGACCAGCACUUCGGUGACAGCGCUGCUGCCGCUGUCAGCUCGAGGGAGAGGAUCGUCGAAGACCACCACGUCGGAGGGGUAAGCGUCGAGCGAUGCCGUGUCGGAGUCGACAAGCAUUGGGUCGGUGGAACCGACCGACUCCACAUAUGCAGCAGGCUCGCUGGAGACGUGAAGCUGGUCGAGGAGGCUGACGAGGCGGCUCUCGGGGUAGUCCGUGCCUGCGUCGGACGCAGGCUCGUCGGAGAUGCGAGUCUCGCCGAGCAGAUCGGCGAGGCAGCUCGCUGCGCAGGCGUCGUCGACGCCUUGCAGCGCGUCGAGGCAAGCUCCAUCGGGCGCAGCAGGCUGGCUGCACUCGCGGGGGAGGAAGAGGGUUCCCGUCCAGAACAGGUCUCCGGAUGACGGUGCACCUGGCCCCAUGGUGGGCGCCAAAUGUCGGGUGGUUGGUGCGACAUAUGCCAACGGGUGGCUUAUCAUUGUGGGUGCCAAUAAGACGUCGCCGGUACCUGGAAACGGGAUGAGGCGAAGACAUGCACGCCGGCGGAUCUUACCCAGGUUCGGGGCUCUCCGAGGAGAUAACACCCCUAGUCCUGCUCUGCGGGGUCUCCGCAUGAUCACUAGAUCAGUAGAAGUAGCUACAAUCGCUCCUAGAGCUGUUGGGUUCAAGGGAGAAGAAGAACAAGGCUAGCUCUCACUUCUCUCUCUCUAUGGUGUGUGUGCUAUGCUCAGAAGCCAACCCUUUGCAUGGGUGUCCCGGGGGGUUUAUAUAGGCCUACCCCCCGGGGGUACAAUGGUAAUCCGGCUGGGCACUGGUCCCAGCCGUCAGUGUCUAAGCUCGCCGGCUUCUCCGCCGGCCGUUGGGGCCCGCCGACUGGUGGGUCCCGCCGGCUGCCGGCCUCUUGGUCGACAGGCCGGCCCCACCGCCUAGGGUCUUGUCGGCGGCUGCUUACUGUAGCCUCGCCUCUGAUAACGAGGGCUUCGUCAAGGUAAGCGUGGCUACAGUGUGCCGCCUCGAGGGCUCUCACUGUAGCCUUACCUCGUCUUGUCUCCUUAAUGUGGCUCCUGCUUCGAGGGAGGGGGUAGCCGGCUUCUGGGGGCCGGCUAUGCCCUGGGCCAACUGGGGGAGGCCGGGCCGCCUCCGCGCUUCUCUCUGGCCGAGGGGACCCGCCGCCCGUGGGCCGUACGGGAGUCUGUCGUGGAUGACCUUGAGGCUAGCAUGGCUACAGUGCCGAGCCGAACGGGAGACGGCCGUCCCGUACGGCCUCCUGUGGCCAUGCCUGCCUAGGUCUUCGGGGGUAGUGGGCCGCACUGUGGCCACACCCCGUCUUGUCACCGUUAUGUGGGUGCAGCUUUGGUGGUUGUGGUCUCGGCCGGCUUCUCGGAGUCGGCGCUCUUCGAGGCCGGCUUCCUGGAGUCGGCCACCCCGCGGAUACCCUGGGGGGGAGGUUGCUGAGGCUGGGCCGCCUCCCGUGAGUCGGCUUCGGGGGUAGCCGGCCAGGGGAGGUGGUCCAAUGCUCGGAGUGCUUGGAGGCCGAAAGGCCUGAUAAUUUUUCAGAAGAACCAGGGGAGUCGGUUAGGCUACCCGUGGCCGUUUACUCCGACACAUAGAUUCAUCAAAAUAAGCAAACAACACACGAAAAACAGAAUCUGUCAAAAACAGAACAGUCUGUAGUAAUCUAUAACUAUCGCAAACUUCUGGAACUCCAAAAAAUCAGCCAAAAUAGGACGACCUAGACAAUUUGUUUAUUGAUCAGCAGCAAUUGGAAUCACUAUUUUAUCACGUUGUGGUGAUUUUAAACAAUUGUUUUCGUGAACAGAAAGUUUCUGGAAAUUACAGCAAGAUCAAAUAACUAUCAUCCAAGAAGAUCCUAUAGGUUUAACUUGGCACAAAUACUAACUAAAACAUAAAAACACAUCUAACCAGAGGCUAGAUCAAAUAUUUAUUCCUAAACAGAAGCAAAAGCAAAAAAACUAAAAAUAAAAUUGGGUUGCCUCCCAACAAGCGCUAUCGUUUAACGCCCCUAGCUAGGCAUAAAAGCAAGGAUAGAUCUAGGUAUUGCCAUCUUUGGUAGGCAAUCCAUAAGUGGCUCUCACGAUAGAUUCAUAUGGUAAUUUUAUUUUCUUCCUAGGGAAGUGUUUCAUGCCUUUCUUUAGUGGAAACUGGAAUCUAAUAUUCCCUUCCUUCAUAUCAAUAAUUGCACCAAUCGUUCUAAGGAAAGGUCUACCAAGAAUAAUAGGACAUGAAGGAUUGCAAUCUAUAUCAAGAACGAUAAAAUCUACGGGCACAUAAUUCCUAUUUGCAACAAUAAGAACAUCAUUAAUUCUUCCCAUAGGUUUCUUAAUAGUGGAAUCCGCAAGGUGCAAGUUUAGAGAGCAAUUAUCAAAAUCGCGGAAAUCUAGCAAAUCGCACAAAGUUUUGGGAAUAGUGGAAACACUAGCACCCAAAUCACAUAAAGCAUAGAACUCAUGAUCCUUAAUCUUAAUUUAAAUAGUUGGUUCCCACUCAUCAUAAAGUUUUCUAGGGAUAAAAAGUUCCAACUCAAGCUUUUCUUCAUAAGAUUGCAUCAAGGCAUCAACGAUAUGUUGGGUAAAAGCUUUAUUUUGACUAUAAGCAUGAGGAGAAUUUAGCACGGAUUGCAACAAGGAAAUACAAUCAAUCAAAGAGAAAUUUUCAUAAUUAAAUUCUUUGAAAUCCAAAAUAGUGGGUUUAGCAACAUCUAGGGUUUUGAUUUCUUCAAUCCCACUUUUAUCGAUUUUAGCAUCAAGAUCUAAAAACUCCGAAUUCUUGGAACGCCUUCUAGGUAAAGGUGGAUCAUAUUCAGUCCCAUCAUUAUCAAGAUUCAUAUUGCAAAACAAAGAUUUAAUAGGGGACACAUCAAUAACUUUUAGAUCUUCAUCUUUAUUUUCAUAGAAAUCCGGUUUAGCGGCCAUCUUAUUAACUAAGGUAGCCUGCUUAUCCGAUAUUUCAGCAGUCAACUUCUCAAGACGAGCAAUUUGGGAUCUUAAACCAUCAAAUUCUUUAGACAUAUCAUCGAGCUCUUUAUUCGUAUAACUCAUAAAACUUUUUUGUUCCUUAAGCUCGUUUCUGAAGAAAUUGUUAUGCUCAAAUUGCAAAACCAUAAAACUCCUGACGUUGCUUUCGAUCUCUUCUAACCUUUUAAGGUGAAGAUCACCAAAUCUAGGUAGAGCCAUCGUGACAAACAAGCAAUCCAACACACAAGCAAACAAAAAGCAAGCGAAAAAGAGGUAGACGGAAAAGAGAGGGCGAAUAAAACGGCAAGGGUGAAGUGGGGGAGAGAAAACGAGAGGCAAAUGGCAAAUAAUGUAAUGCGGGAGAUAAGGGAUUUGUGAUGGGUACUUGGUAUGUUGACUUUUGCGUAGAAUCCCCGGCAACGGCGCCAGAAAUCCUUCUUGCUACCUCUUGAGCACUGCGUUGGUUUUCCCUUGAAGAGGAAAGGGUGAUGCAGCAAAGUAGCGUAAGUAUUUCCCUCAGUUUUUGAGAACCAAGGUAUCAAUCCAGUAGGAGGCUACGCGCGAGUCCCUCGUACCUACACAAAACAAAUAACUCCUCGCAACCAACGCGAUAAGGGGUUGUCAAUCCCUUCAUGGUCACUUACGAGAGUGAGAUCUGAUAGAUAUGAUAGGAUAAUAUUUUUGGUAUUUUGUGAUAGAGAUGCAAAGUAAAAUAAAAGCAAAGAAAAUAAAUAAGUGUUGGAAGAUUAAUAUGAUGAAGAUAGACCCGGAGGCCAUAGAUUUAACUAGUGGCCUCUCUCAAGAGCAUAAGUAUUUUAUGGUGGGUGAACAAAUUACUGUUGAGCAAUUGACAGAAUUGAGCAUAGUUAUGAGAAUAUCUAGGUAUGAUCAUGUAUAUAGGCAUCACGUCCGAGACAAGUAGACCGACUCCUGCCUGCAUCUACUACUAUUACUCCACUCAUCGACCGCUAUCCAGCAUGCAUCUAGAGUAUUAAGUUCAUGAAAAUAUAGUAACGCCUUAAGCAAGAUGACAUGAUGUAGAGGGAUAAAUUCAUGCAAUAUGAUAAAAAAAACCCAUCUUGUUAUCCUCGAUGGCAACAAUACAAUACGUGCCUUGCUGCCCCUACUGUCACUGGGAAAGGACACCGCAAGAUUGAACUCAAAGCUAAGCACUUCUCCCAUUGCAAGAAAGAUCAAUCUAGUUGGCCAAACCAAACUGAUAAUUCGAAGAGACUUGCAAAGAUCACCAAUCAUACAUAAAAGAAUUCAGAGAAGAUUCAAAUAUUGUUCAUAGAUAAUCUUGAUCAUAAACCCACAAUUCAUCGGUCUCAACAAACACACCGCAAAAAGAAGAUUACAUCGAAUAGAUCUUCACGAGAGAGGGGGAGAACAUUGUAUUGAGAUCCAAAAAGAGAGAAGAAGCCAUCUAGCUACUAACUAUGGACCCGAAGGUCUGAGGUAAACUACUCACACUUCAUCGGAGAGGCUAUGGUGAUGAUGUAGAAGCCCUCCGUGAUGGAUGCCCCCUCCGGCGGAGCUCCGGAAUAGGCCCCAAGAUGGGAUCUCGUGGGUACAGAAGGUUGCGGCGGUGGAAUUAGGUUUUUGGCUCCGUAUCUGAUCGUUUGGGGGUACGUAGGUAUAUAUAGGAGGAAGGAGUACGUCGGUGGAGCAACAGGGGGCCCACGAGGGUGGAGGGCGCGCCCUGGGGGGUGGGCGCGCCCCCCUACCUCGUGGCCUCCUCCUUUGUUUCUUGACGUAGGGUCCAAGUCUCCUGGAUCAUAAUCUUCCUAAAAAUUAUAGAUACGUUGGAGACGUAUCACCAGCCCACGCGCGUGACGGGACGCGACCGCAGGCCGGGCCCGCCACCACCGGGCCUCGGCCUACGAGCGGAUCCGCUGUGGCCGAGGCGGGCGGUUGGGUUUCCCUGCGGAGUUACUACGUGCAGUAACCCACGCAGUAAAGGCGGGAGCGUGGGGUCGUGGGCACAGUUAAUCCCACGAUCCCACGCCCACCCCCUCAGCUUCGUAGCCCAUAGGCUAUAAGUAGGGAGAGGAGAGGGAUUGGCGAAGCACGCGCGCCCCUCCACCCCUCUCUCCCUUCUUCUUCUUCCUCUCGCCGCAGCGCCCCGAGCCCCGCCGAAGCGCUGCCGCAAUUCGUCUCCGUCGAGUCCGUCCGUCAACCUCUCAUCCCCAUGGCGCGCUCCAGAGCCUGGGACGGCUCCAAAGUUCAUGAAGACCACAUCGACUUCCUCCGCCAGACGCGGUGGCUACCCAGCAAGGACUUCGUGAGGGUUCGCCUCGCGCCGGAGGGGGAGAUCUCGCCGACGCUGGAGGAGGGCGAGCGGGUUGUCUUCCGCUCGCACUGCCUGCGCGGCCUCGGCCUGCCGGCGAGCGGCUUCUUCCGGGCCUUCCUCGAAUUCUACAACCUCCAGCCGCACCACCUCACCCCGAACACGGUGGUGCUGCUGUCCGCCUUCGUCACUCUGUGCGAAGGCUUCCUUGGCGUCCUCCCCACUAUCGAGCUUUGGGGGGAGUUUUUCUACACCAAGCUCAGCAGCGUCGUCGCGGGCGUGCCGACUCAAUGCGGCGCCUUCAUCGCGGUGCGGAGGCCGGGAGGUGACAAUCCAUUUCCUCCCAUCACGCUGAUUCAGUCAGUGCAGAUGUGGCAGCAGUCGUACUUCUACGUGAAGAGCAUCUUCGCGGAGGGUGAAUGGGUCAACCUGCCGGCUUACGCUGCCGGCCCACCAGCCGGGAGGCGGCCCAACUGGUCGUACCGGGCCAAGACACUGUCGCCUUCUGGAGCCGCUGCCAUCGCGCGGCUCCGGGUGUUGGUACAAUCGGAGGGCCUGACCGGGCCCGACUUGUUGUCCGCCUUCGUGGCGCGCCGGGUGCUCCCGCUCCAGGGCCGCCCUCACAUGAUCUGUCAGAUGAGCGGGCAUCAGGACCCAAGCCAGCUGUGCACCAAGGAGAUGCCUCACGCAGAGGUAGCUCAUAUGGUGAACUACCUUGCGAACUGCAAGCUCACGGAAGAGUGGCGGUNNNNNNNNNNNNNNNNNNNNNNNNNNNNNNNNNNNNNNNNNNNNNNNNNNNNNNNNNNNNNNNNNNNNNNNNNNNNNNNNNNNNNNNNNNNNNNNNNNNNNNNNNNNNNNNNNNNNNNNNNNNNNNNNNNNNNNNNNNNNNNNNNNNNNNNNNNNNNNNNNNNNNNNNNNNNNNNNNNNNNNNNNNNNNNNNNNNNNNNNNNNNNNNNNNNNNNNNNNNNNNNNNNNNNNNNNNNNNNNNNNNNNNNNNNNNNNNNNNNNNNNNNNNNNNNNNNNNNNNNNNNNNNNNNNNNNNNNNNNNNNNNNNNNNNNNUCUCUCUCUCUCUCCUUUUGCCGAGUUCCGUUUGUCUAACCUGACCAACCGGCUCUUCGAACAGAGCUCCCUCCUCCAGCCGGCAGCCGGCGCCGCGGGGCCGGAGCGUCAAUUUCUCCCCGACCGGGCGGAGAGUGACGUGGAUGACCCCGACUUGGGGGUGGCGGCCUUGGAGGACAACGCUGAGGGAGGGGGCAGCGCAACAGGCGGCUCAGGGCUCGGAGCCUCGAGGACUGGCCAGACGACGACGCGGGGGAAGUCGUCCCGCGCCACCAGCCGGGGUCCGACCAGCAGGGCGCGAGCUCGUCUACCGCGCCGGCAGCCCGAGGUGGUGCGCACAAGCGCAGGGCCGCGCCGAGCCUGUUCGGCAGCCGGCCGAAGAAGCCCAGGGGCUCGGCCGCGUCGACCAAGCGGGAUGAAGCGGCCGCAAAAGCCAUCCGCUUCCGCAAGGCGGUGAAGGAGCCGCAGCUGGUUUCCGCGUAAGUACUGUCUUCCUCUCGUACUUUCUCCUUCCUUGUUGAUCUUGUCUGAGUUUCUUCGCUUUGUUUCCCUUGAUCUAAGGCCCCGCUCUCUCUUGAGAAGUCGGCCACCGCCUCCAUCGUGGGGUUGGCGGAGACUUCCACCACCACCCGGCGGAUCAAUCCGUCCGCCGACCUCCGGGAGGCGACGGAGCAGAACACGCGGGAGGCGCGCAAGGAGGCAGACAGGGCGGAGGCCGCCACUUUGAAGAAGCUGGCGGAGGCCGAGGCCACCAUCGCGGCAAAGAAGUAGGCCGAGGAAGCCGCGCGCCGUCAAUCGGCGAUGCUUGUCACCCCCUGAACCCUGCGCCGCCGCCACCGGAGUUCGUGGCGCAGACUGGGGAAGCUGGCGGUGAGCACCGUAUCAUGGAGAGGGACAGCGGCGACGUCGCCAUGCCAGACGUAAUCGUGCCCCGCCACCACCUUCUGAGGAGGCGCGAGACAAGCAGCCGGCCGAUCCGCCGGCGCCACCGGCCGGAAACGAGAUGGUGACGGGCCCGACUCCCGGGGUCCGCACACCCUCACGUCGCCGGCUUGCGAAGGCGGCCUCGGCGCCACGCCCGCUGGAGACCGGCGCCGCAAGCUCCUCGAUCCCGGACACCGAGGCGACCAGCGCCGCGCCCACUGGUGCAUGCGGGGAGGCGGGACGGGCCCUCUGAACAAGGCGAUCCUGGACGUUCAAGCCAAACUCCGCGCUAAGGCCGACGCUCUCAAGCACUGCAACAAGGCGUUCCUGGAAUCGCGAGAGGCCAUCCGGGUACGCUUCUUGCUUCUUCGUUUUUAAUUCUUAUAUUGCUUCAUGGGGGCGCGCCAGCGCACCCACUGGGUGUAGUCCCCGAGUUUCGGGCCGACUACUGAGCAGGCGGCUCGGAACUUUAAUUAGCAAGCCCCGAGUACUAACGUCUUUGCUGCAGGACUAUCAUAACCUCCGUGCGACCGCCUUCAACUCCAAAGUCCAGGAGUUGGAUCAACGUGUCGUCGACUUGUCGGAGAGCCAGAGUAAGUCUUCUUCUUUCUCUGCGGGGGCGCGCUUGGCGCACCCGCGGGCUGUAGUCCCCGAGAUUCGGGCCGACUGCUGAGCAGUCAGGCCGGAUCUUCCUGGCGACUUCAUCUUUCUUCACUGAUUGUUGACGUCCUUUCUUCUUCUUCUUUUGCAGAAGCCAACGCCACCUUGCAGCAGCAGCUGGGAGAAGCCAACACCGCGCUGCGCGCCAAGGAGGCGGAUUGCAACAAGCUGGCCGAGGAGAGGGACCGGCUUGUCACGCAGCUGGCGGAGCAGGCGGAGCUUCUCAAGAAGGCCCAGAAGGAGGCGGAAGACAAAGAGACCGGCCUCCUUGCUGAGUUCGCGGCCGAACGCUCCGCCUGGACCAACAAGGAGGCGAUGCUGACUGCCAGCCUCGGCGAGGUUGAAGACAUGGUCGACGCUAGGCUGCCUUCUUUACUCUUUCUUCAAACUGCCGGCCUCUGACCAAGCCGACUUCUUGUUUCUGAUCUGACUCUUAGCUUUUUUGUCCGAGCUGACUUCUUCCUGGGUCACUCUGGCGCUGCCAACCAGGCUAUCGAGGCCGACCGCGAAGGAUGGAGGGCGGAAGGCGAGCAGAUCGCUGCCGACGCCCCCCGCAAUUUUGGCGAGCAACUUCUCAGCAUCCAGGCUCGUCUUCGGCCGACUCAUCGGAUGUUGCGCUGCCUUCAGCAUGUCGGUGCCCAGGCGAUCGGCGCCCUGUGGCCGGACAUGCCGGCUCCACGCACACCCAGCCGGACUGCCGACUGGCUGGAGGUGGCGGUCGACCAUCUUGAGGCGUGGAAGGGCUCCUUGGCCCGGGCCGGAGCGCGUCGGGCCUUGGAGUUCGUCAAGGCGUGGUACGCUGGGCUAGAUCUAGCCCAGUUGACCAUGUUUCGACUGGAAGCCCAGGAGGAGCUGGUGGCGGUGGAGGAUGACCUUGUCAAGCGAGCGGCGGCAAUUGCCGAGUACACCAAUACCGGCAUCUUCGUCCCGGAGCUGGCCGAGAACGGUGCCGAGGCGCCACCGGAGUGGUUUGGGCUGAACCUGGAGGAUGGCGAGGACUCGGCUAAGGUGAUCGACUCCAGCGAUGAGGGAGAAGACGAAGAGGAGGAGGAAGGUGAAGAGGAGGCACCAGAGGUCGGAGCGGACGGCCAGCCUCAACUCGACCGCGCCUCCAGCAACGAGCCACGCCCGAGCAAGCCGGCUGCUGCUGAGGGCGAUCAAACGGAGACCGACCAGUCGGCCGCCCAACCGACUAGCCGGCCGCCCAACCGGCCGGCACCACCAACUUCACCAUUCCGUCGACUCCGUCUGCUGCUUCCUAGGCUGCUAUUUACUUUGCUUCUUCCUGCUUAUCGGUCUCAACAACUUUGUUAAUUUCGCACAACCCCACCCACUGGGUGUAUUUCAAACUCCUGUUGAAUAUCGGCCAAGGGCCUUUUGAUGUGUAAAUAUCUUAUCCGAGUUCUAUCUUUCCUUGCUUUAUGCUCUUUUGGCUUUUUUCCUUUGCCGCCUUCCCUUGGUUGCCGUCUUGCCAGCCGAACAGCCGCUUUGCGGACUGUGGCUGGGUCAAGUACUUAGCCACUUUCGGGAAGGCAAGUACUUAGCCGGCUAGAGUUUUUCUGGCAAGUUAAGUAGAAACCGGCCGGCUGCUCGGCAGCCGGUCGGUGAGGCGAGAAGCCGGCUUGGACUAUGUGUAUGCUUUAGGUCCUUAGCCAUUUUUCAUGCAGACACCCUUUUCGCCUUAGCUCCUGCUGACCAAACAGUCGCUCUGCAAGCUGCGGCCUCUGGUAGGAGAAAGCUAGGGUGCCAACACAUUACUUGUCCGGCUACAGGAAGCAUUUCAUAGUACAAAGCGGCAAGUCCCCGGGUCGACUGGUUGAUCCCGGUGCCAGACGGUCUAAUGGGAUAACACAAAUGACAUGUGUAAUACAUAUCAUAUAGAUAAAAGAGGGCAGUCCCCGAGCUCUUCUCGGGGGACCCGGAGUCUUCGUACUUAAUACAAAAGUUGGGGUGGUACAUACUGCUUUAACUGUAAAACCUUCGUAGGAGAUUCGCAUUCCAUGGUCGCUCCGUCUCCUUCCCGGAGUCGUCUCUUUUGCAUGCUCGAGGCUUCUGAGCGUCGAUGAGGUAGUAGGAGUCGUUGCCCAACACCUUGCUGAUGAUGAAGGGGCCUUCCCAAGGUGCCGAGAGCUUGUGCUGGCCGGCUGUUCGCUGGAUCAGCCAGAGCACAAGGUCUCCUUCUUGGAAGGAUCUUGUCUUGACCUUUCGGUUGUAGUAUCGGCGCAGACUCUGCUGGUAGAUGGUGGACCGGCUGAGUGCCAACAGCCGGCCCUGUUCCAGCAGAUCGAUGCCGUCUUGUCGUGCUUCUUCUGCCUCCUCUUCGCUGUACAUGGUGACUCGAGGGGAGUCGAAUUCAAGUCCGUCGGGAUGACGGCUUCGGCACCGUAGAUGAGGAAGAAAGGAGUGAAGCCGGUUGACUUGUUCGGGGUUGUGCGCAGACUCCAGAGGACGGCCGGCAGCUCGUCGAGCCAGCAGCCGGCCGAACGCUCCAGAGGCUCGACCAGUCGGGGCUUGAUGCCGGACAAAAUAAGGCCGUUUGCUCGCUCCACUUGGUCGUUUGACUGCGGAUGGGCUACAGAUGCUAAGUCCAGUCGGAUGCCCUGCGUCGCGCAGAAACGGGCCAAGGAGCCUUUGGCGAAGUUUGUGCCGUUGUCGGUGAUGCUGCUGUGUGGUAUGCCAUACCGGAUGGUGAUGUCGGAGAUGAAAGUCACAACAGUCGGACCAUUCAAUUUCUUGAUUGGUUUUGCUUCUAUCCACUUGGUGAACUUGUCCACCACGACAAGCAAAUGAGUCAUGCCACCUCGUGCUGUUUUGAAUGGUCCCACCAUGUCCAGGCCCUAGACAGCAAAGGGCCACGCAAUGGGGAUAGUCUUGAGUGCAGAAGCCGGCUGAUGAGGCUUGGAGUGGAACUUCUGGCACCCUUUGCACUUCUGGACCAAGUCUUUGGCGUCUUCUAGAGCAGUCGGCCAGAAAAAACCAUGGCGGAAAGCUUUGGCAACAAGUGCUCUUGAAGCCGCAUGGUGACCACACUCGCCUUGAUGGAUAUCUUUGAGGACUGCUUGGCCUUGCUCCGGCUCCACGCAGCGCUGGUAAACACCAGUGACGCUGUGCCUCACAAGUUCUCUGUUGACGAUGGUGUAUGCUGCUGCCCGGCGUUGCACUUGUUGGGCCGAGAUCUCGUCAGUCGGCAGCUCUUUUUUCACCAGAAAAUUGAGGAUGGGCUGAGCCCAGGAAGGUGCUGCAACUUCUUCGACUGCUAGGACUGCUACUUGCACGAGGACGGUUGGGCUGGGAGGCGGUGGGUUGGAGUCGGCCGCCGCUUGCUGAAUUGAUGAAGUCCCCGGGCCGACUGUUGCAGUCCCCGGGCCAGGCUCUGAGGUCCCGUGGCCAGGUGCGACUGCUGCAGUCCCCGGGCCGCCUGCCGAAGUUCCCGUGCCGGCUGCUGGGGCUCUCAAGUCGGAUCUGACUGCUUCAGGAGGAGCCGGCACAAAGAUGGAAUCCGACACUGGCGAUGGUUUAACAGAUGGCUUGAGGAGGCGUUGCAGGGCGACGCCGGCUGGUAUUGCUUGCCGGGUGGAGCCAAUUCGUGCCAAGGCAUCGGCUUGCUCAUUGUCAUUUCUUGGCACGUGGAGGAACUCGCACCCUUCGAAGUAUCCACUGAGUUGCUGUACAAGGAAGCGGUAGCUCACCAUAUUUGCAUCCUUGGCGUCCCAGUCGCCCGAUGACUGCUGGACCACCAAGUCAGAGUCUCCAUAGCACAGGAUCCGGCGAAUACCAAGUUCCUUGGCAAGCCGGAGCCCGUGUAUGAGCGCUUCGUAUUCAGCUACGUUGUUGGAGGCGGCAAAGUGAAUUUGCAGCACAUAUCUGAGCUUGUCGCCUUUGGGAGAGGUGAGGACGAUGCCGGCUCCCAAACCGGUGCGCAUUUUUGAACCAUCAAAAUGCAUCCGCCAAUGGGUGGAAUCUGGCGCUGGCGGCAGGUACUAGGUCUCGGCCCAGUCGACGAGGAAGUCGGCCAGUGCUUGUGACUUGAUGGCGGUGCGAGGCUGGUAGUAGAUGGUGUAGGGGGGCAAAUCUAUGGCCCAUUUGGCCACUCGGCCCGAGGCAUCUCGGCUUCCAAUGAUCUCGGCAAGCAGAGCUGUGUAGACCACAGUGAUUGGGUGCUCUUGGAAGUAUGGCUUCAGCUUCUUGGCAGCAAAGUGCAUGCCAUAACACAUCUUCUGGUAGUGGGGAUAGUUCUGCUUGGAAGCGGAUAGUACUUCGCUCAGGUAAUACAUCGGCCUUUGGACUGGUAGGGCUUUGCCUUCUUCCUUGCGCUCCACCACUAUGACUGUGCUGACCACCCGGCUGGUAGCGGCGAUGUAGAGGAGCAUGGGCUCCUUAGGAGUCGGGGCCGCCAAGACAGGCGGAGUGGUCAACAUUUUCUUGAGCUGGAGAAAGGCUUCAUCCGCCUUGUCAUUCCACUCGAAAAAAGUGGUCUUCUUCAUGAGCUGAUAUAGGGGAAGAGCUUUUUCGCCCAGCCGACUGAUGAAACGGCUGAUGGAUGCCAAGCAGCCGGUGAAUUUUUGCACGUCCAGCAGUCGGGUGGGCACCUCCAUCCUCUCGAUAGCCUUGAUAUUCACAGGGUUGCACUCUAUGCCGCGCUCUGAGACCAAGAAACCAAGAAGCUGGCCGGCUGGUACUCCAAAGACGCAUUUCUCCGGGUUGAGCUUGAUCUGAAAUCGGCGUAAAUUCUCAAAGGUCUCCUUGAGAUCUUCUAGUAGCGUCCCGCGCUUCUCCGUCUUCACCACCACAUCGUCCACAUAGACAUCGGCAUUUCUGCCGAGUUGCUUGAGGAGACACUUCUACAUGCAUCGUUGAAACAUGGUGCCAGCGUUUCUCAAGCCAAACGUCAUGGUCAGGUAACAAAAGGCUCCGAAUGGCGUGAUGAAGGCGGUCUUCAGCCUGUCGGCCGGGUUCAGCUUGAUCUGGUGAUACCCGGAGUAUGCAUCCAAAAAACUCAACAGCUCACAUCCGGCUGUAGAGUCAAUCACUUGGUCGAUUCUUGGCAGAGCAAGUGGGUCUUCGGGGCAUGCUUUGUUGAGGCUGGUAUAAUCAAUACACAUGCACCACUGCUUCUUUGGACCGGGUUGGCUAACCAUUCUGGAAAGAACACCACCAUGAUGAAGCCGGCUGCCAGAAGCCGGGCUAUCUCUUCUCCAACAACUCUUCCUUUCUCUUCUGACAAGCAGCGCAAGGGCUGUCGGACUGGCUUGGCAUCAGGUCGGACGUGUAGCUUGUGCUCGGCGAAAUCCGUCGGAACACCCGGCAUGUCCUUGGGGGACCAUGCAAAGAUGUCCCGAUUCUCACGGAGGAAAUCGACGAGCUCGCCUUCCUAUUUACUGUCAAGGUUUGCACCUAUGACAGCGUACCUCUCCAGGUGCUCCGGGUCCAAGGGUAUCUUCUUUGUUUCUUUGGCCGGCUUGAACGAGCCCUCGGCUUCCGACUCCUUGGGGUUGGGUGACAUUUCCGGCCGCUUGCCUGCCAUUGCCACAACCCGGUCAAGGAGCCGCUUCUCCGCUGCGACCACGAGGGACUCGGCCAACCGACCGCUUUCUGCGGCGCAGGCAGACGACUUCUUGUAGUCUCCUACUAUGGUCAGGAUCCCCUUGGAGCUCGGCAUCUUCAUCUUUAGGUAAGCAUAGUGGGGAACCGCCAUGAACUUGGCCAGGGCAGGCCGGCCAAGUAAUGCAUGAUAAGGGCUCUCAAGGUCCACCACUUCAAACCAGACUGGCUCUCGGUGGAAAUGAUUUUUGUCCCCGAAGAGGACAUCUAUCUGAGUCUUGCCGAUUGGUGAGCAGGAAAGGCCAGGAACUAUGCCAUGAAAAACAGUCCGGCUGGGCUGAAGAUAUCUCUGCUUGAUCCCCAACUUCUCCAUGGUAUCUUUGUACAGAAUGUUGAUGCUGCUGCCGCCAUCUAUCAGGACUAAGGAGAAGCGAGCAGCUUGCCUCUCUGUGGCAAACGUGGCAUCCAACACCAAGGCAUAAGAGCCGGGAUUUGGCAUCACCUCCGGGUGGUCAGCUCUGCUUCAGCUGAUGGGCUUCUCUGACCAAUGCAUGAACUCGGGGGUCUCUUAUGCUACUGCAUUCACUUCUAGCAGCUGUUGCCGUCUGCCGCGCCUGUCGUCGGCCACGCUGGUGAACACGACGUAGGCCCCAUGCUCCUCGGGAUAAUCAUCUUGUAUGGCACCGACUGGUCAGGCCGCCGGUUGCUGAGGAGGAGGAGGCGACGGGCCGGCUGGCGGAGGAGGCUGGAGUCCGUCGCCCUUGGUGAUCCUGGUGAGCUAGUGGCACUUCCGAGUAGUGUGAUUGGACGGCUUCGCACCGCUAUGGAACUUGCAAGGUGCAUCAAGAGUCUGCUCGUACGAGAAAGUGGGCAGCCAGUUGGGCUUGCCGCCCUUCUGGCGCUUGGGAGGAGGCGGCCCUUCUGGCUGCUGAUCUUCAACUGCCGCCACCUGCCGGCUCGUGGAAGCCGGCUGCAUGACCUUGCGCUUGUUGUAGUUCGAUUGCUGUCACCGACUGGAGUCACCAGCCGGGGUCUGAGGAGCUUGAGGGGCUACCUUGCCCGACACGUUGACCUGAAUCUCCGUCUUCAUGGAGGAGUCGGCCGUGGCGUACUUGUCUACUAUGAUUGGCAGUUCGUCGAGGGUCGCCGGCUCGUCGCAGAGAAGCUUAUGCUUGAGGAGGGUGCCCUCUAUGCACCCGGCAGUGAAGUACUCGAUGGCCUGCACCUCGUGCACACCCUCACACGAGUUGCGCAACUCAGCCCAGCGCGUAAGAUAGUCGCGAGUCGACUCGUUGGGGCCUUGGACGCAUAAGGAGAGUUGGCGGGGCCUGGGCGGCCGCUUGUACAUGCUGGUGAAGUUGCGGAUGAAUGCUUCGGUGAAAUCAACCCAGCUGUUGAUGCUGCGGGGCUUCAGGCUGUUCAACCACGUCCGGGCCGUGCCCUAGAGCAUUAGCGGGACGUACUUCACGGCAACGCACUUGUUGCCAUUGGCGAUGCUGACGGCUGUGGAGUAGUCGACUAGCCAGUCCUCCGGCUUCACGUAGCCGGUGUACUUGGGUGUGUCUCUCGGGAGAGUGAAUCCUUUGGGGAAGGGCUCAUCUCGGAUGCGGGGGGCAAAACAAGGCGGACCCAGCUCAUCUUCCUCUUCUAGCGCCAGCGAUCGAUUGAGGCGAUCGAUCCGGUGGCAGGCAUCGUUUUCUCCGAUUCCUUCUCGGCGGCCAAGGCGGUCGCCGAGUGAUGGGUGAUCAACAUGCGGCGGGGAAAUGCGCCUUUCCCUGCGGGGAGGAGGAGGCGGACAGUCGUCUCGCCGCCACACUGCUCUUGGGCGACCGUCUUGGUCGCGCUCGAUGGUGAUGUGCGUCCGGCUGCGGCUGGCAGCCGGCUCCUUGUCUCUUCUGUCGCGGAUGCCACCAGUCUGCGUCCGGGAUGUCGCGCCUUGGUCUCGUCGAGGUGGCGGAUCGUCGUUUCGCCGGUUGGGCGCUUCAGUCUGGCACCCGGCAUCUUGCUGCUCAGCAGCCGCGUCGAGGAGCUGCUGAACUCGCUCCGUCAUAUGGCGACGCUCGUCGCCCUCGAGCUUGUCUAACUCGUUUGCUGCCGCCUGGGCAGCUCGUAUGCUCUCCGCAGGCGUGGCGUAGACGGGACGAUCCGUCUCGAACAUGCUGGUGAUGGUUGCGCCAUGCUGCCGGACCAAGCCAAUGCGGCUAGGCCCACCAGGAGCCGGCGUGCCGCCGACGGCACGGUCCAUUUCCCGCUGGUAGGCCUCCGAAAGGCGUCUCAUGCUGGCCAGUCGGUUGGCGCUCUCGAUGAGCUGGAUGCGGCGCGCUUCCAGCGUCUCGGCGUCAGGAUAGGCGCAGCCAGGUCUUGCAUUGCCGCCUGCAACGGGUCCUGGCCACCUCCGCCAGAGUGCUCGCCAUGGCUGAUGACGAGCACCUCCGUGACAGUGCUGCCGCCGUUGUCCGUCGAGGAAGCGGCUCGUCGUAGACCAACACGUUGGAGGGGAACGCGUCGAGCGAUGCCGUGUCGGAUUCGGCCAACAUCGGGUCGGUGGAGCCAACCGACUCCAAGUCAGCAGCAGGCUCGCUGGCGAUGUGGAGCUGAUCGAGGAGGCUCACGAGGCGGCUCUCAGGGCCAUCGGUGCCCGCAUCAGACGCGGGCUCGUCGGAGAGGCGAAUCUCGCCAACAAGAUCAGCGAGGCAGCUCGCCGUGCAGGCGACCUUCGCGCCGCACAGCGCGUCGGUGCAGACGCCGUCUGGCGUGCCGGGCUGGCUGGGCUCGCCAGGAAGGAACAAGGUUCCCGUCCAGAGCAGGUCUUCGGGAGACGGUGCACCUCGCCCCAUGGUGGGCGCCAAAUGUCGGGGGUUGGGUGCGACAUAUGCCAAAGGAUGGCUUAUCAUGGUGGGAGCGAGUAGAGCGUCGCCGGUGCCUGGAAGCGGGAUGAGGCGUAGACACAUACGCCGGCAAACUUUACCCAGGUUAGGGGCUCUCCGUGGAGAUAACACCCCUAGUCCUGCUCUGCGGGGUCUCCGCAUGAUCACUAAGGCACUACUGGUACAAUGGUGCUCCUUGAGCUGUUUGCUAGAGGUGGAAGAAGGCAGGCACGCUCUCUCCUUCUCUAGGUAUGAGUCUAGUUCUAACAGGUUCGAACCCUUUGCAUGGGUGCCCUAGGGGGUUUAUAUAGGCCUACCCCCCAGGGGUAUAUUGGUAAUCUGCCGGGUGUAGGACCCGGCUCAGUGUCUUUGGCCGCCGGCUUCUCCGCCGGCUGCUGGGGCCCGCCGCCUGGUCUGGUAUGGAGCCGACAGGCCACUCCCGCCGCUCGCGGGUCUUGCCGGCUGCUGAUCACUAUAGCCGUGAUGCUAAUGACGCAGGCUUGGUCGGGGGGGCGUGGCUACAGUCCCGCCGCCUGGCGGGCGAUUACUGUAGCCACACCGCGUCUCAUCUGGUUGAUGGCACACGGGGCCUGAGGGAGGGAUAAGCCGCCUGCUGGAAGCCAGCUUCCCUCAGGUCCGGCUGCCCUGGCUUCCUCCGUCUUCAGGGCUCUCACUGCCUGGUAGGGCCCGCCGCCUGCAAGCCGUACCGACAGGCCAUGGUGGUAACAGGGCUCCGCCUGUAAGGAGUGACGUUUGGGGGGAGGGGCAGCAGUGUCGCGUCGUGCGGAGAUCUCCGCCUGUACGGGGCACUGUGGCCACGCCCGGCCCUGGAUUUGGGGGGAUGGGCUACGUUGUAGCCAUACCCUGUCUUGUCUCCUUGAGGAGGGCGCAGACUUUGAGGGCGCCACGGGCCGACUGCUAGGGGUCGGCCUCUCUGGAGGCCGUCCAGUAGGAGUCGGCCUGUUGUGAUGUUGUCUUCUAGAACUCGGCCGCCUUCUGACAGUCGGCCGUUCGGCCAACUGGCCGCCAGAAGGCGGAGAUCUAUCUUGACGUCUUGAGGAGCGCAGCCGGCCCCGAUGUCUUGAAAGGAUCGGGGGCUCGGGUUAGGCUACCCGUGGCCCAUUACUCCGACAGUGAUUGGGCGAGGACUGGGUGUCCUUGGCUCAAGGGGAAUAAGGUGAAGACGCGGUCUUCUGAGUUAAAUCUCAGCCUCCCUAACCAGACGUACAGUUGUCACAGCAACUGGAACUGGUCGAACAAAUCUCUUUCCUCUCCAAGCUACUGGUUCCAUCUCUUUCUUCUCUUUAUUUUCAGUUUGUCUUCGUGAAGUCAUUGCCUGCUUGCAUUAUCUGUUUGACUUCACUGCGUGACUACUUGUUCUGAUUGGCUUCAUAUUGUCUUUCAUCCUGAUUCAUACUGCCUAGCUGCUAAUAGUCUUCCUGCUUUCACUUCAUUGAAUACUUGACUAUGGCUUGCCUAGUGUAGUUUACCUUCCGCUGCAUAUCAAUAGGAUCAUUUCUAUUGUUUGUCUUUGAAACUCCCAUGUUUUGAAGACUUUCAUAAAAAUCGCCUAUUCACCCCCCCCCCUCUAGUCGAUAUCCAGCUCUUUCAUGUAUAUUGCACAAGCCUUCAUCUGGCUGCCCGUUUCUUUUGUUCCUCCUCAUCGCAAACAGUUAAUUGAGCUGAACCGUAUGCCCUGCAUUGCACACGCAACUAAAUUCUGAACCGUGUUUGAUGCAUCUGUCAUCGCAAACGUUUGCACCUUUUUGACGGGGGUUUUACACCACCGUUUGCGAUUAUGACAUCGCACACAGUUUGGUCGAAGGGUCUCUCAUCGUAGUGUCGCAUUUGGACCAUCCUGCAGUAGUGUAUGUUGUUGUUCUGUAUGCAAUCCCAUCGCACAACACACACGUCUUAUUAGCAGCAACCGUCUGUGUUAUUAUCGGUCUUCACACACAUUUCUGAUUACAUACCUGUUUGCCGCGUAUCACACACAUCUUGUUAAGUUGAACCGUUUCUGUUCUCAUGUCUCAACGCAAACAGUUCAUCCGAGUGAACCGCAUGCCGUAUAUCGCACACACCUUGAUCUGGUUGAUUGUUUCUUUUGUGUUGCCUAAUCACAAACAGUUCAUCCGAGUGAACCGUAUGUUGUGAAUCGCACACGCCUUCAUCUGGCUGCCCGUUUCUUUUGUUCCUCCUCAUCGCAAGCAGUUAAUUGAACUAAACCGUAUGCCCUUCACCGCACACGCAACUAAAACCUGAACCGUGUUUGAUGCAUUCGUCAUCGCAAACAUUUUAUACAUUUCUGACAGUUUUCAUACAGCGCCAUUUGCGAUUAUUGCAUCGCACACAGUUUCUCAAAGGGUCUCUAAUCGUAGUGUCGCGUUAGCAGCAUCCUGCCGUAGUGACAACAGCAAGCACAUUCUGGCUUGUGUAGUGCUUCCUUCCCCUGAAUGCCGCAGCUUGUGACCUCGGCACUCUGGCAGUGACAUGAGUACCAUCUAUUGCCCCAAUGCAAUCCUGAAAUGGCAAUACAAGAUUGUGUUAGUGCUCACCUUGAACUAUCCAAGCAUAUCAAGCAAUAAAAUACAUACUGCAGUGGUCACCUUGAAGUAUGGAUACCAUCUUGGGCUUGUGCGGAUCUUGGUAGGAGUCCGACCAGUUGGUGACUUGAUCAUCUCUCCUCCGAGCUCCCAAACAUCAUACAACACUUGCUUGAAGUACCUUGAGAUCUCCAUUGACCUCCUGAACAUGUUGUGGAUAACCCUGAACCUCUGGUUAUGGCCAACAAUAUGAAGGAACAUGGCGACUUGCUCUUCCACAUUGGUGUGGAUGCUAUCUUCUAGCAGCCCCUGAUACGUCUCCAACGUAUCUAUAAUUUAUGAAGUAUUCAUGCUAUUAUAUUAUCCAUCUUAGAUGUUUUAUAUGCAUUUAUAUGCUAUUUUAUAUGAUUUUUGGGACUAACCUAUUAACCUAGAGGCCAGUGCUAGUUUAUGUUUUUUCCUUGUUUUUGAGUUUUACAGAAAAGGAAUACCAAACGGAGUCCAAUUGACGUGCCAAUUUUGAUGAUUUUUUAUGGACCACAAGAAGCCCACGGAGCAUCGGAGAUGGACCAGAAGAGUCCCGAGCCGUCCACGAGGGUGGAGGGCGUGCCCUACCCCCCUUGGCGCGCCCCCCUAUCUCGUGGACGACUCGGAGACCCCCCUGACGUGAAACCGACGCCAAAAAUUCCUAUCAAUACAGAAACUCCUAGAAAGAAACCUAGAUCGGAAGUUCCACCGCCGUAAGCCUCUGUAGCCACGAGAAAUCAAUCUAGGCCCUCUCUGGCACCCUGCCGGAGGGGGCCAUCAUCACCGGAGGCCAUGGAGGAGGAUCCCGGAGGGGCCAUCAUCGCCAUGAAGGCCAAGGACCAGAGGGAGAACCUCUCCCCAUCUAGGGGGGAGGCCAUGGAGGAGGAAGCACAAGGGGGAGAACCUCUCCUCGUCUCUCUCGGUGGCGCCGGAGUGCCAUCGGGAGAGGAAUCAUCGCCGCGGUGAUCGUCUUCAUCAACAUCACCAUCAUCAUCACCAUCCUCAUCUCUUUUACGCGGUCCACUCUCCCGCACCUCGCUGUAAUCCCUACUUGAACAUGGUGCUUUACACCACAUAUUAUGAUCCAAUGAUGUGUUGCCAUCCUAUGAUGUUUUGAGUAGAUAUCCUUUGUCUUCGGGUUGAUUGAUGAUCUAGAUUGGUAUGAGUUGUAUGUUUUAUUUUGGUGUUGUCCUAUGGUGCCCUCCGUGUCGCGCAAGCGUGAGGGAUUCCCGAUGUAGGGUGUUGCAAUAUGUUCAUGAUUCGCUUAUAGUGGGUUGCUUGAGUGAUAGAAGCAAAAACCCGAGUAAGGGGGUUGUUGCGUAUGGGAUAAAGGGGACUUGAUGAUUUAAUGCUAUGGUUGGGUUUUACCUUAAUGAUCUUUAGUAGUUGCGGAUGCUUGCUAGAGUUCCAAUCAUAAGUGCAUAUGAUCCAAGAAGAGAAAGUAUGUUAGCUUAUGCCUCUCCCUCAUAUGAAAUUGCAAUGAAGACCACCGGUCUUGUUAACAAUUGCCUAGGAUAAUUCCGCACACCGACCCAUCAUUAUUCAACACUGGCUAUUUAUAAUAUUUAGUAAUAUAUUCUAACUUUAUGAUAACAGCACCUACUUUUAUGUUUAAGCUCUCCGAUAUUAUGCAAAGUUAUCCUCUUCAUACCCACAACGUAGUUUUAUUUCUCGUUUCUAGUUGGAAGCAAAAGUUCGGUGUACGUAGAUUCGUAUCAGUGGCAAAUAGGACUUGAGAGAAUAUUGAUCUUACCUUUAGAUCCUUGUGGGUUCGACACUCCAUACUUAUCAAUCCCACCUUUGGGAAUUGCUACGAUGAUUCCCUGCACUUGGGGAUUAUCAAGCUAUUUUCUGGCCCCAUUGCUGGGGAGCAAUAGCGUGGGGUUGAUAUUCUCGUGUGUGCUUGUUUGCUUUCUUCACUAAGUAGAUUUUGUUUGUCCUUUUUGUUUCUGUUUAGUUGUGGGUGAAACAUACAAAAAAAAUUAUAAGAAUGAAAAUACAAAAUAAAAAUUUACUUGCCUCUCAUGCCUAAAAAGUUUUUCAAUAAGAGAAGUGAUUGGAAGGUUAUGCAUUGAAGAAGUGAGGGUCGACCUUGAGCACUUAUGUUCAUGCUUAUGGAAACAAUGUAAAAAAUUUCAUGGAAGCUUCUUUGAAAAUAAUAUCCCUUGUAUAUAUCCAUUGUAUUAUAAAAAUAAUGUGCCAAGCUUUGGUUUUAGGAUGAUUAGAUUGCUUGUUUACCAUGUGCAGUACAAAAACAGAAACUUUGGCUGUAGCGCGUGAAUAUACAUUUUUUACUAGAAAGUCAAAUAGGUCUGAAACUUUCUGCACAUUACUUCUGUACAAAUUGUUUAAAUUGUCAUAUUUUUUUUAGAAUUUUUUGGAGUUACAGAAGUUUACUAAAUUUCCAGAUUACUACAGACUGUCCUGUUUUUGACAGAUUCGGUUUUCUAUGUGUUGAUCGCUUAUUUUGAUGAAUCUAUGGGUAGUAUCGGGGGGUAUGAACCAUGGUGAAGUUGGAAUACAGUAGAUAAAGUGCUAAUAUGAAAUUGGAAUGAGUUUGCAACAGUACCUAAACGUAGUGAUUUGCUUUAGUAUACUAACGGAUCUCACAAAGUUUUUGUUAAGUUUUUGUGGAUGAAGUGUUCGAAGAACGAGGAGUUACCGAUGUGAGAAGAAUAAAUAUGGGGCAAGAGUUCAAGCUUGGGGAUGCCCAAGGCACCCCAAGUAAAUAUUCCAAGGAUACUCAAGCAUCUAAGCUUGGGGAUGCCCCGGUUGGCAUCCCAUCUUUCUUCUUCAACAAUUAUCGGCAUACCUCGGUUUUUGUUUUGUUCACAUGAUUUGUGUCCUUUGUGUUAUUCUUUUUCUUUAAUAACCAUGCUAGUAUGAGAUAGCCCUUCAUCUAUUUAUAGAAUGCUUCAUGUGCUUCACUUAUAUCUUUUGAGUAUGACCUUAUAGAAUUCUCUUUGUGCUUCACUUAAAUCUUUUGGAGUAUGAAUAAUACUAUCAUCUAAAGUGGGUUUGGAAGAGUGUAAAAUUUAGGAAUUAGUGAUCCCACUAUUUUGGAGGGUGUUGAAUCUUAGUGUGAUAUAUAUGAAAGUGGAUUUGGAAGAGUGUCAACUUUAGUUAGUAAUGAUUCCACUAUUUCGGAAGAGGUUCCAAUUGAUCAUGAGAACAAAGUUGCUAUCUAUGAUGACUAUUGUGAUGACAUGUAUGCUAUAAAGAAUAAUGUUAACCAUGAAACUUGUCAUCAUGAUUUUAAUUUUCAAUUGGAUUAUGCCUCACAUGAUAGUUAUUUUGUUGAGUUUGCUCCCACUAUUCCGAAUGAGAAGAAUUUUGCUUAUGUGGAGAGUAGUAAAAUUUCUAUGCUUGUAGAUCAUGAAAAGAAUGCUUUAUGUGAUGGUUAUAUUGUUGAACUCAUUUAUGAUGCUACUGAAAAUUAUUAUGAGUGAGUAAUACAUGCUUGUAGGAGCUGCAAUAAUAUCAAGUUUCCUCUCUAUGUGCUUGAAGUUUUGAAGUUAUACUUGUUUUGCCUUCCUAUGCUAGUUGAUUCUUGUUCCUAUAAAUUGUGUGCUCACAAAAUCCCUAGGCAUAGGAAGUGGGUUAGAUUUAAAUGUACUAGUCAUAUUCUUCAUGAUGCUCUCUUUAUGUUUCAAUUCUUAUCUUUUAUGUGAGCAUCAUUGAAAUCAUCAUGCCUAGCUAAAAAGCAUUAAAGAAAAGCGCUUGUUGGGAGACAACCCAAUAUUUACCCUUUCUGUUUUUGUGUGUUUACAUGAUUAAGCUACUGUAGUAAUCAUGUUUUAUAGAUUUUGUUUCAAUAAAGUGCCAAGUAAGACCUUUGGGAAGACUUGGGUGAAAGUUAAUGUGCUCUUGCUGUAAAAACAGAAACUUUGCGCUCACGAGAUUAGUUGUCAUUUUUUAUCGAAGAGUGCUUUGGAGUUGAUUCUUUUUGAAGAAGAUUAAUAUGCAAAUUACUCACGUACACCAAUUUAUUUCAUAAUUUUUGGAGUACCAGAAGUAUGUUUCUGUUCAGAUCAUCACAAACUAUUCUGUUUCUGACAGAUUCUGUUUUCAUUGCAUAGUUUGCUUGUUUUCUAGUUUCUAUGGCUUAUAUUUCUCAAUAUAAAUUGUAGAAAUGAUAUGGUACAGCAGGCAUUGUGUGAGAACAAUUAUAAACCUUGUCUUUGAAAGUACCAAAGUGAAUGGUUUACUCUUUAUCAUACUAACCCAUCUCACGAAGUUCCAUUAAGUUUUGUGUGAUUGAAGUUUUUAAGCUUUGGGUGAGAUAUCGAUAUGAGGAGAAUAAGGAGUGGAAAAGACCCUAAGCUUGGGGAUGCCCAAGGCACCCCAAGGUAAUAUUCAAGGAAGACUCAAGCGCCUAAGCUUGGGGAUGCCCCGGAAGGCAUCCCCUCUUUCGUCUUCAAAACUAUCGGUAUACCUUACUCGGAGCUAUAUUUUUAUUCGUCACAUGAUAUGUGUUUUGCUUGGAGCGUAUUUUCAAUUUUACUUGCUGUUUGAAUAAAAUCAUUGGAUCUGAAAUCUUGAAUGAAAACGAAUCCUCCCAUGGCUAGUUAAUUAUUUGACUACUCAGUGUUCUUCACUUAUAUCUUUUUGAGUAGUUUGUCAUUUACUCACGUGCUUCACAUAUAUCCUAUGAGUAAAUGGUUGAAUAAAUUGAAUAUCAUAAAUCUGAAUUUAUAUACGUUUCAUAUGCUUAUAACAUGGGGAGUAAUGACUUCACACAUAAUAAGUAUAGGUAGUAAACUUAUUGAAAUUUAGCAAACGCAGAAUUGGUCACUUGAACAAUUCAUGAAAGAAUAUUAAAGGAAGAGAGAUUUCACAUAUAAAUAUACUAUCUUGGACAUCUUUUGUAAUUGUGAGCACUCAUUAAAAUAUGACAUGUUAAAAAGUUGAUGUUGGACAAGGAAGACAACUUAAUGGGUUAUGUUUUCCUAUAUCCGAAAAGUUUUAUUGUCUUGGAUCAUCCAACAUGAUGAGCUUUCCUUUCCCUCUCAUGCUAGCCAAAUUCUUUGCACCAAGUAGAAAUACUACUUGUGCUUCCAACAUCCUUUAAACCAGUUUUGCCAUGAGAGUCCACCAUACCUACCUAUGGAUUGAGUAAGAUCCUUCAAGUAAGUUGUCGUCGAUGCAUGCAAUAAAAAUUGCUCUCUAAAUAUGUAUGAUCUAUUAGUGCGAAGAAAAUAAGCUUUAUACGAACUUGUGAUAGGGAAGAAAUAAAAGCGACGGACUGCAUAAUAAAGGUCUUUAUUACAAGCGGCAAUAUAAAGUGACGUUCUUUUGCAUUAAGAUUUUGUGCAUCCAACCAUAAAAUCGCAUGACAACAUCUGCUUCCCUCUGCGAAGGGCCUAUAUUUUACUUUUAUCUUCUACCCUUAUACAAGAGUCAUGGUGAUCAUCACCUUUCCUUUUUACACUUUUUUUCCUUUGGCAAGCACUUUGUGUUGGAGCGAUCCGGAUUUAUAUAUCCACUUGGAUGUAGGUUUUCAUAAAGUAUUAUUGUUGAAUUACCCUUGAGGUAAAAGUUGGGAGGCGAAACUAUAAGCCCCUAUCUUUCCCUGUGUCCGAUUAAAACUUUGAACCCAUAAAUAUCACGUGAGUGGUAGCAAUUGUGAAAGACUAUAUGAUAGUUGAGUAUGUGAGAUUUGCUAAAUCAAAGCUCUUACAUAGACCCUUCCUGAAAAUAAGAUGAAUUGCAAUUGUUUGAUGACUGAGAACAUAGUUUGUUAGUUUUCAACAAAGUUUAUGGUCUAUGCUUUAACAUGUGAAUAGCUUGUUACUUGAUCAUAAGAAAUUUUGUGAGAUGAGAUACUGUUAUGACAUAUAAUGAUGCUAGAAAAGGUGAUUGAAAUUACCAUGGAUCAAACUUGUGCACCUGAUAGCAUUCACACUUCAUAAAUUAUUUCUUUUAUCAUUUACCUACUCAAGGACGAGCAGGAAUUAAGCUUGGGGAUGCUUGAUACGUCUCCAACGUAUCUAUAAUUUAAAAAGUAUUCAUGCUAUUAUAUUAUCCAUCUUAGAUGUUUUAUAUGCAUUUAUAUGCUAUUUUAUAUGAUUUUUGGGACUAACCUAUUAACCUAGAGCCCAGUGCCACUUUCUGUUUUUUCCUUGUUUUUGAGUUUUACAGAAAAGGAAUACCAAACGAAGUCCAAUUGACGUGCCAAUUUUUGAUGAUUUUUUAUGGACAAGAAGAAGCCCACGGAGCAUCGGAGAUGGACCAGAAGAGUCCUGAGCCAUCCACGAGGGUGGUGGGCACGCCCUACCCCCUGGGCGCGCCCCCCUAUCUCGUGGACGACUCGGAGACCCCCCUGACGUGAAACCAACGCCAAAAAUUCCUAUAAAUACAGAAACUCUCAGAAAGAAACCUAGAUCGGAAGUUCCGCCGCCGUAAGCCUCUGUAGCCACGAGAAAUCAAUCUAGGCCCUCUCUGGCACCCUGCUGGAGGGGGCCAUCAUCACCGGAGGCCAUGGAGGAGGAUCCCGGAGGGGCCAUCAUCGCCAUGAAGGCCAAGGACCAGAGGGAGAACCUCUCCCCAUCUAGGGGGGAGGCCAUGGAGGAGGAAGCACAAGGGGGAGAACCUCUCCUCCUCUCUCUCAGUGGCGCCGGAGUGCCAUCGGGAGGGGAAUCAUCGCCGCGGUGAUCGUCUUCAUCAACAUCACCAUCCUCAUCUCUUUUACGCGGUCCACUCUCCCGCACCCCGCUGUAAUCCCUACUUGAACAUGGUGCUUUACGCCACAUAUUAUGAUCCAAUGAUGUGUUGCCAUCCUAUGAUGUUUUGAGUAGAUAUCCUUUGUCUUCGGGUUGAUUGAUGAUCUAGAUUGGUAUGAGUUGUAUGUUUUAUUUUGGUGCUAUCCUAUGGUGCCCUCCGUGUCGCGCAAGCGUGAGGGAUUCCCGCUGUAGGGUGUUGCAAUACGUUCAUGAUUCGCUUAUAGUGGGUUGCUUGAGUGAUAGAAGCAUAAACCCGAGUAAGGGGGUUGUUGCGUAUGGGAUAAAGGGGACUUGAUGCUUUGAUGCUAUGGUUGGGUUUUACCUUAAUGAUCUUUAGUAGUUGCGGAUGCUUGCUAGAGUUCCAAUCAUAAGUGCAUAUGAUCCGAGAAGGGAAAGUAUGUUAGCUUAUGCCUCUCCCUCAUAUGAAAUUGCAAUGAAGACCACCGGUCUUGUUAACAAUUGCCUAGGAUAAUUCCGCACACCGACCCAUCAUUAUUCCACACUCGCUAUUUAUAAUAUUUAGUAAUAUAUUCUAACUUUAUGAUAACAUCACCUACUUUUAUGUUUAAGCUCUCCGAUAUUAUGCAAAGUUAUCCUCUUCAUACCCACAACGUAGUUUUAUUUCUCGUUUCUAGUUGGAAGCAAACGUUCGGUGUACGUAGAGUCGUAUCAGUGGCAGAUAGGACUUGAGAGAAUAUUGAUCUUACCUUUAGCUCCUUGUGGGUUCGACACUCCAUACUUAUCACAUCCACCUUUGGGAAUUGCUACGAUGAUUCCCUGCACUUGGGGAUUAUCAGCCCCUGGUCCUGAAGGUCUGAACAAGUCUGGCAAAUGGUGCUCUUUUCAUUCUAAGCAUCUACAGAGCCUCUGUCUCGUUGCAGUUGUAUAUGUAGUUCAGACUGGAGAUCCUCUUCUGCUCAUGCAUAAGCAUUGGAGAAUAUCUGAUGAUAGGUCUCUCAGCACGACGAACAACUCUCUUGUGCAUGAACAUUACCCAUGCCUGAAUGACAGCUAUCAGUGCUCCGGCCCGAAGUACCAACCGCAUCCGUGCGUCCAUAACCUAGUCCACAUCGAGGGUGCAUCGAGCAAUGGGUAAAUCGCUCCUACACCUUGCCUAACGGCCUAACAACGCACCUAACAUAGGCGACAUGCGGUGUUGCUUACCGGUAUCGGAGACAAGGACGACGAAGGGGGGGCAUGGCUGAGUUAAGGAUGACCAGAUGGUGGCCAAAUGGAAGAGCAGCAGCAGCUCCUACUCCGGAUCUGCCGCCGCCGCCUCGUCUGCACAGAUCUGAGUCGCCGCCGCCGGCGGUGGUGAGGCUAGAGGAGGUGGCUGUCCUAGAGGUAGCGUGACCGAGUAAAGGGGUGUGAGCCUAGAUUUGGCGACGUNNNNNNNNNNNNNNNNNNNNNNNNNNNNNNNNNNNNNNNNNNNNNNNNNNNNNNNNNNNNNNNNNNNNNNNNNNNNNNNNNNNNNNNNNNNNNNNNNNNNNNNNNNNNNNNNNNNNNNNNNNNNNNNNNNNNNNNNNNNNNNNNNNNNNNNNNNNNNNNNNNNNNNNNNNNNNNNNNNNNNNNNNNNNNNNNNNNNNNNNNNNNNNNNNNNNNNNNNNNNNNNNNNNNNNNNNNNNNNNNNNNNNNNNNNNNNNNNNNNNNNNNNNNNNNNNNNNNNNNNNNNNNNNNNNNNNNNNGCGUGCGAGCUUGCGCCGCCCUCAGCCUGGCUUCUAGCGAGCCAGGCUGAGGGUUGCUUUAAGCUUCGUGCGCAUGCGAGCCAGCCCAUAGAGUUCGCAACCAAACACACAUUUCAUGGCCCAACUGAGUCUGGUUGCGAUCUUAUGGGCAACCAAAUGCGCCCUCAGUGUUUUCUGAAAACUGUUAGCACAAUUGUGGUGUUUUUUUUGGACUGUAAUAACUGGCAAUCGUGUGCCAGAUUGCAAAAACCACCACACCCCCUCGUGCCGCAUGAAACCCAUCCCUUCUCUCGAUUUUCUAGGCCAUCCCGAUCCCCCCUCAAGAACCCCUCCCUUCUUCUUCCCGAUUUUCUGGGCCACCCGGAUCCCCCCACUGGUGGCGGACCCUUCCGAUUCUGCACACACACACGCUUGCAGUUUGAAGAAAGCGAAAAAAUGCGAUGGGAGGGGAAUUGAACCCUCAACCUCCAACAAUUAAUUUAGCAACAACAACUGCCUGGGCUACGCCACGUUAUUGAUUUCUUUCAACUUGCACACUACUUGUACAUUCCUGAGAUGAGAUUGAAUGAAACUGAAAAUUCAAACCGACAGGCUCACUUGUCUAGGAUUUGGAACUUUUUUCUGGACGUUUUACACCGGUUCAGAUGGUUCACAAACUCAGGCGUCCCCUCCCUUCCUUUUUUAGAUGCAAAUCACCACAAUGUUUGUACUUAAGUUAUCUGAUAUGAGGUUCGUAUAUUACCAUACUAUCUAGAGAGUAGCUGUCGAGUAUGUAUCUCAACAAUUUUUUCCCUCUUCUGGUAUAUAAGUUACCACGUAUGUGGUAUGCAAGUUAUCGUGGUAUUUCCACAUAAGUUACCGGGGUUAUGUUUUUUAAUAACUUUUUCUCCUCUUGGUCAAAAGUUAUUGCGGUGUUUGUACGUAAGUUAUCGGGUAUGUAGUUCGUAUAUUACCGUGUUAUUUUCACAUAAGUUAUCGAGGUUAUGUAUUUUAUAACAUUUCUCUGUUGAUCAAAGUUAACGUGGUGUCUGUACAUAUGUUUUUGACACCUUUUUCCCUACUUAGUCAAAGUUAUCGCGAUGUUUGUAUGUAAGUUAUCGGGUAUGCGUACGUAUAUCAUGGUGCUAUUUUCACAUAAGUUACCGGGGGUUAUGUAUUUCAACAACCUUUUCCCCUUUGGUCAUAGUCGCCGCCGUGUUUCUAUGUAAGUUAUCGGAUAUGCGAUUUGUAAAUUGCCAUGUUAUUUUCACAUAAUAUAAGUUGUUGGGGGUAUGUUUUUCAACAAGUUUUUUCCCACUCACAAAAAAAACAAUAAUUUUUUUCCUUUGGUCAAACUCACCACGGUGUUUGUACGUAAGUUAUUGAGUAUGAGGUUCGUAUAUUACCGUGCUAUUUUCACAUAAGUUAUCGGGGUAUAUUUUUCAACAACUUUUUUCCUUUGAUCAAAGUUAUCACGGUGUUUGUACGCAAGUUAUCGGGUAUGUGGUUCAUAUAUUACUGUAUUAUUUUCACAUAAGUUAUCGAGGGUAUAUUUUUCAACAAUUUUUUCCUUUGCUCAAAGUUACCGUGGUGUUUGUAUGUAAGUUAUUGGAUAUGUGAUUUGUAUAUUACCGUGUUAUUUUCACAUGAGUUAUCAGGUGGGGUUUUCAACUACUUUUCUUUCUUUGUCAAAGUUAUCGUGAUGUUUAUACAAAAGUUAUCGGGUAGUUUUGAUGAACCACGUAUUACGCUCAUGUAUUGCCAUCCUAGCACUAAACUAAUCUUCAGGACACUUAGCAUCUGAAUCAAGGUAAAAGUGCAGAAGACACUGCUCUCCGUUUAUAUGCUGUAGAUACUGAACUUUGCACCGCCCAACACACAAAGUUGCUUCCUUUUCUAAACAAAAAAAACACAAAGUUCUUCCAAUCCCAAAUGCCAUGGCACCAUCCAACAGUUUUUGCAACAAACAACAAUCUCCUGUUGUAGUACUAUCACAGCAGAGCAAACAGAAAACUCGAAAAAGAGGGCUGGAAUCACAUGAUUAUCAAAAAAAAGUGGCAACAAAUCUACGGAGACUAGCACAACAAGGUUGCCAUCAGUAGUAAAGAACAUCGAAGUUGUAUAACUACCCUGCAAUUUAUUCAGGCAACAGUAAGAGACACUGUCAGGCUCAUGCACAUCUACUCGUAGGAGGCACAACGAGCCCCGGCCAUGGAUGGGAAUGGAGCCGAAGACGGGGAUGUUACCUCGUCCGAUCUGGCAACCACNNNNNNNNNNNNNNNNNNNNNNNNNNNNNNNNNNNNNNNNNNNNNNNNNNNNNNNNNNNNNNNNNNNNNNNNNNNNNNNNNNNNNNNNNNNNNNNNNNNNNNNNNNNNNNNNNNNNNNNNNNNNNNNNNNNNNNNNNNNNNNNNNNNNNNNNNNNNNNNNNNNNNNNNNNNNNNNNNNNNNNNNNNNNNNNNNNNNNNNNNNNNNNNNNNNNNNNNNNNNNNNNNNNNNNNNNNNNNNNNNNNNNNNNNNNNNNNNNNNNNNNNNNNNNNNNNNNNNNNNNNNNNNNNNNNNNNNNNNNNNNNNNNNNNNNNNNNNNNNNNNNNNNNNNNNNNNNNNNNNNNNNNNNNNNNNNNNNNNNNNNNNNNNNNNNNNNNNNNNNNNNNNNNNNNNNNNNNNNNNNNNNNNNNNNNNNNNNNNNNNNNNNNNNGAUGGCGGUGAGGAACUGCAGCCGGAUCCAUCUAUGACGAGAAGCGGGGCCGGGGCCAUCCACAACAAGCAGCGGGGGUAGCGGAUCUCGGCUCCCUUCUCCUUUUGACCGGGAAGCAAGGCAACGACUGACGGCUUUAAGUGGCUGUGGGUCUCGCCGGAAUCUGGAACCCGGAGGCCCUUGCGGCUGGGAAAGGAGGUAGAGGUGCCAGGGGCUAGCCGGCUAGGUGAGGAGGGAAGGCGUGUUCUGCCGGAGCCGGGGGUGUGAGGCGAGCGGCAGGGUCGAGGUUGGAAGCGUGCGGCGGGGAGGCGCGUGGGCCACUGGGGAAGAAGGCGGGGAAGGGAACGCCUCGUUGGAUUUGGAUCGAACGUCUCUCCAAACCUGGCCAAAUGGGCCAGCCCGGCACGGCACGGCCCGCCCUGAGAUAAACGGGCCAGGCACGGCAUUGCCCGCUCAGGCACGCGAACUACUCGGGCCAUGCCGGGCCGGCACACGUGCCGGCCUUCGAGGCCCAGGCACGGCCCCUGGCUAAACGUGCUGGCCCGUAGGCACGUCUGGCCCGAGGUGGCCCACCGGCACGAGGUGGCCCGAUUUUUCAAAAAAAAAAAGCACGUCUGGCUGGAGCAAGCGCGCAUGGGCGGUGCAGGGCUGCAGGCGCGCUCGUCGGCUUGUGCCAUCGAUGCAGCAACGCAGGGCUGCAACCUUCAUGCAUGCAUACAUGCACGUCUCGCUUCGUGUUUUUAGUACAUGUUUCGCUGUACCUGGUAUGUGGCACUAGCACGAUAGCAACAGUAGGUUUUGCUACGUUUAUUACUUCCAAAGAAUUGUAGGACGUUUAUUACAGCCAGAAAAUAAGAAGAAAGUUUGUAUGUCAGAAAAUAAGUAUAGAAAGUUGAAAAAAUAUAUGACAAUGUGUCAUCAUGUGGGAUAAAUAUUGAGCUUUAUUACAGCAUGCCUCAUUAAAACCUUCCGUCCCUAAGAAGUAAAAGAGUACAAUGCCAUGCUCAAAAUAAAAAAACGAAAAUUACAAAGAGUACAACUACAUGGCUUGGUGCCCUGCGGCCUGCUCGUCUGUCUUGUCGUGUUUCUGCUUAUGGCGAUGAAGGUGGCCGAUUCCUCCGUUCCCCAGGCUCAAAAAGAUUCCACAUCUUUUGCACUUAGCUUUACGCACGUUGACAUCAUCCACCACAAAUACUUCUUCAUCAAAGUAGUUCCAGACGGGCGAGACUCUUCGUCGAACAUUUAGAGCAUCCAUGUGUUGAGUGUGGAAAUGAGAUGGGGUUUGAGUGUGAGAAAUAAGAGGGGGUAGGCAGCCCUUUAUAUAGCCAAAAAACUUACUAUUUUUACAUGGGCGGGCACGUUAGGCACGCUAGGCACGUUAGGCAAAAAUAAGUCCAAAAAAUUAAAAUGAGGAAAGUGCCAUCAUGUGGGAUAAAUCUCGAGCUUUAUUAGUGAUUGCCUCAUUAAAACCUUCCAUCCCUGGGAAGUAAAAGAGUACAAAGCCACGCUAUAGGUUACAAAAGGAAAAGAAAAUUACAACAGCAUAAGAAAAUUACAAAAGGAAAAAAAUAGAAAGACUACAACUACUCUUCGUUCUCUUCGUCUUCGAGUGCAAGAUCUUCGAACGUGGCCAUCAGUUCGUUGUUUUCCGCAGUGUGUUGGCCUCUUCUUCUGGCUAGUUCUCCGUCUUUCACGGUCAUGAUUGUUCUCACCAUAUCCGGGGUGAGACUCGUCCUUCUUUCCUCAAGUAUUCUUCCAGCUAGACUGAAAGCAGACUCUGAUGAUGUAGAUGAGACGGGUAUUGAUAACACAUCCCGUGCUAAUAUGGAAAGCACCGGAUAUGUAACCUUGUGUUCAUGCCAUCACUGAAUUAUGUCAAAGUCGUCGUCCUCAUCUUCAUUGAAGCUGACUUUGUCGCUGUUGAGGUACUUCGCUAACUCCCCACCACCUAAAAGCACAUGCGAUGGUCCUGAUGUGGAAGAGCUCGGGGCAGAGGUGGAAGAACCAAAUAACUUGCUCCACGCUCCUUUCUUUUUUCCAGUUGGUGCUGGUGGAGGCCGCUGCAUGCGAACUCCGGCAUACUUUUGAUCGUACUUAGCAUAAACUUCAGAAAGCUUAUCACGAACCUUAGUGGAAUAAGCGAUAUAAUCUAUCCCUAGGGCCCCAGUUAGUACAGCGAGUGCACUAGCAAACAAUUCAAGUUUAACCCUAGGAUCCAAGAUAAAUGCAAAUGCAUACAAAAUAGGAAUCUUCGCCCAAUAUUUGCAAUAUUUAAGUUUCAUGCGAGAAACCAUAGGACUUAAUAAAACAUUAUUUUCAUAUGCUUUCAAGUGAGAUGCAAUGUCUACAAGAGUGUGCAUCAUUAAAGGAGAUGUGGGAUAAUAAACCCCAGACAAAGAAAUUGUUGCAUCAUAAAAUAUCUCUAAAAACUUGACCAAAGCUUUAGCAACAUCCCAAGUAUCAGCAGUGAAAUGUUCUCUCCCCAUAUUUGCAUUAAUCCAUCCCGAGAAUGCAAUUUCGUCUCGGAUAACUGCCUUAAGCAUCAUAUAUGUAGAGUUCCAUCUAACAAGCAUGUCUAGAUUGUACUUAUGAGGAAUUUGUUCUAUUCCUAUGCAAUAUCUCUUAUAGCUAGUAAUUCGCUGAGUAGAGUUACCAAGAAAAGAAAUUGCAGUGCGUAUAGUCUCAACCUCUUUCUUGCAUCUUUUGAUAGCACAUUUAGCAAUAAGAUUAAUUAUAUGAAAAGCACAACGUUGAUGCAGUAAAAAAGAUGCAGCAUAUACAGAAAAUAGAGGACUGAGGCUCUCCAUUGCAGUUGCAUUUGCUGAAGCAUUAUCCAAAGUUACUGCAAAUAUCUUUUCGGCCAGACCAAAUUCUGACACAACAUUAAGUAUUGCCUGGGCUAUGUUUUCACCCGUGUGUGCUUCGUCAAUUAAUUCAAAUCCUAUAAUUCUUUUUUGUAGAUCCCAUUUUUUGUUAACAUAAUGAGCGACCACACUAAUGUAGUCUUGCUUUGCCCGACCACUCCAGAUAUCAAAUGUUAAAGAGACUGAAAAAGUGCAUGUAGUAAAAUCAUCUUUUAUUUUCUGAAGACUAGUUUUGCAUAAUUUUGUCAUAUCCCUACUUGUAGUUUGUCUAGAAACUGAUUUGAAACUAGGAGUAUGAACUUUUUGAAUGUAUUCGAUAAAACCGGGCGAAUCACCAAAACCUAAUGGCAAAUCAUUAGAAGCAAUUAAACGACAAAUUCCUUCUCUAUGAAGAUCGGGAUCAUAGAUGAAGUUCUGUAUCGUACCGUCGGGGUUGAAUUUGAGCGUGGCCUGUGUCCCCGCAGACUGCUUGUCCGCUUUCUCGUGCUUGAGGAUGUGCCUGUUGAGGUGGCCGGUUCCUCCUUGCCCCCCCAUGGAAAGCAAGUGGGUGCAUCUCUUGCACCGAGCUUUCAACACGUUGACGCCGUCCUCCACGACUAUUUCUUCUUUGAAAUGGUUCCAGCACGCUGAGGUUUUGUGUCGAACCCUCUUUGUGCCGAUGGAGGUGGAGGUAUUAGACUGGGUAGUGGAUUGGCUGCCGGACGCUACAUACUCGUCAGAAGAGGGGUAUGUGGUGGUAUUGUGGGCUGUAGGAUCCAUCCACUCGGGGAUGUCAACAUCUAGAUCACUAGUAUCGAAAUUUAACCGGCUGGGAUCAUCCAUGUUUGAGUCAGUGUGAGAAAUAAGAGGGAGAGGAGGUUUGAGUGUGAAAAUGAGAGGGGUGGGCAGCCCUUUUUAUAGCAAAAAUCUGACAUUUUUUGGGACCUAAUUUGCCCUACAACAUUCAAAUAUUCAAAAAUAAGACAAAACAUACCUAAGCCCCUCUAACCCCCCUAAACCCCUCUAACCCCCCACUAAACCCCACCCAUCGCUGCCAUCGGAGGAGGGCACGUCACACGCUCCCCCCUCGCUCCUCCCGAGCAACGGCUCUUUCCGUUUUUGCUGCUAUCGAUGGAAUCCCUCCCGUGCCGUGCGUGCCGUGCCGUGCUGGGCCGUGCUCGUGCCUGGCCCAUUACUGUGUGUGCCGUGCCGGGCUGGCACGCGUGCCGGGCAUCGCAGCCCAGGCACGCCCCUAGCCGGGCCACGUGCCAGGCACGGCCCACUUCGCCUCGUGCCGUGCCGGCCCAUGACGGGCCAGGUACGCGGGCUUUCCUGCGAGCCCAUUUAACAGGCCCGUUUGGCCAGGUUUGCGUCUCUCGAUGCGCGUGGCAGUUUUGCAAAAACGAUCCCGGUUGCCACAUACAUAUUUCGUUUUAUUUUGGAAAAACGAAAGGUGAUAGUUUUUUCUUUUUAAAUUAGAGUCUCUAUAAUUGUGGUGUUUUUCGCAAUUUACUCGAACUUGUGGGGAGACUGUAAAAAAAAUUACGCGUUUAUGAAACUGUUGACGAGCUCUUCUUGCCCAAGUUUUUUUGAGAGAUAAAUACACCAAGAGUCUUAGAACUUACACGCGAUGAUCAGUUUGGUGCAUAAACUUGUAAAAUACGUAAUUUUGGUCUUCAAACUUGCACAGGCGUGCAAAUACGGUCAUAUAUCCUGUACGCGGGCGUAUCCGAUGCUUGCUUGGCACGCCAGCGUGGAUAAGGCCCACUGUUAACAACAGAUGACACUUUCCCUAAAAAAACAGAUGACACUCGGUGCGACAUGUUCUUGCAUAAAACACCCUCGUCUUUUUCUAUUUGCAGAAAAAAAAUCAUCGUUGGUAGGGAAGGGCUCCUGCGAGGGCCGAAUACAGAAGCGGGUGGUGGGGGAUCAAACUAGCUAGCUUAGGUAGCCACAUGUUGGACCCGACCACUACAACACAUAUAUUUACGUGUCUAAGAUGAGAUACAAUUUCAUUUAUACUGAAAACGUCCGGUAUUAUCAACUGAAUAUGUGCCAUGCACAUGACUUGACUUGAUGAAAGUAAAGUGUAGAGUGAACAGUUUAUUAAAUAUACACUUGUGUAUUACCUAAAAUAUAUUUAGUUAAUACGUACAUUUAAAAUGUUUAUUAAAUAAAAAAAAUGAAUACAAAAAGAAUUAUAUGCUCAUGGCUUAUAUUUAAAUUAUACAAAAUUAUGAAUACGACAUUUACUAAAUAUUUAUGAAUAUUCAAUUGUGUAUAAUUUUGAAUCAUGAUUUAUAUUCAAAAAUAAUAUAUAAAUUCAUAUUAGACACGGUAAAUAUCAUACCAACAAUCNNNNNNNNNNNNNNNNNNNNNNNNNNNNNNNNNNNNNNNNNNNNNNNNNNNNNNNNNNNNNNNNNNNNNNNNNNNNNNNNNNNNNNNNNNNNNNNNNNNNNNNNNNNNNNNNNNNNNNNNNNNNNNNNNNNNNNNNNNNNNNNNNNNNNNNNNNNNNNNNNNNNNNNNNNNNNNNNNNNNNNNNNNNNNNNNNNNNNNNNNNNNNNNNNNNNNNNNNNNNNNNNNNNNNNNNNNNNNNNNNNNNNNNNNNNNNNNNNNNNNNNNNNNNNNNNNNNNNNNNNNNNNNNNNNNNNNNNNNNNNNNNNNNNNNNNNNNNNNNNNNNNNNNNNNNNNNNNNNNNNNNNNNNNNNNNNNNNNNNNNNNNNNNNNNNNNNNNNNNNNNNNNNNNNNNNNNNUUAUACACACAUUAAAUUAUAAAAAUGUAGAUAUAAUUAUUGGAACACUUUAUAAUUAAAAUAGUAUUUAUGAAUAGAAAUUUUAACAAUAUUUAUAUUAUUAUUAACCAAUUAUUUUAAAAUUCAUAAAUAUUAUUUUAAAAUAAUACAUGAACAAAGUUUCUGCUCCACAAAUUUCUAAAAAAUGAACAGCUGCAACUAUACAAACAUUCUUUAAUUAUGAAUAUUUUAAAAAAUAUUCUACAAAUUUUAAAAACGAACUUUUUUAAAAUUAUAAAUAUUUUAAAAGUAUCUAUUAAUUUAUAAAAAGACGAACAUAUGUAAAAUAGGCCGCACAAACUGGAGACCAUUUCUGCUACACGAGCUCCUUUGUUAUAGUGCAGUAAAGCAGAGUUAUCCUAUAAUACCAUCUACAGGCUUUUGUUCGAGUGGCUUGGCUGGCCUGUGUGCUAACCUAGGGCGUGGGAUCUCGAGACCUGGCCACACACUUUUUCUUGUUAUAAAUUUUGCUCUAUGCUGACAGGUGCGACCCACCAGUUGUUAAUUUUUUGGCAAAUACGAGGGGGUUUCGUGCAAAAAAAAUGUCGCACCGAGCGCCACAGUGGGCAGCCAAGCAUGAGAGAUGACCGUGUACGGGAUAUGUGACCGUAUUUGUACGUCUAUGCAAGUUCGAUGACUAGAAUCACGUAUUUUACAAGUUUAUACAUUAAACUGACCGUCACGUGUAAGUUCUAAAACUCUAAGUGUAUUUACCUCUUUUUUAAACCAUAGUUAUUUUACAGAACCGGCGGAGAUGCUCUUACCUAGUGAUUCCCCCAAGUCAACGAGAGAAGCCGCGUCCUGCAUUCCCCACUUCCCACCGCGCCACUGCAAGAUUCGAGCGCCGCCCCGCAGUUUCGACCAAGAAGCGACUCCGCGGACGGUGGUGUGGCAGCACGAGGCAGCAGCGACGGCAGCCGCGACUCCAGGUGACGGCGACGAUACAUUCUCAUGGUGUGCUCUUCUCCUUUAAUUUUCUUGGUUUUCUUCCGGUCGUUCUUCAGCUGUGUGAAUCCUCAUGCGAGUUAGAUGAUAGAUCUCGUUUAAAUCUCUAAUCAGAUGGAUCGAUUGGUCGUUUAAAUCUCUAUAAAGAGGUUGCCGCUAAUUCGGUUUUGAAACUACUUUUUUGGGUUCCCUUUUACAGUUAUCUUGUUUUGGAUCCACGACUUAUUGAGGACACUGUAUAUACAACAGAUGCUUGCUAUCUCUUGGAAGUGUAUUUAGAAAAUAAAUAAAUAAAUGCAUGGGAAGUCUAACAAACGCCGCAAACAUGAUAACCUGGAGAACCAACUACAGGAUCAAAGUUUAGAAGCACAAGCAAUACCGUUGAAAUACUUGGAAAAAAUCACAAACAACUUCUCUGAUGAGCGACUACUUGGUAAAGGUGGUACUGGCUUUGUAUAUAAGGUAAGCUUAAAACAUGCCCAUUUAGUCUUUCAAAAAUAUAUGUAACCUGCCCAUAUUAACAAGUGAUUUUAAACAGGGUGUGCAGCAAAGUGGGGAGAUAAUCGUUGUGAAGAGGCUUAUGCCAUCAAUGGUGGGCGCUCAGAGUUUAUUUGAGAAUGAGGUUCAUCAUCUUAUGAGGCUUAGGCACCCGAAUAUUGUGCGACUUAUGGGGUAUUGCUAUGAAACAAAGAAAGUUAUUUUAGAAUACAGAGGGAAAAAUGUUUUUGCUGAGAGGUCAGAAAUGUUGCUUUGCUUGGAGUAUCUCCCUAAAGGUAGCCUUGAUGGUUAUAUUUCAGGUAUGACAAUCCAAUAUAGGACAUGUAUUGCUUCUAAGUUUUUCGUGUUCCUCCGUGAUUGUAGUUUGCGUGGCUUGAGCGUAACUCCUAACUGCUGGAUUUUAUUCAUAUAUACUAAUGUUACAACAGAUUGACAUGUGGUGAUAAUAUCUAUCUAUGAACAAUAAAGGAUAACACACAAUAGGAGUUUUUUUUUUUUUUGUGGGGUAACACACAAUAGGAGUUUAUAGUCCUUUCAUAUGUUUUCUACAGCAAAAAAAAAUUGUUUUCUAGAGCAAACAAAUUGCUGUGAAGGAAAACACAAUGUGAUAAUUUACCUUGCGGAGGAUAGCCCAUCGUCAUGGCUGUAGGGGAUUAGAUUAAUUAUUCUUGCUUGACCCAGAGUAAAAAACAUAUCAUCCUUAUGUUAUUGAUGCUCGGGUCUGUGAUCCCUCCUAAUAUGAUUGGGCUAUGUGGAUCUUCCUAAUACAUUUGGACUCUUCCAGUUGUGUACUAAAGUUGUAGGGAGGUAGGGGAAGUGCCCUUGCCCCUGGGGCCAGAUAGUAGAUUUAUUCUUCUGAUUCUUGCUUGUUUUAUUCAUCAUAAGGGGUUCUCUUUACAUAGAGGCCUAGUAAUUCAAUAGAAAUAAUAAAUCAUAUGUUUCAUCUCUAAUUAUCUUAAGGUUGAAGCUAUGAGAUACUCCCUCCAUUCACAAAUAAGAUGUUCUAACUUUUUUCUGAACUGGAUGUAUAUAUACAUGUUUUAGUGUGUUUGUUCACUUAUUUCAGUCUGUAUAUAAUUCAUAUUGAAACAUUCAAAAUAUCUUAUAUUUAUGAACAAAGGGAGUAUAUUUCAAUAUUAAUCGUAAACUUUUCGAACUAAGAGAUCAUGGGGAUCCUAUAAGGGCGUCAUCUAUGUAUAUGGCCAAACUUGCCCUUACGAUGGGACCUGCAUACUAAUCCAUAAGGCAACUAAAUGCACCACUAUUUAUAUUGGGUCAAGAAUAACCAACUCGACUGAAAUUCGUUUUUUACCUAUGUUUUAUUUCCUAUAUAUACUAUGUGCUACUCCCUCCAUUCCCUAAUAUACGACCUUUUAGCUUUUUCUUGAUUCGUAUGUAUCUAGACAUAUUUUAGUAUGUAUGUUCAUUCAUUUUAGUAUGUAUGUAGUCAAUAUUUUAAAAUAGCUAAAAGAUCUUAUAUUAAGGCACAGAGGGAGUAGAUAAUAUUAUUCUAGUGCUUGUGGACUACUCACAAGCGUAAGGGCUCUCUUCAUCUCCAACUUAGACCCUCAAACCGCUCGCAUCCGUCCGGACCGGGCGGUCAGGACGUGAUUUGCCAUCCAACGCGUAACCCAUCAGCCCGUGAACCGGUACGUUUGUUUGUUUUCCUGCAAACCAGAGGCAAACCAGGGGGCUUUGCGGUAUCCGGACAACUUGGUCCCACCCAAAUCCCUCUCCCUCGCCCGCGCCCUCUCCCGCUCGAUGCGGUUGCCAUACAUUCAUGCCGGUUAGCGCUGCUCCAAAUCGCUAGUAUAGUAUUGAUGGCGUAUUAGAGCGGACGCGACCUCUCACUGGAGCCGGCAUUGAAGCGACACACCGUCCGAGAGCGUCGCCUGCGUUGCAUCCCAUUGUACGCGCCUUCUCUUCGCAUGCAACCAGUCCGUCCGCCUGCCGACAUUAAACAAGUGCGGUUGCCAAGAAACUAACUCCAUGUUGAGAAAUGUAGUGGAAAACAAAAAAAUUCACCCUACGAUCGAUCACCCAGGAACAAUAUGAAGAUGCAUAAGUGUUUGGAUCAACCAUUGUUACCGACUCCGGUGUGCAGCGGAAGUAGACGAGUCGGCGUAUAUCGUACUUGGAGUCCCUCGAUCCGCCCUCGAAUGAAAGACCGAAAACACGGCCUCUUUACUUAGUUGCAAGCGUACGGUCUUCACGAUCCAGCAGCGCUUCGCCGUCUAGAGCUAAUCGUCGCCGGAGAACUAGAGGGAAGAUAUUAGAACCACAUUGGACUUCUAAUUAUGAGGAUUAGAGGAACUAGGUCUAGCUCUAAUUAGUCGAUUAGGACCAACAAGAACUAGAACUAGAUGAACUAGAGGAGGCUUCAAAACUUGUGUGUUAAAAAAGGCCUAAUACCUCAAGUAUAUAUAGGUUGGGAGGGGAGGAGGGGGCGCCACACAAAGGGGAGGAAUCCUCCCUCCUUGCGCCGGCCCUAGGGGGAGGAGGAUUCCUCCCCCAAGUCCAGUUUGGCCUCCCUUAAGGGGGAAAGGAGGCGCCUCCCCUACAUGGGCCUUGAUGGCCCAAUUCUCCCUCCACUACUUGACCUUUUAAGGUCCGUUGAUAUUAAAUUAAAUAUAAAAGCCCUCUAACAAUUAUUAGAGUAUAUUAUAUCUAAUUUAACAUCACCGGAAACAUUUGUCACCUAUAUAUUAUUUAUCGGUAAUACCGGGUAUUGCCCGAUAAUCUCCGAAACCCUUCCGGUGACCCUAAAACGCUUCUGGUUCCUCUCGAAACAAUUCUGAAUAUUGAUGAAAUAACUCCACAAAUAAAUCCUUGAUACUCUCAUCCUACUAACACUCAGUAGAUCGUGAUUACCUUAAGCUUGUGACCCCGUAGGUUCGGUAAAUCAAGACAUGAACGAAACCCUUCGUUCAAUGACCGGUAGCGGAACCAUGGACGUCCAUAUCGAUCCCUAUGAUUACGCGAAUGACAUUCGAGUAAACCUUUGGUUAUAUUGUGAUGUUCCCUUUGCUUCCCGAUACUUUACAAAACUCGGGAUGCAUUGGUAUCCUCCUGAGUCAUACACAUGCUCACUAUCCGUUGAUCUCAUUACCGGUUUUGUUCUUCUUUCUCGUUGAAGUGUUCCGACAUCCCCGUGACAUAGUCACCUGUGUCUAAUAGAUGAUUAUGGAUGCCGUCACACCGAGAGGGCCCUAAGAAUAUCCCUCCAUCAUUGGAGGAGCAAAUCCUUCUUGAGCUAUACAGUCCCUUAUCAAACUUUUCGAUGAACCUGUAAGUCAUCGUUAUGACCACCGUGUUAUGGAUGACGUUUGAGCAACCCAAAGUACACCAUACGGUAGGAAGUGACUACGAUGCUCUCAUUGUCUGAGGAACUAAAACACAUGCUAACACUCUAUGUUAUAACAAUUGAUUUCAGACGAUAUUAUCUCAAAGUAUAAGAAACCAGAUUGGGUCGAUUCAAUAUAAUCAUAUUUCUAACGUCAUACUCUCAAUGUUGUUUCAGGACUAUCCUUACACUUAACGAUAUCCCGAGAUCCGGAAAACACGAUCACCAGCAACACUUGAGCUAGUCUUAGAGGCAGGACCCGGAAUGUAUUCUUUACCGUUUAUCAUUCCACACAUGCAUAUGAGUUUUCCACUAAAUCGCAUAUUGCACAAUCAUAACAGUUAUAGCAUGAAAUAAAAACUCUUUAAUUAUGAAAAUGAAAAUAAAAUAAAAUAAUAUUAUUGCCUCUAGGGCAUAUUUCCAACACUUUGGUGCCUGCAUGGAAACGCCACCCGUCCGUCCACCUGCCGGCAUUAAUACGUGGCGCGGUUGGCCUGACCGGCACCCGCUAUUUAUACGUGGCCGGGCCCUCGACACGAUCCACACCUCACCUCCGCUCCCGAUCUCCUCUUUGCACCAUGCCUGCCAUGGCCUCGAGCUCGAAAGCACUGUGGGAUAGCCUCUCCACCGAAUAGAAGUAGGAGAUGUAGGCACUGCUGCCGGUUGGCAGGCCUGCCAAGCCAGCCAGAUACAGGCUGGCUUGCUGGCUAGCUCUCCGAAGGGCAGCGAGGCUGACGAGUCGGUGCCACCGCCCUCGCCGGUCCAUGCCGACAUCACGUUGGGGCAAGCACGGGCGCACUACACCGAUAUGAGAUGAAAGAGCAGGAGGAGGCGUUCCGGCAGGCGUAACAGGACCAAAGGCACAACCUACGGCUCCUCGACAAGCACCGACUCGCGGAAGAAGAAAUCGUCGGUGACCAGACGAACGAAAAUGCCGUCACGACCAUGGUGGUAGACAGUCCGGUGCUCCCGGAUGACCAGCACAUGCUGAUCCUGUCUUACUGUAGCGCCCGCGAGAUCCGCCGCGAGCGAUGGUGGAUGUGAGUCCUUUGGGCAGAGAGAGAUGCCAUGUUCGCAGCAAUCGAUGCAACGGCGAAGGAAUUUGACAACGAGACUGAGGACGUCGUCAACUCCGCGUCAGCCAUUCCGCCGCCACCUUUCGUGCCCUGCCGCCACGGCAACAAGGAUGACUCAUCCAUGUACAACCCCGUCGACAGCGAGGAAAAGUAGAACAUUGGGAGGACGCCGCCGCUUGAGUUCCAAUAAGGCCACUGCCAACGUCUUGUCGGGCCUCACAGUCGGUAAGCUUGCCCGGAGCUUAGCGGAGGCCACUACUCUUCCCCUCCCGUUUAAGCUUCACUUCUUGGGGCUCAGGGCCGGCUGAAUUGCUGCCGGACAUGGGGAAGACAUGUCUUGGGAAAUGGUUGCCGCCAUGGACGGCGAUCAUUUAGACUAAGUUGAAUAACCUAGUUCGCUAUAGUUUAGUUGAAAUAUGUCGGAAAUGUAAUGAUUUUCGUCUUGUUUAUAUGAAAAUCAUCCGGUUUGUUCAAAUCCGAUUGAAAGGUAUGCGGGCAUGGUUGGAUGGCCGGCUCCCGUAUCAUUGUCCGUGGAGGCGACCCAUGCGUCUGCGGACGGAUACGAUCUGAGCUAAACUUGGAUAUGGAAGUCUUCUUUCGUCUAGGAUGAAGUAAGACCAAGCUCAUGAGCUUAUUAUCCUAGGUUGUAACGUUAUUUAACUAUCCAUAAUAGUGCGGAAAGAAAGCCUGGAGGAAGAGUGGCCUUGAGUUUCUCGCCCCUUUGCCGUAGGACUCGUUAAUUCUCUUUCUUGAUGGGACGAGGAAGGGAUAUAACUCAGCGGUAGAGUGUCAUCUUGACGCAGUUUUAGGGGUCUGUGUUGGAGAUGCCCUUAUGUUUUUUUUCUUUGUGGACAAUCCCUACCGUGUAUAUGGACAGCCCAUAAGAGUGCCUUUUUGCUUAUGGGCAGUUUUUUCCAUAUACACUGUAGAUGUCGUAACUAACUUGGCCCUGGGUGGGCCAUGCACUAUCGUACAUAACAUUUCCAUAAUCCAAUUAGCUUGCAAAAACGUUUAUAUUAUGGGACGGAGGGAAUACUUUUUUUUUCUAAACUAUUACUAAUAUUCUUCUCUCUCAUGGACUCCUCACCCACAACCUCCUAGUGGACCCAUGUCCACAAGACCACCACAACAAUAGAUUUUUCACCCGCAAAAAAACAACAAUAGGCUUUCAGAUAACAUCUGACAAAUGCUCUCUUUUUGGUACCAAAUGCAGAUGGAUCAUCCCAACUUGAUUGGCACACGUGCUACAAAAUAAUUGAGGGGAUUUGCAAUGGUUUGCACUACCUUCACGAGCAAAUUGACAAGUCUGUUCUUCACUUGGACCUUAAGCCUGCGAACGUAUUGCUUGACAACAAUUUGGCACCAAAACUUACAGAUUUUGGGCUGUCAAGACUGCUUGAUCAAUAUCAAACUAUGUUCACUCCAAAUCGUUUUGGUACAUUGUAAGUUUAGUGCCUCUUUAUAGUCCCUUCCUUCCAGUUCAUCGGCAAAAUUUGUUUUUCUAGUCUCUUUAGCACCACAAUAUUUAUGCAUGAUGUGCAUGCAGAGGCUACAUGGCACCAGAAUACAUCGAUGAAGGUACAAUCACACCUAAGACAGACAUAUUUAGUUUGGGUGUGAUUAUCAUGGAGCUAAUAACGGGACACAGGGACUACCCAAGUGUUGCGGGAACAUCUUCCGAGGGCUUUAUUGAGCAUAUAUGGGAAUUCUGUUUCAGCUUUCUCAGUUUGAUUCCAUUUUAGGAGACUAUGUUUCAUUUUAUCUUUGCAUUACCGACAUUCUGAUUCUUGUUCUGAUUUCACAGGUACUUAAAAAAUGGAGAAACACAUUGGAGAAAGCACAGGGGUACACAAAGCUAGAAAUAGAUUGCCAACAAAUUAAACGAUGCAUUCAAAUAGGUCUAAUCUGUGUUAAUCCUGAGUGGUCCAAAAGGCCUACAACAGCAAAAAUUAUCAAGAUGCUUAAAGGACUAGAAAGUUCAGAUUGUAGGAUUAGCAAUGAGGCAACGUCAUCAGCACAUCAGGUACAAUCACUCAAGGGGAAUGCAUUUGUGGAACAUGUACUAUCUGUUACUCUUUCUUGUUCUUUUAAAAAGAGAUAUCAUCAUAAUUUAUAACCCCCUAAGUGCACAAACCUUUGUAUUUUGAUAUAUGUCUCUACAAUGUUAGAAACACUACAAAAUAUCACUACUAAAUCCAUUAAUUAUCGAGAAUAGCAAGCAGAUUAUAGCUGUUGGCCAUCAACUAUGUUGGCUGGUAUGCUGUGUACAUCACUCGAUGUAGAGGCCGAGGGCUGUACCACUCUUUUCAAAAGACAAAACUAUCUUGGCUGCUGAAACUUUUAGAGCCUUUUAUUAGGUCCCCGUAAGAGUUGAAGCCCUAGGCACAUAUAUAGCUGUAGGUGGUCACCUGUUUCACUCGUUGUAUCAUGUUGUCUUUGGUCAUAUGCAGUUCGCAUUUUGGUAUUGCUAGGAUUGCUUUUCCUACAAAAAUCUCAAAUCAAUUAACUAUUUUUUACUUUUGGUACCUGUCUUACUCCAACAAGGACUACUUUUAUGUAUCUUUGUACAACGUUGAUGAAGGUAAUAUCAAUAUGAAGAAAUUUACUAAAAAUGGUUAUUACGGUCCCGGUAGAUAUACAUUAAAUUGCUCCCCAAACGUACAACCAGAACAAGUGAGGUACUGUUAAAGAAUGUUGUGAUAGACAUUAAAUUUACUAUAAAAAUGGUUAUUACGGUCCAGGUAGAUACUGAUUUACUAACAAGUUACUGGAAAUAUGAAAAGCUACUGCUCAAUUAAAUUCGAAUACAAAGGUAAUUAAGCAUGUAGUACAACAUAAGGAAGUAAGUUCGCAUAUAUCAGUAGCAACCUUGUGUCUUCAUGUUAAGAUAUAAGUUUGUACAGAGCUAACCGUAUACAUACAGAAGUGAUCCUCACUAAUCGCAAUGGAUGUUGCUCCCUCUACUUUGUCAUGCAAAUUACUAAAAAAAUCUAUUAGUCCCUCUGGUAAGAUUUACAAGCACAAUUUGUUUUACCCAUAAAAAAGGCACGAUUCAUUUGUCCCAAGUUAAACUUUUAUAAGUUUGACUGGAUUUAUCGAGAAAAAACAUCGUUAACAAGUUUUGACUUAGGACAAACAAAAUGUGUCUUGUAAACCCGGCCGGAUUCUAUCUCUAAGAAAUUAAAUACUGUUUGGAAGUCGCACGAACAAAUUUGUCUCAGAACAUAUACUUCCACGAUGUAUUAUUUCUUUUGGGUUUAUAAAUAUAUUUCAAUAUAAACUAGUAGUCAGAGUUGUGCAUUUUAGAUUUUCGAUGUCAAAGUUGUAUUUAUCUUCUGAGAAGUUUUAAGACUCUCCCUUUUACCUUGGUAAGAGGUGAUUUAAUCCUAGCCAUCGAUUAAUGGAGGGCAAUUUUGACUAUACAAAUACGGUAAGUACAAUAAAAUAAAUAGGAAACAUUCUUGAUAGAUUUAGAUUUCUCUUUCCAAGAUGAGAUUUUCAUUUGUGCUAUGUAUAUUCGUUAAAAUGAAAAUAUAGCUAGCUUACAUGUGUAUUUUUUGUAUGCCCUUCCUUGCCUUCAUGUUUUGAUGGCUCUAUAAUUUAUUUCCUUAUUUAUGGAAGUGAAAAGUCCAUACUAUUACUAGCCUCACAUAAUCAUUGACAACUUCUUACCCCACAAGAGGUAAUAGUAAUAUUACGGAUCAAUCAUGGAUGUUGUUACUCAUAUCUGUUUAGCACCAUCUUAAAAGAGCUCUUAUCUUCUCCCUUCUAACUGUCAGACUUCAAAUGGGGUUAGUGAACGAGGAAAACAACCUCCAAAAAAUACACUAUGUAUUGAGAUUUUGGAGCAAGCUGAAAGACAGGAUCUAGCAUUGGUCUCUCUUGCAAUUGCGGGUGACUGUCUAUGUGGAAAGUUGAAGUUGUUGUACCUAAAAAACGGAGGUAAUCUUCAUCUACAAGUUGUUUAUUGUUGCUGAAGAUUUUUUUUUAAUUCUGUUUUCUAUGGGGUUGCACUUGGUGUUGUUGCAUGCAGAACACAUUUCUCCACAGGCAUCCAUCGUUCGCAUCGUUGUCCCAGGCUCGCCUGCUGGUACCAAACUUCAUGUGGACCCCUACAUGCUCUCCGUGCGGAGUCCCUACCUUCGUGCGAUCUUCACCCGCCACAAUAAUCAAUAUGGUGCAUCUGAGGGCAGUGCGGAGGGCAACAGGAUGGACCUCCAAGAAUUUCUAGGCAAGGAAGUGAAGGUCGAGUACGAUGCGCUGUUACUGGUACUCUUGUACCUGUACAGUGGCCGUGUCGGAGACCUUCCCGAGUCGGCGUACAUAUGUGCCGACGAGAACGGUUGUGCGCACCUCGGCUGCCACCCCACCGUCUCCUUCAAGGUGCAGGUUCUCUUUGUUGCCUUCACAUUCCAGGUCCCCGAGCUCACCAGCCUCUUCCAGGUCUGCAUCUCCCUUUCCCCUUUGCCAAUGGUCAGAAUACUGCUAUCACACCUUUAAUGCAAUGUGCUAAACUAGUUAAAGAUUCAGAGACUAUGGCUCUGAUAUGAAUUUAUCAAAACUACAUGGGCAGGAUAAAACCAACAAGCUAUGGUGGGAGUGACUAAGAGGUGAUUGGCAAAAGAAAAGAUUCACACAAAAUAAUCGAAGAAAACUAAUUGAGAUGUGAUGUUUUAAGAAAAAGAUUAUAAGAUCAAAUCAUACUGAGUAAUUGUUUUAUAUCUAUACUAAAGAACUAUAAGUCAAUGCAACAUAGACACACAAAAUCGGAUGAUAACUGUGAAUCUUCAAAACAAGCAAUCUGCAGAUAAUGCCUUCAACAAGGCCAGAUCAUAAGUUUUCACUGCAUCCUACCACAUAGGCGGUGACGACCACGCUCAGUUAGGAAGGAUGCUAGGAAGGAUGAGUUAGGAAGGAUGCGGUGACGACCACUUGGGUUUUUGCAUCCUUCGUUCGCUCAUGCUUCGUUCCCUUCUCCAUGGUAGGAAGUGGUUGGACAUAUGUCUUCACGUUGAGGCCAGAACAUGAGGAACCAAAGAAUAUCCCCCCCCCCUCCCGAUCCCCUGACCCCCGCGUCGCCAACCCUAGGCGACACGGGGGGAGAUCGCACCGCCGGCCCUCAGCCACCUCUCUCCGAUCUAUCCCUCCCGCCGCCGCCCGAGUUCACGCCGGCGAAGCCCGGGCUGUGGGCUGUGACGGCGGCGGCGGGGUCUUCUCCCUCGCACGCGGUGGCGUCUUCUUCUGGCGGCGGUGACAUGGUCUAUGGUGAUUCGGCGGCGCGGUGCCGCGGGAGCCCGGCGGCGGACGUGGCGGCAGCGACAGCGGCAGCGCGGCCUUCCCGCGGCGGAGGCGCCCCUGUGGCGGCGACCGGAGUCUCGGAUCUCGCCGGGCCCAGAUGGGCUUUAGCGGGCCGACGAAUCUGGUACGCGACGGCAGGUUGGCGUGCUAGGCCUGACAAAGUCGGCUGCUUUGGCACCGUGGUGGUGCCGCGGCCGGUCAGGCGGCUGGAUCCUUGUGGUCCAGUGCCCGACAGAGAAGGCGGCGAUCCGUGCACAAGAAGUUGGAUGGAGUUCUUCGAACAGAUCUGGGUGAAACCCUGCUCUCCGCUAGAUGCCAAGGCCGGCGAUGGCGGCGCUGUACGGUGUCGUUCCCUUGUUGAAGGCAUCGCCAUGGAGAAGUUCUAUUCCACUAUCUGCUACCUCCGGGGGAAACCCUAGAUCGGUAGAUCGGAAGACGGUGGCGCUCUUGUGUCGUUUACCCCUUGGGGGCGUCAUUCUUGGAGGUGUACAUGGGCUCGAGGGACUAGUGGACGACAUUUUUGGUGGAGCGGUGCUUCAUCCUACACGCAGAUCUCGACAGCAUGGCGCCCUGGAAAUUCAGUGUCCGACGUGUGACGAUGGACUCGCGCAGGAGGAUGACGUUGUCUGGCGUCGUGGUGGCGUUGAUGGCAGAGAGGCCUCGCGCAGUCGAUGCGUCAGUUUCUGCUCUGAAGAUGGAUCGGUGGAAGAUGGUGGUGACGGGCCUUGCAGUGUGCGCAUGUGGUGCCCACUAUGAGUGUGCUGGACCGGUGUGUGACCCAGUCCAGGUUGGGGCAUCUGGCUUUAGAUGUUAGGCUUUGGUGCGAUGUUUGUUUGGUAUUAGGCUCGGACAUUUGGCACCCCUUCAUCAAGGGGAUAGGAGUAGCAACACGUGUUGCCAAGAUGGUGGCUUCAGACAUACUGAUGUAUUACAAAGGAUGUAUUACUUUGUAAGGUCUUUGUGAAUAAUUAAUAAAAUAGUUGCAUGCAUCGCCCAGAUGCAGAGGCCGGGGGUACAUCCUCCUUUGCAAAAAAGAAAAUGGUAGGAAGUGGUUGCAUAAGGUAUCGUUGUUGGGUACCUUACUCGUAGUUUGGGUGUUGCCAACGAUGGUGUGUUGGUCUUUGAUGUUUUGCUGCAGCGGAUAGUUUGCCUUGGCUUGACUUCUGCGGAUCCUUUUCUUUAUUUCUUUUGUGUAAUACUUUGGGUUUGUGCAUCCUUGAUUUCUCAACUAGCUCUUGAUAUCAUGUUGUUGUAGAGGCCAAGUGUAUUUGAGAUAUACUUCCUCCAUUCGGAAAUGACUGACGUGGUUGAGUUUGAACUAAAACCCAGUUAUUUUCUAACGGUAACUAUUAUCUUCGUAGAAAAAGAAAAUCACACUAGUGUAGUUCCUUAUUUAUUUAUUUAUUCCAAAAGGAUGGUAGUUCCUUAUUUUAACUCUAUGAAUCUUCAAAACAAGCUUUCACUACCUGAGACAUCAUAUUGCAAUUUGAUUUGUUCUAUACUACUCCCACCAUCCCAUAUUACUUGUCUUAGAUUUGUUUAGAUACGGAUGUAGGUUGUACGGGAUGUAAAUGGCAAAUAAAUGGUGUCCGCAAGUCCCCUUUAGUUAGCUUUACCUAGCUCCAUAGUUCAUUUUCCCGGAAAAGAAAACAAAAUUUAAACUGUUAGAUUAUAUAGUGGGUUUAAAUGGGAUUAAACGGGACCCGGCUGACAUCCCGUACUACUCCCCCGUCCCAAAAUAAGUGUGUCAACUUUAGUACAACUUUAUACUAAAGUUAGUAUAAAAUUGAGACACUUAUUUUGGGACGGAGGGAGUAUUAUUUACUAAGGCUGCCCACUAUCGUCAUAAAAUGUAACUAGCUGAGUAAUGUUCUUCUAUCGUAGCUAAAGUUUCACCUACUAAUAAGAAAAUAAUUCGCCUCUUUGCAUGCAGCGGGAUCUCCUUGAUGUCCUUCAUAAGGUUGAAGUGGAUAACCUUCCACUGAUCUUGUCUGUUGCAAACUUAUGCAAAAAAUCUUGCGGGAAACUGCUCGAGAGAUGCCUUGAGAUGGUAGUCCAGUCAAAUCUUGACAUGAUUACUCUUGAGAAAGUAUUGCCUCCAGAUGUUGUUAAGCAAAUUACUGACUUACGGCUAAGUUUUGGAUUAGCUUCAUCCGAGGACAUGGGCUUUCCUAACAAACAUGUAAGAAGGAUACUCAGAGCCCUUGAUUCCGAUGAUGUGGAGCUAGUAAGGAUUCUGAUCAAGGAAGGGCAGACCAAUCUUGAUGAUGCAUUUGCGCUCCAUUAUGCUGUAGAACACUGUGACUCAAAAAUUACAACAGAACUUCUGGACAUUGCACUUGCAGAUGUUAGUCUCAGAAACCCAAGAGGUUACACUGUUCUUCACAUUGCCGCCAGACGGAAGGAUCCUAAAAUCAUUGUCUCCCUUUUAACCAAAGGCGCUCGGCCUUCCGAUUUUACAUUUGAUGGAAGAAAAGCAGUUCAUAUCUCAAAGAGACUCACAAAACAUGGGGAUUAUUUUGCGAAUACUGGAGAAGGAAAGCCGUAUCCUAAUGAUAAAUUAUGCAUUGAGAUACUGGAGCAAGCUGAAAGAAGGGAUUCACACUUUGGAAAAGCAUAUGUUUCUCUUGCAUUGGAUGGUGACGUUCUUCGUGGAAGGUUAUUGUACCUUGAAAACCGAGGUAAUAUUCAUCUAUAAAUCAUGUAGUGUUGCACUUUUGCUUGAAUCUUUGAAAAUUGUCUGUUUUGUAUGGUCUGCACGCACUUGGUGGUGUUUCAUGUGGGGUGAAGUUCUCCAUAGGCAACUAGCCAAUGCACACCUUUUUUUCUUCUCUUGGAAGUUGUGUAUUCACACAAUUAUUUUCAUGCUAUGUAGUUGCGUUGUCGAGGAUAUUGUUUCCAGUGGAGGCAAGAGUAGCAACGGACAUUGCUCAAGUUGAUGGUACUUCGGAAUUUGCCCUUGGUCAUCUAGUUGCCAUUGAUCUAAAUGGAACUCCUACCAAAAUGAAGGAUGAACACUUAGCUCGGAUGAGAGCUCUCUCCAAAACAGGUGAGGCACAGCUUGUCUUUGUAAAACCAGAACGCUUCUAUAUUAUUUGUAUUGUCAUUCUAAUAAUAUUGACGAUUUCUUGAUUUUCGAAAAAACAUUUGUUUCUUUAGCAUUCUCAAUAAGAAAGCUGGUGUAGCUGAAGUUGAAAUCUCAGAUUUUAUCCCCUCCCCUGCUAAUAAUAGGUCUACUGCCGAAUGCCUUGAAAGAUUAUAUGAUCUUGCACAUCAAACAGAAGAGAAUAAUACUUGGCUUACAAUCAGUUUGCCAAUGAUGGACAAUUUGGCCCUUUUGUGCUCUUUGCAAAACUGAAGGCUAUAUGCUUAGACUAAAUGACCAUAGACAUACAAAAUGCUGAUCGGCAGUUGGACUGCUAAUAACUAGUCUUGCUUGUGUAUGGGAGGGUGUCGGUUGACCUAGCUGUGCAUAAACCUUUUGGAAUUUAUAAACUGAUAUUUUACCAAGUUUAUGUAUCUGGACUAAUUGCAAUCUGAAUGUUUAUACCAGUCGAACUCGGCAAACGUUACUUCCCGCGCUGUUCAAAUGUGCUGGACAAGAUCAUGGAUGAUGAACCUGAGCUGGCUUCGCUCGGAAGAGAUGCAUCCUCCGAGAGGAAGAGGAGGUUUCACGACCUGCAAGAUACGCUUCUGAAGGCGUUCAGCGAGGACAAGGAGGAGUUUAACAGAACGACAACCCUUUCAUCUUCCUCAUCGUCGACGCCCACUGUAGCAAGGAACUUGACAGGUCGGCCCAGGAGAUGAUGAGCACCCUGGCCCAUUCUUGCCAUAUUGUUAGCUGAUUCUUUUUCUGUCUGAAACUGCCCGCCGGAUUUAUUUUUUUCUGUUUAACGAGUACUAGUAGUCUAGCAUCAUCGUCAGAUAUGAUGAAGCUGUUUGGCUUUGGCCCUGUAAAUCGCCUAGUUAGAGUUGCUGUAAA
rnacentral:lncRNA from 1 species